rnacentral:lncRNA from 1 species
AUCAUCGGACUGUAGACUACGCCCUGACGAAUUAUAACAGUCAUGACCCAUGAAGAAAUUAUAAAUAAAGCGCAAAGAGCCAUCCAGAGAGAUGUCGAGAACUUCUAUAUCAGAGGUCCGUAAGAAUGCUUUUGGGGGGUUAAAAGAGGUGUUACAAUUAAUGGAGAAGUCGCUGCUGAUGUAGCAACCAUUGCGUGUACCAAAAGGGUAUGGGAUGCUUAUGUUUCCGCAGUCGCUUUGACAUCCAGGUUUUGCUUGGGCUGCUACUGAAGUUGUUAUAAGUGUUACCAUAACUACUAACACAGCAAGCUCCUUAAACGUACAACCAAACCCCAUCACCCCUCUAGUUUUUUUUUUCCCACUCUCUGGGCUAUGUAAAUAUAGAAUAUCUUAUGGGAAGGAAUAGCAUGAACGCGUGGAGAUUCAACGCCAUUUUAAUAGACAAGUUGUAGCGGAGACAUGAUUCAUUAUUACCUCUCCAUUGCCUUUAAAAACUUUCCACUUUCUUUUUCGAUUUAGAAAGUUUUCUUCAUUUUCAUAAAAUAAGUUUAACUUGUGUUUAUGUUAAAUAAUUUCUUUCAGUACACUAUUCUAUUAAUAUUCAUCCAAUUAUAAAAAAUUAUAAAAUAAUUAUCUAAUUAUACAAUUUUAUCUUUUUAAAUCACCAGUUGGAUAACAUUUAUAUAUUGUAUUAAUUUAAUUCUGAUUCUAAAAAAAUUAACUCUCAAUAUUUACUUUUCUUUAUGACCAUUUCACUUUCACUUAAAAGAUAAAAAAAACAAAUUAGCAACUAAAUUUAAUCUCAAUCUCAAAAUCUUUCAAGCACGCAUAGAAAUCACAUACCUUAAGAGUAUUGCUUCAACAAGAAUGUCGUAUGUCCAGAUUAUUUAUUCUCUAAUGGCAAGCUCUUACUAAUAACGUGUUAUAAAAUAAUAAUACAAUGAACACAAAAAUAAUAGAUGAGAAUAUAGAGCGAUUUCUAUUGUCAUUUUAUUAUUUUUCAUCUUUAUUACAAGUAGUAUAUUCCUAUAUAGAUUCUAAUACAUAAAUAAAAAAAAUUUAAAAGAUGAUAAAAACUGGAGAGUUAAGGAAGAUGAAAUGUGAAUAAUUAAUUAUAAUGAACUUAAUAGCAUUUAUAACAUGAUAUUUUGUAUUUUCUUUUAUAAUUAAAUGACAAAGUAAACUUAAUAAUAGUUAAAUAAUUAGUAUUUUUCAUAAACAUUUUUCUUUUUAAAAAGCUACAAUUCACCCCGAGAACACAGCAAAUUUAAGUGCACUUAAAUCUGACAAGUCUUCGUCGUUAGUGUAUUUCUUUUUAUUUUUCCUUUUUUCUUUUCCUUUUUUGCUUUAUUAUCUCAUAAUAAUUAGAAUCAUCAUUUUGUACAUCAAUAAUUUGAAUGUUUAAAUAGUACAAAUGAUUGCUAAGCAAAUACAAAAUUAUUAAUUUCAUGAUUAGUUUUCUUAAUCUAUAAAUUUAUUUAAAUUAAGAAAUUGUUUUUGGAAAAUGAUUUUGAAAAAUAUGGUGAUUUUUUUUUUGAAAAUUAACUUAAAAAAUAUUUUUGAAAAGUUUGAUUUAAGAUUUCAUAUUUAUUAUUAUUGUCAAAAUCAAUUUUAAAAAAUAAAAUAUUCAUUUUAACAUUAAAUUGCGAAGUAAAAUUAUACAUUUAAGUGUUUAUUUGAUUGAGGAAUUUUAUUUUAAAAGAGGAGACAUUAAUUAUUAUAUUUUAGUAAUUUAUUGCAUAUAAAUUAUUAAAUUAUAAACUUUUAUUAAUUAAUUACAUAUAAAUGAUUGAACUACUAAUUUCCUCUGAUAUAUAAAAAAAGGAUUAACAAUAUAUGUUUAUAUUUUUUUAAUGAAUUAAAUUAAAUUUUUGUUAUUUUUUAGUGCCCAAAUCUCAUUUUAGGGGAUUGUUUAAAGUUUAAAAAUAUUUAUUGAUCGAUGUGAUGGACGCUUCUUGCUGUGAUGGUGCUGAGUUUGAGAUUGGUACGGGGGACAAUCUGAUUCCUAUAAAAGUUCGUUUCAGAGACAAAUCAGAUGAUUCAGGUGGAUCUAUGCAAGUUGAUCUACCAUCCUUACCAAGAACAUCAUGGAAAGACAUGCUAUUAGGAAAUUCCUCUCCUGUUAUGGGGAAUAGUCUAGUGGAGGAUGAAAAGAUUGAUUUGUUGGAAGGGGAUAUUAAGAAAUAAAUGAUUUUGAAAUUGUUGGGUCGUAAUAUCCACUAUUCAACUUUGUAGAACAAAAUAUUUAGCAUUUGGAAGCCAUCGUCGCCUUUUCAAUAAAUGAACAUCGAGAACGAAUAUUUUCUGGCAAGUUUUCAAAACAAGACAAUUUGUAAGAAAGUGCUUAUUGGAGGCCCCUGGAUCAUCUUUGGACAAUACCUAACAGUACAACUGUGGAUAGUGGCCUUCAAUCUCGUACAACCAUAUUCGAGCAUUGUAAUGACGUGGAUCAGACUUCCAGGUUUGCCAGGAUAUAUGUACAAGCGCAAUAUACUCAAGGAAAUUGGAGGAACUAUUGGGAAAGUUGCUAAGUUAGAUCUAAAUACUGACACUAGAAUACGAGGCCAUUUCGCUCGAUUGGCUGUGUACGUUAAUCUGGACAAACCGUUGAUUUCCCAAAUCCAAAUUAAUGGUACCCUACAAAAGGUCAAGUAUGAGUUUUUGCGCAUAGUGUGCUUUGGUUGUGGUAAGUACAAUCACUUGAAAGACGUCUGUCUGAACAGAGGUUCUAAAACCAGUGUCGAAAAUAAAAUGCAACCACUUGGACUGUCGUCAGUGGCCACAUCGGUGAUUGAUGAAGGAUCAGGGGAAGAGGGUGGUUCGUAUGGGCCCUGAAUGUUUGUAGGAAGAAAAACACGACGAAAAUCAAGGGAUAUUAAAAUGACUGGUAAUGUGAUUACGGCGAAGGAGGAAGGGUCUCAUUUUAGGGCGCUAAUCUCUCUAGAUAAUACAAGUGAAUAUUCUGUAGAUAAAGAUAAAGGCCCAGGUAAAAAAAGUAAUAAAGGAAAGGAGAUUCUUGGAAUUAACUCCCAAGAGAUGGUGGAUAAUUGUUGGUGUUAGAACAGAAAUAAAACAAGUCUGACUUCACUCUUGUGCAGCAAGUUUCGAUGCUUGUUGAGCAAACAACCAAAUUUUAGAUAAAUUUGAGGAAGAAAAGCAAUGAAAACUUGAGAAAAAAUUGAUGAACAAUCUGAUUUCAUUCAUAAAAAAUGAAUAAUGGCAUAAUGCCAAUACAUAAACCAAGCACUAAGCUUGUCAAAAACAGUAAGCAUUUACCUAAUUGUUACCUAACACCACUAAACAUUGAAACUUGAAGUAAUUAACUUGUGCAUACAAGCAAAGCUGCCUUAACAGCUCAUAUGUCUGCAAAUUACAUCAGUCAUCUACCUAACGUAGUUCUAAAUGAACUAAAUUACCUUUCAUUAACUAGAGAUUACAAAAUAAACAAGAGUUGGAUUGAUUGAGCUUGCUGAAGUAGCUUCUGCCAUCCUCGAUCUUCAUGGCCUGCAUGUUGGCUUGUGCUGCAGCAUGCUGGCUCACUUCAUCAUGCAGCAUGCUAGCCAUCUUCAUCACUCCUCCUUGGUUAGCAUGCUGCUAACUCCUAGCUUCUUCCUUAAGUGUUCAAACUUAGUUGCACUAAGAGCCUUGGUCAAAAUAUCAGCAAUUUGAUCAUCUGUCUUGCAAUGAAUUAGCUUAACUUCUAAUGCUUCCUCCAUUUCUCGAACAACAUGGAGUUUGAUGCUGAAAUGCUUUGUUCUCCCAUGGAACACUGGAUUUUUGGCAAUAGCAACAGCAGAUUGAUUGUCACAAAAAAUCUCUAUUGCUUCCUUUUGACUCACAUUCAAAUCACUCAUGAUUUUCCUUAGCCAAAUGGCUUAGUUAACAGCACUUGCUGCUACAACAUACUCUGCUUCAGCAGUUGAUUGAGCUACCAAGGUUUACUUCUUCGAGCUCCAACAGAACAUGGCUGAACCAAGACUGAAAGCAUAUCCUGAGGUGCUUUUCAUGUCAUCUGAUGAACCAGCCCAAUCACUGUCAGUGUAGCCAAUUAACUUUAGGCUUUCUUCUUUCCUAUACAUCAAGCCAUAGCUCAAUGUACCUUUGACAUACCUGAGCAUUCUCUUAGCAGCUUGAAAGUGCUUCUCAUUGCAACAAUGCAAGAACCUUGAAAGCAAACUCACAGCAUACAUGAUGUCAGGCCUAGUGGUUGUUAAAUAUAACAAGCUACCAACCAGACUUCUAUAGGUUGUUUCACUGACCCUUUCAAAAUCACCUUGGCUCGAUAGUGUCUUUCCAACAGCAACAGAAGUCUUUGUUGCUUUACUGUUUUGUAUAGAGAACUUAGUUAAUAUUUUCAAAGCAAAGCUCUUCUGACUCAGAAAUAUCCCAUUUUGUGCUUGAGACACCUCCAUUCCAAGAAAAUAGGACAUCCUUCCUAAAUCAGACAUUUCAAACAUCUCUUGCAUUUUGGUCUUGAAAUUGGCCAGCAUUGCUCGAUCUCCUCCUGUCACCAGCAGGUCAUCAACAUACAGGGACACAAUGAGCUAUGUUAGUGCCCAUUCCUUCUUAACAUACAGUGUUGGCUCACUCUUGCUUCGAUCGAAUCCCAAACCAAUCAAAUAGCCAUCGAUUCUGCUAUACCAGGCCCUUGGAGCCUGUUUCAAGCCAUAUAAGGCUUUCUUCAGCUUGUACACCAUCUGCUCCUUCCCAGCUAUUUCAAACCCCUGUGGUUGCUCAACAUAGAUGUCUUUUUCAAGAAUUCUAUUGAGAAAGGCUGACUUUACAUCAAGCUGGUGAAUUUUCCACUGCAUUUGUGCAGCUAAGGCAAUCAACAGCCUUAUGGUGUCAAGUCUGGCCACUGGUGCAAAGGUCUCCAGGUAGUCCAGGCCAUAUUUCUGACUGAACCCUUUGACAACCAGCCUUGCUUUCAACUUGUUCAAGCUUCCAUCAACAUUUUGCUUGGCUUUGUACACCCAUUUCACUCUAAUAACUUUCCUUUUGACUAGUCUAUCAACCAAUUCCCAGGUCUGAUUCUUCUCAAUCAUGUUGAUCUCCUCAGCCAUUGCUUGCUUCCAUCCUUCUUGAGCUUCAGCUUCUUCAAAGCUUCUUGGUUUAACUGUAGCAACAUGAGCCCUUUCAUAAAUCUCAGCUAAUGGUCUAGUGCCCCUGAUUGGUUCAUCAUCAAUGUUCAUUUCAUGACCACUUUGGUCUGUUUCAGCUUGAUCAGUUGCAAGUUCUUCAGAAACUGCCUCAAGUUGAUUCCUUUUCCAGUUCCAACAUACCCUCUCAUCAAACACAACAUCCCUGCUAACUGAUACUUUGUUUGUUGAAGGAUCCAAGAUCCUAUACCCCUUCUUGACAGUGCUGUAGCCACCAGAACACCAGGUCGAGCCCUUUCAGACAACUUGUCCCUUUUAAUAGCAGGUACAUGUGCAUAACAAAUGCAUCCAAAAACCUUCAGAUGAGCCAGUGAUGGCUUGAAUCCAAACCAGGCCUCAAAUAGAGUUUUCUGGUCCAAAGCCUUAGUUGGAAGCCUAUUUUGAAUGUAGGUUGUAGUGUUAACUGCUUCUGCCCAUAGAGCUUUAGGCAGAUUCUUCUGAAUCAUUAGGCACCUGGCCAUAUCCAUCAAGCUCUUGUUCUAUCUUUCACUUACACCAUUUUGCUAAGGUGUAUAAGUGUUGGUAAGCUGAUGUUUGAUGCCUGCCUUAUCACAGAAGGCUUGGAACUAAGCUAAGGUGUACUCAGUCCCAUUAUCAGACCUUAUGGUCUUCAGCUUGCAGCCUGUUUCAUUCUCAGUAGCAGUCUUGAACUUCCAGAACACAGAGGCCACUUCUGAUUUCUGUUUUAAGAAGUAAAUCUAACAAUAUCUCGAGAAAUCAUCAAUGAAUAGUAUGAAAUACCUGUUUCCACUUAGUAACUCAGUCUUCAUGGGGCCACAUACAUCAGUGUGCACCAGUUGUAGUCUUUCAGAGGUUCUCCAAGCUUGAUUUGAGGGAAAUAGAAGUCUAACCUACUUGCCUAGCUGACAUACUUCACAUACUUCCUGGUUUUGAACUAAGCUUAUGAAAUUUUCAGCCAAGCCACUCCUGCACAUGUGCUCCAUUGACUUGAAAUUGGCAUGACCAAGUCUUUGAUGCCAAAGCUUGGACUCAUCUGUUGUAGCUGCGUAGGCAGUGUCUGACCCUUUUGUCCAGUCAACCACAAAGCUUUUAUUAGCCAUAGGGACUGCCAUCAGCUUGGAUCCAUUUGGAUCACUGAUUUGGCACUAAUUGUCCUUGAACACCAUAAAAUACCCUUUCUCUAGCAAUUGUGCUAUGCUGAGUAGGUUCCUGUCAAUUUCAGGCACCAAAAGCACAUUUGAAAUUACUUUGGCACUUGUAGAAGUGCAUUUCAGCACAUCACCCUUGCCUUCAGCUUUUAUAAAGUGGCCAUUACCUAUUUUGACUUUGGUUCUGCAGCUUCUGUCUAAAGACUUAAAGAUUGCAGCAUCAGGUGUCAUGUGAUUGGUGCAUCCACUAUCUAGGAGCCAACCAGAUGAGAGCCUUUCCUAUGCAGCUGAGCAUGACACAACAAAGACUUGCUCCUCUUGGUCACUAUCUUCCUUGGCUACUUGAGCCUCAGCUUUCAUCUAUUGAAACUGGUUCUGCCUUGGUUUGCCCUUGCUUUUGCAGACCCUUUCCACAUAUCCCUUCUUCUUGCAGUGUUGACAUACAACAUCUGGUCUAAACCAGCAUUUUUCUUCUGGAUGUCCAGGACUCUUGCAAUGCCUGCAAGGUUGGUCAUUACUCCUUGCAACAUCAGGCUUAGGCCUAUUUUUCCAGGUCUUCUUGCCUUUGUAGGCAGUAUUGGUCUUUGCCUGAAAGGCACCUUCUUGAUGCUCCUCCAAUCUGCUAGCUCUUCUCUACUCUUGUGCAUAGAGAGCAUUGAUGAGUUCUAUCAAGGAAAUGCUGGUCAAAUCCCUUGAGUCUUUGAGAGAUGAGAUUUUUGCCUCAUACCUCUCUGGUAAGGUUGAAAUCACCUUCUCCACUAUCCUUGCUUCACUGAACUGCUCACCAAGGAGCCUUAUGUUGUUCACCACUGCCAUAAUCCUGUCAGAAUACUGUUUGACAAUUUCUUCUUCCUUCAUCUUUAAUUUCUCAAAGUCUCUCCUCAAGUUCAAUAGUUGUUGCUGCCUUGUCCUCUCUGUCCCUUGAAAUUCCUCUUUCAACUUGUCCCAGGCCUGCUUUGGUGAUUCACAGGCCAUAAUCCUUGUGAAAAUCACAUCAGACACUGAGUUUUGGAUGCAAGACAUGGCCUUGUGCCUAUUGGUCCUCUCAUCAGCAUGCUGCCUGAUUUGAGCCACUGUUGGAUUGGCUCUGAGUGGCUCUGGUUCAACAUCUAAGUUGACCACCUCCCAUAAAUCGAAGGCCUACAGGUAGGUCUUCAUUUUGACCACCCAUAUGUGGUAGCCUUCUCCAUUGAAGACUUGAGGUGCAGCUGGUGAAAAACUUGAUGAGGCCAUAGGUUUGUAUAACAGGUCCCUUAAGAUUAAAGCUCUAGAUACCAAUUGUUGGUGUUAGAACAGAAAUAAAAUAAGUCUGACUUCACUCUUGUGCAGCACGUCUCGAUGCUUGUUGAGCAAACAACCAAAUUUUAGAUAAAUUUAAGGAAGAAAAGUAAUGAAAACUUGAGAAAAAAUUGAUGAACAAUCUGAUUUCAUUCAUAAAAAAUGAAUAAUGGCAUAAUGCCAAUACAUAAACCAAGCACUAAGCUUGUCAAAAACAGUACGCAUUUACCUAAUUAUUACCUAACACCACUAAAUAUUGAAACUUGAAGUAAUUAACUUGUGCAUACAAGCAAAGUUGCCUUAACAGCUCAUAUGUCUGCAAAUUACAUCAGUCAUCUACCUAACAUAGUUCUAAAUUAACUAAAUUACAUUUCAUUAACUAGAGAUUACAAAAUAAACAAGAGUUGGAUUGAUUGAGCUUGUUGAAGUAGCUUUUGCCAUCCUCGAUCUUCAUGGUCUGUAUGUUGGCUUGUGCUGCAGCAUGCUGGCUCACUUCAUCAUGCAGCAUUCUAGCCAUCUUCAUCAAUAAUAUGCUUGGUAAGCGGCUUUAGAGUACUUAUCUCUUAAAGACCCUUCCAAUAAAGAACAUCAAAAACAGGUGGAGUAUUAGAUUAAUUCAGAAUCUACAAUAUAGUCGAGUCCUCAAGUCAGUACAGAAAUUCAUAAUAGAGUUACUUGUUUACCAUAAUACUCUAUUGCCAAAAACAGAACUAGGAGAGAGAUUAAACCUCUAAAGAAAUAUACCGAGGUUGAUCUGGUAGCUUAUUUUUUAAACGUGGCUAAAGAUACAGAUGCAACUCAAAAGCCAUUUAAUUAUUCUAAGGCUGUUAGCUUUGAAGACUCAGAAAAGUGGAUGCUUUCUAUGCAAAAGGAGAUCGAAUCACUCCACAAAAAUAGAAUAUGGGAUCUUGUGAAACUUCUUAAAGGCAAAAAGGUUGUUCGUUGUAAAUAAGUGUUUGAAAAGAAAGAAGAGACUCUAGGAGUUGAAGAACCUAAAUAUAAAGCAAGGCUUGUUGCAAAGGGUUACAAUCAAAUUCUAGGAGUGGACUUCACAGAUAUGUUCUCCCCAGUUGUGAAGCAUAGUUCGAUUCGAGCUUUGCUUGGUAUUGUGACCUUGCAUGGUUUGGGGCUUGAGCAGUUAGAUGUAAAAACUAUAUUUUUAAAUGGAUAACUUUAGAAGGAUAUUUACAUGCAACAACCAAAGGGUUUUACAGUCUUAGAAAAAGAGGGUUAUGUUUGCUUGUUGAAAAAGUCCCUUUACAAUUUGAAACAGUUACUAAGAUAGUGGUACAAGAGGUUUGAUUCCUUUAUUACUUCUCAUGAUUUCAAAAGAAAUAAUUUUGACAGUUUUGUUUACUUUAAGAAAAAUAGUGAUAGGUCUUUUGUGUAUCUACUCCUUUAUGUUGAUGGCAUGUUGAUAGCAGCGAAAGAUAAAUGAGAGAUAAGAAAGGUCAAAGCCCAACUAAGUGAAGAAUUUGAGAAGAAAGAUUUGGGACCAGCAAAGAAGAUACUUGGUUUGGAGAUUCUCAGAGAUAAAAAAACAAGUAAAUUAUACCUAAGUCAGAAGGGGUACAUUGAGAAAGUUUUUUAUAGGUUCAAUAUGCAGAGUGCUAAACCUGUUAGUAUCCGUUAGCAGCCCAUUUCAGACUUUCAUCGGCUUUGUCUCCACAAUCAUGUGAUGAGAUUGAGUACAUGUCACAUGUUCCAUAUUAUAGUGCACUGGGAUCUCUCAUGUAUGCUAUAGUUUGUACACGUCCAGAUUUAUCACAUGUAGUCAGUACAGUUAGCAGAUACAUGGCGAAUACCGAGAAAGAACACUAGAAAGCAGUUCAGCAGAUUUUAAUAUACUUACGAGGUACUACUGAUGUUUGCUUACAGUUUGGAAGAACUAAAGAUAGAGUCAUUGGGUAUGUUGUUGUUGAUUUUUAAUGGAGACGUUGAUAGAAGAAGAUCUGUCACAGGUUAUGUAACAUCCCAAACUGGGCUAGACGUUAUGGUCAAAUCUGGUAAUGUUACAAUAAGAGAUUUUGAAAACAGUGCAAAUUUAUUGAAGCUCGGUAACCCAUUUUGUUUAUACAUAUUUUAUUGAAAAUGUUUUAUUAACUAAUUUAUUUUUCCAAAACAUAAUUUACAGCAGAAGUCUUAAAACUGUUUUAUAUUAAAAAUACAGUCCGUAUUUUUAGAAAACCUUUAUUUUCAUAAAACCGUAUUUUUAGACACGCAUUACAAUGAAACGUUAAAAACACAUCCAAACCUAAAGUAAAAACCAACAAUCCAGAGAGUACCAAAAAUUAUAAACUCUCAAAUAAAAUCAGAAUUAUAAAUAAAAAACCAUAGAUUAUUAAAUUUAAACAGUUCAAGAAUAGGUGGUCACCGUUGUGCCUCCGUCGGACUGACCCGUCUAAAUUUGUGGAUUACUUAAACAGAAUAAAUAAAUAGAAAUGAGUUUUCGUAAACUCAGUGUGUAACCCAAUAAAAAUAGACAUGCAAAACGUAUAGAAGUCUCGUAUACAGUCAGAAACAAAUUUGGACUCAUGUCCAUUUCAUAUACGAAUAACAGAUAUAAAAAUAUAGAUCAGAUAUAUAGAAUCCUACCCUCAUCAUCUACACACCAACUACGACCAUCCCAUCACACCAUGUGGGGUUAUAAACACCCACCCAUCCCUACACAUCAUAUCGUGCCAUUACGAAACAUAUCAUAUAAAAUGCAAUCAAGCUGCCAGAAUAUAGGCAAUGUACACCGUACAAAACACUUCCUCCACAUACACAAACCCCACCCCAAUCAUAUAUACAAAAUCAAAAUUAUCAUGCUUAUAUACAUAUAUCAGAUAAAUCAAGCAUAUAUAACAUUAUCAUACUCAGAGCAAAACAUCAGGCUAUCAGAUCAUACAGUUUUAAGGUUUGGAUAGCCCUUACCGACCCUAUGAUAGGCCCACAGCCGAUCAGAAUGACCCGUGCGACCUUGGGGAAAUUUUCAAAAAUAUGCGCCCACAUACCCGUGUGGCUUGCCCGUGUGGGCCCACACACCCAGAUUAGCCUUGCCCCGUGUGGCCCACACCCCCAACUUGGUCUAGCCCGUGUGGCUUACACGACCACACCCAUAUCGUCACAUGAUCGUGUAUUGCGCACGGCCAUGCCCUUAUCAACCACACGGUCGUGUCUUGCAUACGGGCACCCACACAACCGGCCACACACCUGUGUGGCGCCAACAAUAAGUAAUUUCAGCUUUCGCGAAAACUUCAUUUUUCGCAAUUUGGGAACACACCUAGUAUGUUUCCGCAGCAAAUGUAAUCUCAAAACCACCAGAACCUAUAACUGAUUGAUAAAACACCGCAUUAGUCGCUUAAACCGAUACCAAACCAAACUAUCAUGAAACAGACAAUACUUUGAACCACAAAAACCCUUACCUUUGAAUGAACAAUGGUGAUUUCGAACCACUACAGCACCGAUUGGAAGCCCCUAGCCUCUUAAUCUUUUCCUAAACACAAAACGAACCCCAUUAUUCAACGAUUCAUUAUCCCAAAAUAGUUACCACACUUACCACACUUACCAGAAAUGCACAAAGAGCACUGACGAACUGGAAAAUCGAGAUUAUUUGAUAGGAUUUAGACAGAAUUUUAGAAACAAUGAAAAGAAGGAUUUUUUCCCCAAUCACAAAAAAAAAGUUAGAAAAGAUUAGGGAAAAUUUUGAAAAAAAAAGUAUAAAUAGAAAUAAAAAAAAUCCAUUUAAAAUCCCUCUAAUAUCCUAACUCCCCACUAAUUCACAUCCAACUGCCCUAGAAUCACAACUCCACCGAAACACUGACACAAAAUCGAGCAAAAAUAACAUCCUCGCUAACGUUAUAAUUCGAACACAGGAUCUCCAGCGCAACAAACACCCUUACCACUAGAACUAACAGGCUCAUUCUCAUAGAAAUUAACAGACAAUUUUACAUAAACCCAUUCGGCAAGGGUAAGGCUAAGAUUAGAAAAAUAACAAAUUUUGGCAAAAGUGAGAUUUGAACCCAAGACCUUACACAAACAGAGAACACUUAACCACUGAAGCAGAUACAAGAUUAUGUUAGAUAUUUAUAGAAACAGAAAUAAAUUAAUCAGGGUGUUACAGGUUAAGUCUUUACAAUUGGAGGUUGUACAAUCAGUUGAAAAGCCACUUUGCAAACUACAGUCACUUUGUCUACCACUGAAGCUGAGUACAUGGCAAUUACUGAGGCUUGUAAAGAAGCCAUUUGGUUGACAGGACUCUUUAGUGAAUUCAAUGAAGACCUUCAAAUCAGUACAGUAUUUUGUGACAGUCAAAGUGUCAUCUUCCUUACAAAAGAUCAAAUAAUUCAUGAGAGAACAAAGCACAUUGAUGUUCGGUAUAAUUUUUUUCGUGAUAUUAUUGCUCAUGGUAAUAUUGUUGUGAGCAAAAUUAGUACUCUUGAAAAUCCUGCAGAUAUGAUAACUAAGUCACUUCCCAUAACAAAGUUUGAGCAUUGCUUAGACUUGGUUGGUGCUCUUUGUUGAAGUAACCCUUAAGGGAUUUUAUGGAAGAGGUGGAGAACUUGUUCGUUAAGAGUUACGGAUGAAGAACUUAUUCAUUGAGAAUUCAUGUCAAUGUGAAGAUUGUAAGAAUUAAGUAACUCAAAUCCUUAUUAAAAUAAAAUACAGCGGUAAAAUAAAAUAAAAGUAAAAUCAUAUAGAACUACACUUCUUUUAUUUUAUUUUAGACUAAGGUUUUUAAACCUUAUUAAACUUUAUCUAUUUGAUAUUGAUUAGAAUAAGGUGUUUUAAUCUUACUACACUCCUUCUAUUAGAAUAUGGUUUUACAAACCUAUAAAUAGAUAAAGUAUACUCCUCUUGUAAUUAUUCGAAUUCGACAAGGUGAAUUAUCUUCUCAUCUGCCCGUGAUUUUUUUCUCGAAAAAGUUUCCACAUAAAAAUCUGUAUGUUCUUUAUUUUUCUUUCUCUUUUAUUUGCGAUAUAUUAUCAUUAUCGACGUUUUAUUUUUUACAAUUUAAAGAUUCAACGCCAUUUUAAUAGACAAGUUACCCCUUCAUUGCCUUUAAAAACUUUCCACAUUCUUUUUUUGAUUUAAAAUCUUUUCUUCGUUAUUCAUAAAAAAUUUAUAUUAUUCAUUGCGAUGGAUAAACAAUACUUUAUUCAGAGUAAAUUAUUUUCAUCACUCAAUUAUAAAAAUUUAUAAAAUGUCAUUCAAUUAUUUAAUUAGAUAAUAAUGAAAGCUUUUAAAAUGGCAUAUUAGCAACUUUAAUCCUAGACAUUUAUACAUCAUGUCAAUUUAGUCUUGAUUCUAAAAAAUUUAAUUCUCAAUAUUUACGUAAUGUAUAAUUUUUUCUUUGUGAUCCUUUAGUCUAUAAAGCUAAAAAUACAAAUUAUCAACUAAAUUUAAUUAAAAAUAUACAAAAAAAAUAGAAACACCAAAAAAUUCAAGAUAAUAAUUUUCAUAUUUUUUCAUUCUUUUAAAAUUAACCCUUAAUGUCACAAAGAAAAGUAAAAUUGUAAUAAAAAAAAACCCAAAUAACACAAUGUAUAAUGAUGGUUAAUUUUUUUUAGAAUCAAAAUUAAAUUGAUAUUAUUUAUAAAUAUUAAGGGUUAGCAUUGUUAUUAUGUCAAUUUUAAAACUGCUACUAUGAUAAAAAGAUAAUUAAAUUGUUGAAUGAUAUUUUUGUAUUUUUUUUAUCAUUGGAUUACAAAAAAUAAUUAGUAUUUUUCAUAAACAUUUUCCUUUUUAAAAAGCUACAAUUCAUCCCGGUAACACAAUAAAUUUAAGUGGUGUACUUGAAUAUGACAAGUCCACUGAGCUCCAACUCUUCGUCGUUAGUGUUUUUCUUUUUCUUUUUGCUUUUGCUUUAUGGCGUAUCCUCUAGACUUAUACUUCGAGUUGUUGACUCAAGUCUUCGUGAUUGCUGAGCAUAAAAACUUAUUAAUUUCAUCAUUAGUUUUUUAAUCUAUAAAUUUAUUUAAAUUAAUACAUUACUUUUGAAAGAUACCAUUAAUUUAUUUUAAAAAAAUAAACUUUUUUAAGAUUUAAAUAUUUAUUUUUAUUGUUAAAAAAUACUUUUGAGAAAUAAAAUAUUUAUUUUAAUAUGAUAUUGUGAAAUAGAAUUAUGCAUUUAAGUGUUUGUUUAAUUGAGGCAUUUUAUUUUAAAAGAGAAGAGCACAUUAAUUAUUAUAUUUUAGUAUUUUGUUGAAUAUAAAUUAUUAAAUUGUUAAAUUUUAUUAAUUAUUAAUCAUUUAUAUAUAUAAAUGAUUAAACUACUAAUUUCCUAUGAUAUACAAAAAGGAUUAACAAUUUUAAGCAGUUAAACUAAUUUCUCAAUUUUUAUAAAAUAAAAGGAUAAAUUCUUACAUGAUUUCUCAAGUUAAAGAAUGAAACUUUAAUUUAAAUCGCUAAUUGAGGAUAUGCAAGAGCAGUACUUGAAGUCAAAUUAUGUGCUUACAUUCAUUUGUUUAAUCAAAAAAAUAUUUUUUUUUAUGUUCUAAAUUUAAAUUUGAAUUUGAAUUGAAUUUUUUUUAUUAAAAAUGGGAUAAAUUAUCCUCAUAGUCACUUUCAAAUUAGGUUGUUCCUAUUUUGAUCAUCUAACUUUUUUUUUCUAUAAUUUGAUCACUGUCAUUAAAGAAAUUCAUCACUCAAACACUACUAAAUCCAUCUUUUCCUUAUUCUAUCUCUCUUUUCUUCAUCCUCUCCCUUCUGAUCCAGAAAUCCUAACCGCCUGCCUCCGUUAAAGAUGUCAUUGUUGUUUCCGUCGAACUACCAUCAGUGAGCUCAAAAGUAGAAAGACAUUUGAAAAUCAAUCCAUAUUACCAACGAGAUUAGGAGAUUGAAGCACAAAAAUUCUAAAGUUUUGGGAGUGGCCUCUCAACUUUUGAGAUUUUUUAGAAAUCUAAUCCUAUAGAUAUAAAUUAAAAGGAGGCUUUGGAUCAACAGUCUAAUGUCAAAGAGGACGUCGAACAACGAUAGUGAGAAGUGAUGUUUGUGGUUAAGAAUAAUAAAUACUUAAAUAAUAAUAGAACAAUUCUUUUUAUUUUUAUAUUUUUAAAAAUUAUAUGUAUUUUUUAAUGGGUAAAUUACACCAACAGUCACUCAACUUUGAUGUAGCUAAUAAAGCAGUCACUUUGAUUUCAAUUUAGUCACUCAACUUUCAAAAAAUAACAAAUCAAUCACUAACGUUAUCGAAAAGUAACAAAUUAGUCACCCAUUAACAUUUUCCGUUAUAGGCCUAAAGGGACAGGUGGCGUGGCUAGUUAACUAGCUGAUGUGGUCAGUUAACUUGCCACGUUAGAUGAGGCAAAGUUUCAAUUCAGUCAUUCAACUUUCCAAAAAUAACAAAACAAUCACUAACAUUAUUAAAAAGCGACAAAUCAGUCACCCAUUAACAUUAGUAUCAAAAAGUUACAAAUCAGUCACUCAUUAACAUUUUCCGUUAUAGGCCUAACAAGACAAGUGACAUGGCCAGUAAACUAGCUAGUAUGGCAAGUUAACUUGCCACGUUAGACGAGGCAAAGUUGUGUGACUUUUGUUUUUCAUCCUUUAUUUUCCAUUUUUUUCAUACAUGACCCAAUAUUUUUACUUUCUGCAUAAAUGACCCAAUAUGUUUAUACUUCUUCUUCUCCAUCCCAACAAUCUCGUCAUUGCCGCCUCCACCACAACCAUCUUUGGCGUCACCAUCGUUGACCUCUAAACCACCACCCUAUCCUUUUUUUUUCUUUUUCAACCCCCCAAUAGAGGAGCCACCACGAUUGGGAUCUGAUUGUCUUUUUCUGCUGCCCAAAAACAUUAACUUUGAAUUAACCAGAUCGAAAUGGGAUUAAGAUAAUUUUGGGUCAAAUUAUCAGUACCCACAUCCAAACCGGUGAGGAGAAAAUCCUCCAAAGCAACAUUUAAGCAAUUCAAGAAUCAAAACAACUCAGAUUUGUCGAGAUCUUCAUGGGAUAUGAUGAUAUAAACAAAAGGGGGCGUCAUUUAAGCUAAACAACACUAACUCCAUUACCAACAUUAUCAAGUUGCGUAAAACAAAAUCAGAAGCAAAACAAGGGGAACAUCCAAACAAACCAAACAAUCGAUUAAACUUAUGAUUUUCGAAAACAAAGGAAACGGUUCCUCCAAAAGGACAACCAAAUGCCGACAAGUGAAAUUCUGGGUCAGGUCAGUGAUUAGCAAGAUCCAAAAGCUAAAAUCAGACUGGGUAUUGUAGAUAAAAGAGGAUGAGAGAUGGAUCAGAGAAAGAGUGGCAGAGAUGGUCGGCAAUGAAAGUUGUGGUCGAGGUAAGGUAUGCCUAGUCCUUGGAAAAGGGUUUGAAUCGGGUCAUUGACCUAAGGGGUAAUCUAGAAAGGAUAUCAAAAAGGGUAUUUUAGGGUAAUGAGAAUGAAGAAGCCAUGGUUUUCAGCUUUCUUCCUGAGCAAGAAGAAUUUAUUUUAGGGUUUUAUUUGUUCUUAUUUUUGGGUGUCCGGUUUUUUGAAAGUUAGUAGGUCUGAUUUGUUAUUUUUUGAAAGUUGAGUGACUGAAUUGAAAGUUAAGUGACUAUUUUGUCAUUGAGAUCAAUGUUGAGUGAUUGUUGGUGAAUUUACCCUUAUAUAUAUUUUGAGUUCGAAAUAACAUGGUGGUCGGUUAAAUGCCAGGUCACUUUUAUGUUACGUAUGUAAUGAAAAAUGGUUUUCGGACUAAUUUGUUAUUUUUUGAAAGUUGAGUGACUGAAUUGAAAUCAGAAUGAUUGUUUUGUCAGCUACAUCAAAGUUGAGUGGCCAUUGGUGUAAUUUACCCUUUUUUUUAAAUUAUGUAUAUAUAUGUUUUCCUUUAUUUUUUAUAUAUUUUUUAUAUAUUUACAAUUUUUAAAGUUUAUAUUUGAAACAAAAUCUAAAAGUUAUACAAAACAAAUGCUAGUUGGCAUUUUCCAUUGGCUAAACAGCCACCAGAUUUUAUUUAAUGUCCGUUAAAAAAUUAGACCAAAAACUAUAAUCAAACAAUUCUUUAGGUAUCAAAUUGGGACAAAAAUAAAUUUAAAUACCAACGUGAGAAAAUGAGUAUGCUUCAAGAAUCAAAUUAUGAAUUAAAUUUUUUUUCAAGAAUUUUAUAUUUUUAUAAUUUAAAAAAUAAUAAUUUCAAAAUAAAUUCUCAAAUUUUAAAAAAAAAAUCCUCUAGAGCAUCAAAAUUAGCAUUACUAAGAUUAAGAUAAAUAAUCCAAAACAUGCUUCAUAAAACCAAAAAUACAAAAAGCCAAGUGAUUAUGAAUUUCUUUUGAUCAAUCCCUCACAUUUAAUCUCUAAUAAUUAACUCUCUUUUUUUCAAAUAAAUAUGAUAAGCAGAAAAUUAGGGGAAGUUUUAGAUUCAUCAAGUUCAUUGAGUCUGUCAUAAAUAGAUCAUAAAUUGGCAUCAUAAAACUCAGUGAGCAUGAUUUCAGUUAACCAAACCAUUGAGUGAUUGACCAUACGUGGAAUAAGGCAUUCACAUAGCAGUUCAUCUAAACCAACCCUUUGUAAAAGUAAUUCUUGUAAUAGAACAUAAAUAGGUUCAUCAUAUUAAGUAGAAAAAGAAAACAAUUUCGUCCUAAAUCUUAAAAAAGUGAAUCUAUUCUCAAGUAUUAAAAUUACUGAUCACCAGAGGUGGUAUUGGAGAUAAUGCAGUUGUCAAUUACUGACUCUAGCUUGAUUAAUUAAAAUUUCUUUCUAAUUAAAAUUUCUAUUAUUACAUUAAUUCGAUUUAUAGAUUUCCCUAUUAGAUUUGACUCUAAUCCGAUAGAUUUAUGUCGUCUUAUUUCUAAGAGUGCAUGCAAUUCCAUUCAACUAGGCAAGAUCUACUUUUAAACAAUGUCUAUUCCUCCUCUGAUUUAAGCACAUCAAACAUGGAUCAAUAAUUAGAAAUAUCAAACCAAGAAUUAAGCACACAUAAUUGAGAACAAGAUCCAAGUAUUUAUUGUGUAAAAUAAAAAUCAAAUGACAUAAUCCAUCAUAGGGUUUAUCUCUCUAGGUAUUUAGACAAUUAGUUCAUACUUGAAAAUAAAAACAUCUAAAACACAGUAUAACUAAAAGAAACAAAGAAAAUCAUGAUAAUCUCCUACGAAAUCAACUAGAAUCUUCAAUCUUGAUGGAAAUCUUCAGAUCGGCUUCAAUGGUAUUUUUCAAUUUAUUUUCUUAAAUAUUCUAUGACGACUCCCCCUAUCUUCUUAUUUUUGUUAUAUAUACAUCUUAGAAUGCUAGAAAAACUUAAAAAUCAUGUUUUUGCUCAGUUUAGGGUGCAAUCUCAUGUAAAUAACACAGCCUGCCACAUGGUCGUAUACCAGCCUAUGUGGCUCACACAAUUGUGUGUCAAGGCCAUGUGGAAAUGGUCAACCUGUGUGGUUCCUGUUGGUCGCUCUGAUUUUUCAAUUUUCGCUUGUUUUUUUACUCAUUUUGCUCUUAAAUGCUCUCCUAAGUAUAAAAACAUGAAUUUAAAAUAUUAUGAGCAUAAAAUUCACCAUUUGCAUCAAAUAAUUACCCAAAAAUGCAUUAGAAAUAAGGCUAAAACAUGUUACUUUUAGCACUUAUCAAGGCUAUUCUCAUUAUAUCUAUCGAUAGUUAUUUCCAACUCUUUGGAACUGAAGAGUUUAGCUUUAUCCAAACCACCUUCAUUUAAAGACAUCUUUUUUUUUGAAACAAUAAUCCACCAUUGAAAGAGGACUUCUUGAUGGGCAAGGAAUUUGAAAACUGAAGUUUUGUGAGCACUGCAUUUUUGGGAAGAAAAAAGAAUUCAAUCCACUAGAGGAAUCCAUAACACGAAAGAAACGUUGGAGUAUAUUCAUUCUGAUCUGUGGGGGUCAUCCAGAGUGCCUUCGAGAGGUGGAGCUAAUUAUAUGCUAACACUUAUUGAUGAUUUUUCUAGAAAAUUUUGGGCAUAUUUCCUGAAGCAGAAAAGCGAUGUAGUUUUUGUAUUUAAGUCUUAGAAAACUAUGAUUGAAAACCAGACAGGAAAAUACAUAAAACACCUCUAUACAAACAAUGGCUUAGAGUUCUGUUCUGAUGAGUUUAAUAAACUAUGCAAGUCAGAAGGGAUCGUGAGACACCUGACAGUUCGUUAUACUCUACAACAAAAAGACAUUGCAAAAUGAAUAAACAAAACAGUUAUUGAGAAAGUUCGAUGUAUGUUGUUGAAUGCUAACUUACCAAAGUCGUUUUGGGCAGAAGUAGCCUCUACUAGAUGUUUUUUUUAUCAACCGAUCUCCUUCUAUUGACAUUGAGAAAAGACUCUACAAGAGGUAUAGUCUGGUAAUCUUACUGAUUAUUCUGAUUUAAAGAUCUUUGGGUGCCCUGAGUAUGCUCAUGUUGAUAAUGGAAAAUUGGAACCAAGAUAUAUUAAAUGUGUUUUUCUUGGUUAUAAAGCUAGUGUAAAAGUGUAUGAGUUUUGGUGUCCUAAAAAUAGAAAUAUUGUGAUUAGCAGAGAUAUUUUUUUUUAUGAAACUUCUAUGCUGCCCGACUUAUCUCUUAAACACUCUUCCAAUAAAAAACAUCAAAAACAGGUGGAGUAUCAGAUUAAUCCAGAAUCUACAACAUAGUUGGCUCCUCAACUCAGUAUAGAAAUUCAAAAUAGAGUUACUUCUUUACCACAAUACUCUAUCGCCAAAAACAGAACUAGAAGAGAGAUUAAACCUCCAAAGAAGUAUGCUGAGUUGAUCUAGUUGCUUAUGCUUUAAAUGUGGUUGAAGAUAUAGAUGCAACCCAAAAGCCAUUUAAUUAUUCUGAGGAGGUUAGCUGUAAAGACUCAGAAAAGUGGAUGUUUUCUAUGCAAAAGACGAUUGAAUCACUCCACAAAAAUAGAACAUGGGAUCUUGUGAAACAUCCUAAAGGCAAAAAGUUGUUCAUUGUAAAUAAGUAUUGAAAAAGAAAGAAGGGUCUCUAGGAGUUGAAGAACCUAGAUAUAAAGUAAGACUUGUUGCAAAGGGUUACAGUCAAAUUCUAGGAGUGGACUUCACAGAUGUGUUCUCCCCAAUUGUGAAGCAUAGUUUGAUUCAAGCUUUGCUUGGUAUUGUGGCCAUGCAUGAUUUGGAGAUUGAGCAGUUAAAUGUAAAAACUAUAUUUUUGCAUGGAGAUCUUAAGGAGGAUAUUUACAUUUAACAACCAGAGGGUUUUACAGUCUUAGAAAAAGAGGACUAUGUUUACUUGUUGAAAAAAAUCCCUUUACAGUUUGAAACAGUCACUAAGAUAAUGGUACAAGAGGUUUGAUUCCUUUAUGACUUCUCAUGAUUUCAAAAGAAAUAAUUUUGACAGUUGUGUUUACUUUAAAAAAAACAGUGAUGGUUCUUUUGUGUAUAUACUCCUUUAUGUUGAUGACAAGUUGAUAGCAGUGAAAGAUAAAUGAGAGAUAAGAAAGGUCAAAGCCCAAAUAAGUGAAGAAUUUGAGAUGAAAUAUUUGGGAACAGCAAAGAAGAUACUUGGUAUGGAGAUUCUCAGAGAUAGAAAAGCAAGUAAAUUGUACCUAAGUCAGAAGGGGUACAUUGAGAAAGUUCUUUGCAGGUUCAAUAUGUAGAGUGCUAAACCUGUUAGUACUCCUUUAGCAACCCAUUUCAGGCUUUCAUCGGCUUGGUGUCCACAAUCAAAUGAUGAGAUUGAGUACAUGUCACAUGUUAUAUAUUCUAGUGUAGUGGGGUCUCUCAUGUAUGAUAUGCUUUGUACACAUCCAGAUUUAUCACAUGCAGUCAAUAUAGUUAGCAGAUACAUGGUGAAUCCCGAUAAAGAAUACUGAAAAGCAGUUCAGCAAAUUUUAAUAUGCUUACGAGGUACUACUGAUGUUUGCUUACAGUUUGGAAGAACUAGAGAUGGAGUCAUUGGGUAUGUUGAUGCUGAUUUUACUGGAGACCUUGAUAGAAGAAGAUUUGUCAUAGGUUAUGUAACACCCCAAACCCAAAAGUCCUAAGUACUUGAGUUGUCAAGUGAGUUUGAUCAAUGCCGAUUGAUCUAGAUGUUCCAAAGUCUGAUACUUUAGCUCGAAACUUUUCAUCUAAUAGUAUGUUACUAGACUUGAUAUCUCGGUGAUAAAUGGGGAUGGAUGCAAAUGAGUGCAAGUAAGAAAUCGCACUCGCAAAUUUCGUAACAAUACAAGUCAAAAAAAUAUAGGUUGUUAUAAGACUAAGGGAAAAUCGGCUAGCAUAAACUUUAAUUAAAAGUGGUUAAAUUGUAAAUUUCGAGUUUAGGGACUAAAUUGCAUAAAAAGGUAAACCAUUAGGGGUAAUUUUAUAAAUUUCCUAUUGAUAAGGGUUAUAAGUUGUAUUAAUUAUAUUAAGUUAUUUGAAUGGUUUAAUUGAAUGAAAAUUAUUAUUUAGAUUAAGAAACGAAUCAAUCAGAUCUAAACCGAGGAAAAACAAAUGUGUUGGGUUAGUCAUCGAUUUCAUUUUUACAACUGUAUUUUUUAGGUAAGUUCAUAUAAAAACUAAAUUAUUAUGAAAUUUUUUGUAUGUAAUAUUAAUAAAUAUUUAUGUUACAAUUAGAUUAGAUUAGUAAUUGUAUGAUAUUUUGGUAAUAUGAAUUAAAAUAGGAUGUUAAUCAAUUUGGAUGAUAUAAUGUUUUAAUUUGGAGGAGAUAUUCAAAAUGGUAUUAUGAUUAGAUGUGCUCAUGGGCCGGGCUGGGCCCAGAAAAAAAUUUCAGCCCGAGUCCUAGGCCCGGCCCGGCCCGAAAUAUGGGCCUAGAAUUUUGCCCAGGCCUGGCCCGAAAAAAAUUCAUAAGCCCGGGCCCGUUUUUUAAAUAAAUACCAAAAUUUUAUUUUAAAAAUUAAAACAAAAAUUAAAAAAGUAUUUUAAAAAUAUUUUAAAAUUAAAAAAAUUAAAAAAGUAUUUUAAAAAUAUUUUAAAAUUAAAAAAAUUUUAAAAAAAGUAUUUUAAAAGUAUUUUAAAAUUAAAAAAUAAAAAAAUAAAAAUAUUUAUUAUUUGGGCCAGGCCGGGCCCGGGCCAGGGCCAAAAAAGUGGUGCCUGAGGCCCAGCCCAUUUUUUAAUCGGGCCUCGUUUUUUACACAAGCCCAUAUUUCGGGCCUAUAUUUUUACCCAAACCCUCCCAUAUUUCGAGCGGGCCGUCGGGCCGGGCCGGGCCGCCCGGCCCAUGAGCACCUCUAAUUAUGAUGAAGGAGAUGUAUGUUUGAAAAUGAUAUAAUGAAAUGAAAAUAGAGGUUUUAGAUAUGUAAAAAUAUCUCGUUUGAACCUCGAGAAUUCUUAAGAUACAAAUGACAUAUCAUUAGGAAUUUAUAUGGUUUUGGGUGCUGGUCUUGGAUGUCCUACCGAUGGUUGAGGUCUUGCAUUUAUUACGAAUUCUUCAUAGCUCGUGUGAGCAGCAUCGUGUAGCUAACAUCUUGACCCACAGCUAGUGUGAGCAUUAUAGAGACGAUUACAAUUAUGUGUACAAGCACACUUUGUGUGAGCAUUUCCUGAUUAUUCAAUGAUAUUCUAUUUGGUUCCACAAGUAAAUAAAGCUUUAAAGGCUAUGUGAUUUCAUGAAAUGAUCCAUGAUUUUUUUAUUAAUGAUAUGGAUUAUGAUGAAAUGUGUAAUUGAAAGGAAAAGAUGGUUUAUUGUAUAUGUAUGAGUGAUGAAUUAUGAAAGUGAAAUGUUAGAUAUGUUUUAUGACAUGCUUUGAUUGGAUUUAUAUAUACAAUGUUACACUAACUAACCUUGUGAGAUGGUGCGUAUAGGAAAGUAAAGUUGGCUUACGACACAAUGAAAUUAUGCUUGGUUGUUUAACUUAAAAUGUUCGGUAAGUUUAACUUUCUUUUAUAUGAGCUUACUAUGCACUAGUUGUUUACAUAGUUAUUUUUCUCUGUCUUGUAGACUAUCAGAAAGCUCGAUCGGUUGGAAUCGCGUCAAAGCACGGUCACACUAUCCAUCCAACAUUUUGAUAGUUUUUGGUUAUUUUGGUAAAUGAUUAUAAAUGACAUAUAAUGGGGUUAUAAGGUUAUUCUAGUGAUUUGGCUUGUUUUGAGUUGUGCCAAGCUUGUUGUGAUUAAUGUUGUUGGUUAUUGGCAUGUAAAUAAUGGUGUAAAUAUAUAUGCUUGAACCCUUAUGCAUGCUUUAUUGAUAGAAGAUAUCAUAUGGUAGAAUGACAUGUUUUUGAAAUGGCUAUUUGGCAUGAUUUGUGUAGGUUUAAGUUAUGAUCUUAAGAUAUUUAAUUGAAUUAAGUUUGAUAUGUAUAUUGUGGUGCCUUCAUUGGCAUAUUGAUUAGAUCUUAAAGGAUGGUUGAUUUGGUAUGUUUUUGAAAUGGUUGUUGGUAUGUUUGAUAUAAGUUUAUUGAAUGAACUUGUAAUGUUGAAUGGUAUCAUAUUUGAUUUGUAGUUAUGGUACCUUUUUUUUGGUACAUUGGUUAGUCUUAUAGGUUGAUGGAAUUGGUGUGUUUAAAGUGUGUUUUGGUCAUUUGAAUGUUUGUGGAAAUGGUGUGCCUUGGUGUGCAAGAAUUUGGAUUGAAAUGGCUUGAUUUAAAGGCAACUUAUGUUGCGCACGACCUGGGACACGGGCUAUCACACGGUCGUGUGACCCAAUAUCGAAUGCAUACAUAGUUUGGCACACGGUCAUGUGGCCCUAUUUCAAAUACCUAUACAGGCAGACACACAGUCUAGGACACGGCCGUGUGUCCAUACUUUGAAUAUCCACAUGGUUUGGGCUAUGUCACACAACCUGGCCAUACAGCCAUGUGACCCUGUUUUCCCAAAUUUUCUAUUUUGUUUCAAAUUAAUGCCUAAUUGUUCCUGAGUUUUUUAGGGCCCCAAAGGCUUAGUUUAAGGCUUGAUAAUGUAUUUUUACUAUGGUUAUAUUAAGUUGUCGGAUGUUGAUAUUAAAUUGCAUAAUUAUUUUUAUUUUGAUGCUGAAAGUUCUGAUUUGUACGAUAAUGCUUUGUAACCCUAAUUCGACAACGGACUAGGGGUGUUACACAGUGGUUCCAAUGUGAGUUCAAGGUACCUUCUUUUUGUUUUGUUUAAGGAGUGGCUAUUAUGGAAUAUGCAAAAUAAAGGCAGCUUAAGUAAUGAUGAUAUUGGUUGGCAAAUCCUGUUUGUUAUAUUAUGUUGGCUAAUUUGGAAAUAUAGAAAUUUGCCUGUUUUUUAUAAUAGUCACAAGUGCACCCAAGCCAUUGUGGAUACAGGUUACUCUUGGGCUAGGAGUUAUGUUGAUGCAGAUGUGAAAAUGAAACAGCCAAGAUCCAUAAGGUUCUUUUCGAGUUGGUCGUCUCAAGAAAUGGGUUGGAUAAAGAUUAAUUCUGAUGGGGCGGUGUCAAUUAGUGGGAAGAGUACUUCCAUUGGAGGAGUGCUGAGGGAUUCAAAUGCAAAUUGGUUGUGUGGUUACGAUGAGUUUCGGUAAAGAAUAAUUUUGAAAGUUGAGACAAGAGUGAUGUUGGAAGGUCUUUUUAUAACUUGGGAGAAGGGGUUUGGAAAGGUUGAAGUAGAAUGUGAUAAUGCACUUUUGAUAGAGUUAAUAUUGUCCGGUGGAGGAGCCAAUAGCCUAGUGGAAUAAAGGUUAUUGCAUUAGUUGCUGCGUCGGAAAUGGGAUAUAUAUGUCCAACGUAUUCUGAUGGAUCAGGAUGGGGUUGCGGAUCACAUGGCUAAUGUACUGAUGCAUGAAAUUCUUUCCUCCGUUUGUUUGCACUUCCACCAGAUUCGGUUAGAGAAUUGUUGAUUGAGGAUCGAAUUAGAUCCUUUUAAUUUUUGAAUUGGUUACUAUAAUCACUUAAUGUUGUCUCUUUUCUACCAAAAAAAAUAAAAAAAAUAUACAUAAACUAUGAACAUACAUAUAAUUAAACAUUACUGAACCUAAAAAUUAAAACAAUAAUUAUCUUUGUCCAAAAAAUAAAAAUUAAAUAAAUGCUUUUUGUUGUUGGCUUGAUGACGAUCUUGGGCAUUGUGCUCUGCUUCAUCAUUUGUAAUUCAAGAUUUUAUCAUUUCUAGCCAUUAACAGUUCUGUACCGUCGUCGACGUCACUGAAAGAAUCCUUGUUUCCAGAUCGUUCAGCCUCAGCUCCAAACCCCUUUCUUGGGAGGGAAACUCCCAUCAAGUUUCAAAAAGGUCUUGAACCUCUCUUUCAAUUCUUUAAGCGAAUUUGUUCCUUCCAAAAUAUAUCAAAUUGAAAGGAAUAAGGUAUAUUGUGCUCUCUUCCAACAGCCUCACUCAUAACAUCUCCUCUUCUUUACAAUUUCUUUUAUUUGGCAAAAAACAUUUAAUUAUUUCACAUAUAUGUUCAAAGGUUAUAUAUAUAUUUUGAUUAUUUAUAUACUUUUUCAUAAUUUUUAUAUAUAUAUUUCAAUUUCCUUUCUAUUUUAUAUUUUUAAAUUAUGUAUAUAUUUUUCUUUAUUUUUUACAUUUUUUAUAUUUUUAAAAUUUUAUAUUUGAAAAAGAAUAAAAUUUAUAUGUUUUACAAAAAAAAACGAGGCGCUUUAUUUUAUUAGAAUAAUUUUUUAAGUACUAAAAUAGAAAAAAAUAGAUAUCAAAUUGAUAAGUGUAUAUACUUCAAGAACCAAAUCAUGAAUUAAAAUUUUUAAUAAUUUCAUAUAUUUUUUAUAAUUUCAAAAUAAAUUCUCAAUUUUUUAAAAAAAAAUCCAAAAAUCAACUUUACUAAGAUUAAGAUAAACAAUCAGAAAAUAAAGUUAAUAAUAGUUAAAUAAUUAGUAUUUUCCAUAAACAUUUUCCCUAUUAUAAUAAUAGAAAAACCACGAAUAACUAACGCAACUAAUACAACUUGAAUCUAAAUCACAUCUGUAAUAAGGCCCAAUCGGCCUGGGUCCAAACUAAACAAAAACAUGUCAGGCCCAACAAAUAAGUGGUCCAAUACAAGCCCAAUAACCGAUUUGCAAACCCUAGCCCAGCAAAAAUUAAUUUGCUGAAAUCCUAGCAGCCUCCUUGCCUCAGCGCCGCUCCCACGCGCAGCAAGUCUUCACCUUCGACAGUCCCAAGCGCCGCACGUCUCGGAGACCGACUCCCCACGCGCGCCAUGCUCUCCGCAACGAACCUGCAAACACGGAUUCAAAGAAUCCGAAAGAGGAAAAAUAGCAAAGAAUAACAAAAUAAAUAGUUUUUAUUUUGUACAUUUCGGCGAUAAAAGGGUCGAUUCAGUGUAAAAGGGGGGAAUCAAUUCAGUGUAAAGAAAUAGAAAAAUAGAGAGAAAAAUAUUGAGAUUUCUAAGUUUUUUCAAAGGUGAAUCGAGUUUAUUUUUUUAUUUUGUCUAUUUCUUUGUUUUAUUUUUUUUAUUUAUCUUUCAUUUAAAAUAAAAAAGAAAAGAAAGGAAAAAACUUACCUGGACGCCAGAGUCUUUAAGACCGGUGUCAUCUCCGUCGAAGUCGGAGCAUGGGCAUUAGGCUUGAUCGGCGGCGCAAAGAAAAGGGUUGAAGAAACCCUAGCAGAGUGAAUAAAAGGGCAGCAUUUAGUUUUUUUUUUUUAAAUGGGCUAUCAUAAUUUUAAAAGGAAAAAUUUUGAUUUAAAUAGUGUUACAAAAAACGGUGCCGUUUCACCAAGGAGGAUCCGCAUGUUCUGCCCUUAAAUGGGAUAUUUGGCUAUGGGUCCUUCCUUUUUGUGGCGCACUUCAAUUAAAUCCUUUUUUAUUUCUUUUAAUUUUAGCCUCACAUUUCGUUUCUGUCUCAAUUUAGUCCAUCACUGCACAACAUUUUAUGGGCGGGAUUAAUUUCGCUUUUAGUCCUCCAUUGUUGGGCACGUUUCCAAAUUAGUUUUUUUAAAUUUAUUUCAAAUUUGCCCCCUUUUCCGUUUUAAUUCAAUUUGGAUCAUUUUUUUUCUUCAAUUAUUUUAUUUUAUUUUAUUUUAUCAUUAUACCAUUAUUAGUAUUAUUAUAUUACUUACUAUCAUUAUUACUGCCACAUUUUCUAUACCUGUACAUAUGCGUACUUUAUAUAGGCAUGUUUAUAUAUAUAUAUAUAUAUAUAUAUAUAUAUAUAUAUUUAUUUUCUAAGCUUUUGAAAUUCGUAUAUAUUAUAUACGUACAUAUUGUUUUAUAGUUUAUAUACACUUACAUUUUAUACUUCAUUUUUUAUAUACCUUUAUAUACAUACAGAUUUUCACACACAUAUGUUUUUUUUUCAUAGUUUAUUUAUAUAUUAUAUUUAUAUAUAUAUUUUGUUCUUUUAUUGUAAAUAUAUACGCAUAUACAUACGUUUUCAUUUUUUUAUUUUUUGCUUUUAUAUACUCUAUAUUUUAUAUAUACAUAUGCUAAUACAUUUUCCUUAUUUUUGAAAGUUUGUACACAUCUGCAUGUUUUUAUACUCUUAUUUUAUUGUCAUUACAUAUAUACAUGUAUAUUUUUAGGAAUUGUUAUAGGUUUGCAGUAUAUUUCUUCACUUACCUUUUCAUGUAUUCCUAUAUUUAUGCGUGUUAAAUAUAUGUAUACACAUAUUUUUAAAUUUACUUGUAUACUGUGCUUGUGCUUAUAUAUUUUGUAAGUACAUGUACAUAUAUAUUUUAAAUUAAAAUAUUUGUAUCAUAUUGUACAUUAUUUUUUUUAACAUACACUUUUUGAAAAUAUAGUGUGGUUUUAACCAUACAUCAAAGCUAUUUUCUUGAUUCAAAGGUUUUUUUCUGAAUAAAAGCAAUAUUCGAAGUUUGGGAUUUUUGAGGGAAAUUGAGCCCUAACGUAUUGGGUUCUGAUUUUCUUUGUUAAUCUUCAAUAACUGAGGACAUUCUUUAUUCAGAAUGCAUGAGUAUAAAAAUCAUUUUUGGAAACUUAACUUGUUGUGUCCUAACGUAUUGGAUGUGGCAUGUUACUUUCUCAAAAUGAAGAUUUUCGCAUAAAAUAAAAGUGGAUAUUCAAAGUUCGGGGAUUAUGAGGAAUUGUACCCUAACGUAUUGGGACUCGAUUUCUUUACAUGACUUGAACAAUUGGUUAUCCUUUUGCAAAUUUCAUCAUUCAGACUUAUUUUAAAAUCUUUUUAACUUUCGACACUAAGACAUCAAAUAGUCAAUUUGGUACCGAUUUUGGGCGUUACGAGGGUGCUAACCCUUCCUCGUGCGUAACUGACUCCCGAACUCAUUUUCUCAAAAUUCGUAGGCCAAAAUAAUUUUUAAGGUGAGCCGAUCACACCCUAAUAAAGGAUCGGUGGCGACUCCAGUUUUAUUUUUAAAAGUCGACAACUAAAUUUUUGUUUUCAAAAAAACGGUUUCGACAACACCUAAAACGAUAAACAUUUUUAACCAUCAAGUUAUCAUAGGCUACAAAUUAACCCCGGGAACACAGCAAAUAUAUGUGGUGUGCUUGACUAGUUGCUUUAUCCUCUGGACUUAUACGUCGGGUUGUUGACUCCAAGUCUUCGUCUAAAAUUUAAUAUUUCUUUCGUAAUUGUAUAAUUUCCAUGACAAGUCUUCGUCGUUUGUGUUUUUACUCUUUCCUUUUGCUUUAUUGCUUUAUUAUCUCAUCAUAAUUAGAAUCAUCAUUCUAUACAUCAAUAAUUUGAAUGUUUAAACCGUACAAAUGAUUUCUAAGAAAAUAAAAUAUUAUUAAUUUCAUGAUUAGUUUUUUUAAUCUAUAAUUUUAAUUAAAUUAAAAUAUUAUUUUUAAAAAGUGAUUUUGAAAAAUACAAUAUUUUUAAAAAGUUUAAUAUAAGAUUUAAGUAUUUAUUUUUUAAAAAUAAAAUAUUUAUUUUAACAUGAUAUUGUGAAGUGAAAUUAUGCAUUUAAAUGUUUAUUUGAUUGAGAAGCUUUAUUUUAACAGAGAAAGACACAUUAAUUAUUAUCAUAAAAAUCUAGUAGCGAAGAGAUAUAUCAAGACUCCUAAAUUAGUAAUACCAAAAAAUAACCAAAGAUGCACUAUAAUAAUCAUCCACUAAAAGAAACAACUAAGAAACAUUCAAAUAGAAUUAUUGUUACCGCUAUCAUUAUUGGAGAACUCCAAAUAGCAGUUAUUUAUAGACAUAUUUUCGUCAGUAGCACCUAGUAGAACUUAUUUGGUAAAAAAUCAUUUAAAAUAUUAAUAAUUUUCAUUUAGAUUUAACUUUUUCAAGAUGAAAAUGCUAAAAUUUAAGAUGAAAUUACUAAUAUGAUAUACAACUAUUGAAAAUAGAUAAUAUCUCUGUUUUAUAUAAUCUUUUCCAAAAAAAUAUGUCUUUGUUCUCACUUCCAUUUUGAUGGUUGAAAUUAAGUAACUUUUGAUGUUGAUAAUAAUUUAAAAAAAAAACAUUUUAUAUUUUAAGUUAUUAUGAUUAAGUUACUUUGAAGCUUCCAUGUAACACUCCAAAUCCAGCCUAGAAGUUUAAGCCAAAUUUGGAUGAGUUAUACCAACGUAUUGAAAAUUGAUUUUUUUUUUGGAGUUUUAACAGAAAUUCAUUUUAGUCAAUUUGGGUCGUUUUGUAAUUUCGUGUUAGAAAUUGACAUAUACUGACAAGAUUAUCAAAAGAAAAGCAAGGCAAACCUACACUACACCAAAACAGGCUUUUAGCGGCACUUUUAGCGGCUUUUGGGCAGAAAAUAUUGGUAAAAAUCGGGCAUUAGCGGCGCUUAAGUGAAAUCGCCACUAAAGAUCGAGCCUUAGCGGCGUUGUUUUCUGACCUUUUCGGGGCUUUAGCGGCGUUUUUGAGAAAGCGCCGCUAAUGCUCGGGGCUUUAGCGGCGUUUUUGAGAAAGUGCCGCUAAUACUUCUUUAGCAGCAUUUUUGAAAAAGCGCCGCUAAUGCUCUAGUCUUUAGCGGAGUUUUUGAAAAAGCACCGCUAAUGCUGGGCUUUAGCGGCGUUUUUAAAAAAGCGCCACUAAAACAUUUUAUCUUAAUUGGUUUAUUUAUAUUAAUUAAAUAAAAUUCAAUUUAUUUCUAAUUGAAUAUUUAAAAUCUUCAGAAAAAAUUAAUGACACGUAGAAAUAAUUUGAAAUAAAACACACGGAAAAUUUAAAAUACUAUUAUUUAAAAUAAUUUUAAAGUUUUUUGGGUAAAUGAUUAAUGAUUGUUUUUUAAUUUAUAUAUUAAAAAAUUUCUUAUAUAAUCGUAAAAGAGAUAGUAUUAAUUUUAAAAUAUUGAAUUAAGUAUCACUAUAGUUUAGGGUUUUUGGUUUAAGGUAUAUGAUUAAUUUAAGAUUUAAGGCCGGUUUAGGAGUUACUGUUUUAAGGUUUAGGGAGUAGGGAUUUAGGGAUUAUGGUUUAAGGGUUGGGGUUUAAGGUUUAGGGGUUAGGGGUUAGACAUUGUAGGUUAAGAUUUAGGGAUUUAGGGUUUAGGGAUUCAAUGGUUGGGUUAGGGUUUUAGGUUUAGAUUAAUUAGUUUUUUAACUUAUAUUUUAAGGUUUAUGGAUGAUGGGUUUAGGGAUUAUGGUUUGUGGUUUAUGGUUUAAGGGUUGGGGUUUAAGGUUUAAAGGUUAGUGGUUAGGGGUUAAAGGUUUAGGGUUUAUAAAAUUUAUUUUGGAUAGGACCAAAUUAUAAAAAAUAAAAAUGAAAUACAAAAACUAAAAUCAUUCCACAUCGAACAUCCAGCAAAAUAGUUAUAUUUUAGCUAGGAAGAAAUAUCUCUAAUAAAAUGGAGAUUAGAUCGGAAAAAAAUAAUAUAAAAUCAUGAUUUAGGUCUCAAUCUUUAAUAGAAAUUUGAUAUGUGAGAGGUUGAUUGCUUAAUAAUUAAUUACAACCAUUUAAUCAUUUGUUUUCUUAUUAAAAUAUACAAUAUUUAUUUUGAGAAUAUUUGAUUUUUUUAAUAAAAAUCUAAUUUAUAAAAAAUAGUAAUAAUAAAUGUUUUAUAAAAUUACUUAAUUAAUUAUAAUUUUUAGCAGACAAAAUAAAAAAUUUUGAGCAGGGCAAAACGGCAAGAUUUUGUUCAAAAUAAUCAUUUUAUUUUAAAAAAACUCACUCCUUUAUAUCCCAAAAUUUCCCCCCUGAAACCCUAAUUUUUUACCUCUUCUUCGCGGUUUAUGAGUAUUAAAAAUUUAAUAGUCGCAUUUCGCUUCUUCACACUUUUCAAACUCAUUUCUUUUCCUCUCCCUCGAAACCGAAGGUUAGGAUAAUGGGUAAAAUAUUUUGUUUUUCUUUUGUUUACUAUGCUUUUGAGGUAGAGUAUGUUUAGGUCUUAACAGUUCUCUAUUUAUGUUCAUCGAAAUUAUUUGGGGUUAGCUUAAAAUCACUACAAAGUUAAAUGUCUCCAUCUCUGCAAGUCCCGCAAUAUAUAUAUUUUUGUGAAAAAUUUUGAACUUGGGAGAAAGAUAUCUAAUUCUUAUAGAUUGGUUUAUUUUUCUAUAUGAACCUUUCUUCUUCAUUGACUUCUCUUAAUCUGUUUGGGUGUCGUAUGCAAUGGAAUUUCUCUUAAUCUACCUCGAAUACAACUAAAUAAAAAUUCAUAUUUUUUCAACCAUUCUUCUGAAAAUUUAUUGUUUGUUUUGCAGUAUCUUUAAAGUGUAAUAUUUUUUUUCUGGGUUUGAUUAAAUGGAGAAAAAUAAGGAUGACGAUUAUGGAGAGGAAGAAGAUUCAGAGUAUGUAUUACUUGAUCUUGAAGCUGUUCGUGCGCAGAUUGACAUCCCUCCAAAUGCACCUUAUACUCUUUUGUAAGUUCUAAAUUUUUAUAUGUUACAAAUUUGUUAAGGUUUUUUUGCAGUUCUGUGAAAUUUAGAAUUUAUAACUGAAUGAGUAUUUAGGAAGUUUAGUCUUGAAUACAUAUGACAGAUACAAAUAUUUUAAGAAAACUAAGAAUCCGAGAAGAAAGCUUUGCCUUCGGUCUUUGUUGCUCGAUGUUCAUUUUAUAUUUGUUAAUUCAUAAAACGAAAGCUCUUAUAUUUUUACUGGUCAGCUUAUGAGGAUUAGGGAAUUUUCAUGUGUUGAUAGAGAUCUUAAUCUAGUUAUAUAUAAUACUAGCUAUCCGUGUGAUUGCUUUAAUUAUGAAGAACUUAAUCUAGAUUAUGUAUAUACUUGCUUUGUACUUGUUGGAUUUAAUAAAUAUUAGAUUCGGCAAUCUGCAUUUCAACAUUUAUGGUGUUAUAUAUUUAUAUAAAAUUUGGCAAGUUUAUAAUUUGUAUUAUAUAAAAUUUCUUAUAUUUGCGUAUUCAUUUAGUUUGCAAUAUGAUUGGUCUUAAUAAAAAUCAACUUAUAUAUGUUUUUGUUCGUAUAUUCUCAUGUAAGAAAUGCUGUGAACUUUUAACCUAUGAAUGAAAAUUUCACUUCCAUUUUACUCAUGUUCAAACAUGAUUUGCAAGCUAGAGUCCAAGAAUAUUUGUUUGAUUGAUAUAUUUUGUUCCCUCUUAUUUGUUCAUGUAAUCCAUUGGUUUUGUUGCUAACUUGUAUAGAAGGAAUCAGAUUCUGUUAAGUCAGAAGUUGAAGCAAACCAAGUUGAUGCUCUCAACACUCUUGACCAGUAUCAUCUGCUUUGGAUGAGAUUUUGUCAGUUGAAGCUGAAAAAGUAGAUGAUGGCAGGGAUGAGGGUGGUCAGCAACGAAAGGAGGUAAAGUAGUUGAGAAAGCAGUUUCCAACAUCUUGUCACAUAUGGAGCACUCCCUUCCUGUGCAACCUUUAUUAUUUUUAUUACCUUUUGGCAAUGAUUUGUUACUUAAACCAUUCAUUUAUAGGCUUGGGCUGUUAGUGGAGGUAGUGAGUGGAUUACUGAUCAGUUUUAUGAACUAGUUCCUGACAUGGCAAUUGAGUUUCCUUUUGAGUUGGAUACAUUCCAGAAGUAGGUACCUACCUCGAAAUUGAUUUAUCAUUUGAUUGAAAUAGAAUUAUUAUGGUUAGGGUAGAAAAUGAUGUUUCCAUACUUCUGAAAAUAAUUGAUCCUCUAACUUCUAAUAAAAAUGGAUUCUUUUACAUGAUUCAUAUUCUACUAAGAAUCUGUUCUUUAGUGGAUCCUGUCUGGUCAAGUGAUCCAAAGUACAUCUAAAUGUCAAUGCCAUCCUUUUGGUUUUUUUUAUUGCUCAAGCUUGUACACUGCCAAAGUGUAAUAUCUCUGUUGCACUUUUCUCCCCAUUUACGAAGCAUUGAGCAGUGCCCUUUUGCAGUUUUACCUGAUUGGAUUUAUUUUUGUUUUUUUCCAUUUUUGAGUGCUUGAUGCAUUCUGUUUAUUUGACAUUUUGAUUUGAAUAUCUCUUGAACUGAAUAAAAAUAGGUUUUCAUAAGUGCUUCAAAGAAAUCCUUCUUUCUUUGGAGUUUGUUUCUAGUAGCUCAUGUGGAUAAUAUAAUUGCCUUAAGUUCAUCCACUUAUAAAACCUUUGUAUGGGUUGCUUCUAUCUCUUUUCCCUCCCAGCUUAUGACUUGCAGUCUGUUUUGCCUACAAGAACAUCUCUUUAUCUUCUAUAACAAACUGCUCACAUUAAUAUUUUGAUAUUUUUUUGGUGAUGAUUACAGGCUAUUUAUUAUCUGGAAAAGGGAGAAUCUGUUUUUAUGGUGGCACAUACAUCUGCUGGAAAGACAGUUGUAGCGGAAUAUGCAUUUGCUUUGGCAUCAAAAUUACGUUAGUUAUUUUGGUUUUUGCUUGUAAAUCUAUAGACGUUUUGAUUUUUUGUUAGCUGGAGAUGUGACAAAUUGCUCACAUUGAUUAAGAACCUCAGGCCAUAUCUUUUUUAUUUUCAAGUUUCUGAAGUUCUAUGCCGAAUUUGGUUUAGUUUCAAGAUGUUUGAUAAGUUUUCAUGUCAUGCAGCAUUGCACUAGAGCUGUGUAUACUGCUCCAGUUAAAACAAUCAGCAACCAGAAGUAUAGAGAUUUCUGUGGGAAGUUUGAUGUUGGCCUUCUCAUAGGUGAUGUUAGUUUGAGACCAGAGGCUUCUUGUCUCAUCAUGACAACUGAAUUAUUAAGGUCAAUGCUUUAUCGAGGUGCAGAUAUUAUUCGCGAUAUUGAAUGGGUGAAGGUGUUGGGGUUGCUUUUUGUAGCAUUACUUUACAUAGUAGUUUCAUUACUUUUUCUGCUGAACGCUCUUGUUAGUUCUUUUCUCUAAAUUGUGAACAUGAUAUUUAAGAUGUUUCUUUCUAUUGUGACUAUAUGAAUGUAGAUUAUAUUUGAUGAGGUGCACUAUGUGAAUGAUGUUGAAAGAUGAGGUGCACAUUUGUUUUCUUAUUGUAAGAAUAUUUUUAACAUUGUAACUUUUAACAUUAUUGUAAGAUUAUUUUGAAUUAUACUUUAGUUAUCAAUUUAUAUCAUAUAUCUUUCGUUGAAUUUGAAGUAUCAUUUAGAUUUGCUAUUUUUGGUUGGAUUUCAUGCUACAAGAAGUGUUGUAUAUGGAUGAAAAUUGAAUGUUAGAAAUUUGUCAAAGUUAGUGGCGUUUUUCAUAAAUGCCGUUAAAGAAAGGUACUUUUAGCGGUGUUUGUGAUAAAAGCGUCGUUAAAGAAUGGUACUUUUAGUGGCGUUUAGGAGAAAAGUGUCGCUAAAAGUCAUGAUUUAUAGCUACAUUUGUGGGGAAGCAUCACUAAAAGUCAUGAUCUAUAGCGGCGCUUGUUUCUAAAAACGUCGCAAAAGUUAGCGGCAUUGUCAAUAGCAACAUUUUUUGCGGCGCUUCUAAAAGCGCUGCAAAUAGUUUUAGCGGUGCUUUUUUAGCGUCGCAAAGAUUAAAAAAUAUAUUAUCACAUUUUGCAAAAAAUAUUUGUUUUGCAAAGAUUAAUUAUUUUUAGGAAAAUGAGAAAAUUUUGAAUGAUUAAUUUUAUCACAUUUUAUUUCCUGACCUUAUCACUUAUAUGAAAUUCUCUUUUCAACUAAUAAUAAAAUUAAAAAAAAAUACAUUUGUUAACUUAAGCUCUUCAUCUCAGUUGAGAGCUUGAGACCUUAUAAUAUAUAAUACUAGAAUUUGUAUAUCCGUGUGAUGCACAGACUAAUAGUGUUUGUCAAUAUAAUUAUUUUUAAAAAAAAGUAAUAUAAAUUUAUUCUUUAACAUAAAAAAUUGAUAAUACAUAUUAGUAGUAUAUAAAAUAUAUGUUUUAUUAUGAAGUUUGGAAAUAUUAUAUUAAAAUGAUUUUAAUAAAUAGAGAUAUGAAUUGUUUAAAAAAUUGAAAAAAAAUUGAUUUUGAAAUAUUAUAUUAAAAAGAUUAUAAUAAAUAGAUAUGUAAAUGUUUUAUUAUAAAAUUUUCUACUAACAAACAAAUUAAUUUAUGAAAUACAACUAUACUUAACAAUAACAAAAAAUACUAUUAUAAAAAAUAAUAACAAUAAGAUUAAUUUUAAAAAAUGUUUAAAGUAAAUUAUCCAUUAUAAUUUAAAAAGAGAAGAAGUAAAAGAAUAAUUUAUCUAAAAUUAAAAUAAUACUUGAAAUGAGGAGUGUCACGUGUCAAAGUAUUAUAAUGUGAGCACAUUUAUUUAUUUAUUUAGAGCAUACAUAUAUAUGAUAUUUGUUUUUUACUUUAUUGUAUAAUAAUAUUAAAUCAAUAAUUUAUUUAAGUGAAAAAACAACUAAAGAAGUAAGUGAUAUCGUUAUGUUAGAUCGGAUCAUGGAUUGUAACUUUGGAAAUAUUAUUAAAAAGAUUUAGUACAAUAUUAAGAAUGUUUUUUUUUCUAUUUAAGGUAAAUUACUUAGUUGGUCAUUCAAUUUUUAAGAUACUUUCAUUUUGGUCAUCCAAAAUGAAAUAAUUGUAAUUUUGUCACUCUACUACUUUUAGGGUGCUUUCAUUUUAGUCACUCAACCAUUAAAUCUCUAACCACAGUUAAUUGUGCAUGUCACUUCUUAUUCACACUUUCAUGGUCACUCAACUUCUAGAUCACUUACAUUUUGGUCACCUAAAAAAAAUUAUUUUUUAAAGUAUUGAUUGGGGUAAAAGAAUUAAUGAUUAAAGUGAAAAAUUGGUAGAAACUAUUUUUUUUCAAUAUUAAAUUUUAAAUUUCAAAACAUAAAAAUUAAUUAAAUAAAUUAUUGAAAAUUAAUUAAAUAAAUUAAUUCAAUAUUAUAGUAAUAAAUUUGUUGACUCUAUCGAGGGAUAAAAAUAUUUCAAUAACUUAUUUAAUUGAUUUUCAUGUUUUGAACUUUAAAAUUUCAAUAUUGAAAAAAAAAAUAGAAUUUUCAACAAUAGGGUAAACAAGUACAAUUUGACAAUUUUUAAAGCUUUAUUUUAGUUUCUACCACUUUUUCACUUUAAUUCUUAAUACUUUUUUACCUCAAACAAUACUUAAGAGAAUUAGCGUUAACUACAAUUAGAUAUUUAAUAGUUAGGUGACUAAAAUGAAUGCAUAUCCUAAAAGUUUAGUGACGAAAUAGUAAGAAUUUUAUUUUGAGUGACCAAAAUAAAAACGCCUUAAAGUUAGAUGAUCAACUAAGUAGUUUACCCUUUUAUUUAAUAUUUAUAUAUUUUAUAAUUAAAUUAAAAUAAUUUUCGUUAAAAUAGUUAAAUUGAAGUAUAUUUUAUAAGGAAAGCACGACUGCUGUUUUCUUUAAUAGACACAAUCACCUAUUCAUUAAGGUGCUUUUAAUUUGGUCUUUCGGGACUCACCAGUAAAUCCAAAUAGAAUGAUUAUGUGGUGUGUUUUUUUUAAUAGCAUAAUAAUAAAUUUGUAACUUUUACAUAUUUUAUUAAUUUGAUCUAAAUUUUAAAAAUCAAGUUUUAUGGACAUUUGUAGAGUUUUUUAGGCCUACCCCGUCAAUGAUAGGUUUUGGAUCCUUUUCCUGACUCACAGGUGAGACCUCACUUAACUCAUCUCUAUCUAUCACUACUCACCUAGAAGGUUAUUAUGCCUCCCAAAUAGUCAAUACCUCAUAUUAAAAGAGGUCACCCUCGCCUAUAAAUAUUUCUUUCUAACGUUAAGGAGGUGUCUUCUUCUCAUUCUACCUUCACACUUCAACUAAAUGCAUCCUAACCUCCUUACAGCUUUUUGCACAUCACCAUAUGUGAACCAUUACCCUAGCUCCCAACCUCUUUCUCCCCUCAACAAUAAUUAUAAAUAAUUCAAAAAAAAAAUAAAAAUUCAAAAGUUAUUAAAAAUAAUAUAAUCCCAUAAAAAUUAUAAAAAUAAAAAAAUUAUAAAGAUUUCAAAAAAUUAAAAAAUAUUUUAAAAAAAAUUAUAUAAGAUAUUUAAAAGACGACAAUUUAAAAAAAGUUAAAUUAAUUUUUUUUAAGUUUUGAUCAAAAUAGACCAUCAGACGUUGGCUAUCGUUGAUCAAUGUUGAAGAUGACUAAAAUUCUAAAAAUAUAUAUAUAUAUAUUAAGUAAUAAAGUAAUAAGAUGGGAUUAUUUCCACGAAAACUAACUUCUAAGCCAAGUAUGAACUAUUCACUUUUAACUAACCCUUCUAACUAUUAUUAAAAUUAAAUUGAGAAAAUAAUAGAAGGUGAACUAAGUUAAUGACAAUGAAAACUUUGAAAUUUACUCAUUCAUACUAACAAGAAUUCCAACUUCACCUAAUUUAAUUAUUCAAUUAUCACUCAUUUAAUUUUUCAAUAUAUGUAAUUAGUAAUUCAUGAUUCAAUGAUAUUAAUUAAGCUCUUUCAGUAUCUAGAUAAGUUAUCCUAUUUUCUCCACUAGUUAUAUUCUUAUGUUAGACAUAAUGAGUUAAUUCAUUAAGCAGAAACCUAUUGGAUUGAUUAAGGUUUUACGUAUAUAUGUAUCAUAGCCACAAAUUAACUUAGUCGUCUAUGCUACUGGAAUUAAUUCAAUUAAUACAACUUUAAGUUUCUCUUCUAUGACAAGUUAAUACUAUCCAAUUAAUGCAACUUGUUAGUCAAGCAAGCAGAUAAAACAAAUUAACAUAUGAUUGAAUAAAUAAUUAAACAUGGAUAAAAUUAUCAUUCCAAAAAAAAUAAAGUUUAAUUCAUGAUGAAUUGAAAAAAAUCACACAGGUUUUCAAAGCAAUUUUCCAUCAAUAAAAAAGUGAAGGAAAUAACAUAGAGAGAAAAUAGAUGAAAAGUUUGCGGUAGUAAAAAUGUAAUUUCAUCAUUUUAAUAGCUUAUAUCUUUAAAACUUUUAUCAUUUUUUGAGGUGCCAAAGUGUACUUUUAUCAUUAUUAAUUUAAAAUUGAAAAGAGUAGUACUUUAUUUUUUUAAAAAAUAAGUUGCAUAUUUAAAAUAUAAUUCUGGAUUCAUUGUGCACUUGAAAUAAAAAAAAAUUCCUAAAAUUCAAGAGAAAUUCUAAAAUAAAAAAUAAAAUUUUAUUAAAAAAAAAGAGUUUUUUUUUUAAAUAUAUAUUUUAUUUUUCAAAUUAUAAAAAAUCUAAAUUACUAAAAACUUUUAAAUGAAUUUAGACAAAUGGUUGUCCAAGUUUAAAUGAUUCUAGACAACAGUAUGUCCAGAUUCAUUAUGCAUGUAAAAUAGAAAUAAAAAACAUAAAUUUCUUAUUUUUUUAAAAAUUUUAAAAUAAUUUUUUUAACCUGUCAACAUUCUAUUGGUUGUCAACCCAAAAUCAAAUAGUGUUGGUUAAGCAUCAAAAUAUCAACUUGAUUUAUGAUUUCCGAGUUUAGAUACUAGGUAUGUCCAAAACAAAGUUUAAAUAGUAAAUAAAUACAAAUUAUCAAGUUCAUAUAAUUCUAAAUAUAUUUAUCCAAAAAAGUUAACAAAAGCUUUAAUUUUCUUUUUAAAUAAACAAAAGCAUUAUUAUUACUUAUUUUGAAAGGCCAAAGCAAUUUUAUUUUAUUUUUUAUUACCCUUUUUGAAAUUGAACUCAUAUAUUCAAACAUCAACAAAACAAAAAACCAUCACUGAGAAAGGACUUAACUAACCCCUAGCCAAUAGGCUAAACCCCGUACACCCAUUACCUAAAGCCCUUCAUCAGAGGUUACACCAUAAGCUACUCGUGCCAAUUGGUGCUCCUUGAAUCCAAGAGAGCGAAAGGUGCUGAAAAUCAGUUUCCAAUUGCCGACAAUCAGCAAUCACUAAACCGAAUAAAGCCAGGAUAAAAGCCUCCCGAGCAAACUAUAGCCUCAGCCAUGCCAGCCCCAUAAGCACUGGUCAAAUGGAAAAAAGGAAAUUUUAUUGAGUAAAGGAGUAAAACAUUAAAUAUUAUACAGGAAAUUGAAAAGGAAUACAAACAGUAACUUAACAAACAUGAUAGAAUAUGAUACAGAAUUUAACAAAACAGUAAAUAUUAUACCUAAAACGGGAAUUGAGUACAAGCAGUAACUUAACAAACAUGAAAAGUACUCAACAACUUCAAUGCUUUCUUCUAUUCCAAGUAGUGAAACUAGGAAAAUACUUGCAAUCCUGCUACAGACCCGAGUCAGAGGAAAUCUUGAUUGUCUGAUUAAGCAUCUCAUUCACAACAAAGGCUUUAUAUUAUUGGAAGGCCAAAGAUUUUCAAAUCGAAGCUGAGAAAUAAAAGAUAACUGAAGGAAGAAAGAAAAAAAAGAGUAGAUAUAAAGCAUAUAUACAUACCUUACUUAUGGGAAUAUGACCCAAAUUGUAGCACCUUACUCAGCCAUUGCAAAUUACAUGACCCAACGAUUCUCCCAAUUUUACGGUCGAGAAAGGACUUGACAAUGGAAGGGAUUGACGAGAAAGCGCUUGAGCAACUUGUUGCAUGGUUGGCCGAUGUUGGGGAUUGCCAUUCAAGCAUGCAAAUGCUAUCUUUAUAGUAGAGACUACGCCCUCUGCAGCUUCAAUUUCUGGUGGUGAGAGACGUUGAUCUAUCACAUCCUUAAGUAAAACAUGUUGGUCAUUUGACAUAAAUGGCAAUGUCGAUGCCGAUGCAGAUGAUGACAAAUAUGAAAGAAGGUCGCCGGGAUGCCUCCCCAUGAGAACUUCUAUCAUUAGCACCCCAAAACUGUAGACAUCACUUUUCUUAUCUAUUCGCAUUGUAUACGCCAACUCUACAUUAAAAGAAAUACUAAUCAGAACUAUAUUUAUAACAUGAUGAAAGGCUUUUCUAGCCAAAAAAAAAUAUGAUAUUAAUUUAUACCUGGAGCUAUAUACCCGUAGGUGCCCGCAAGUGAAGUCCAAUUGGAGGAGUCGGCUUUAAAAUCCUAGCAGUGCCGAAAUCGGAGACACGAGCUUCAUAGUCCAAAUCCAAGAGAACGUUGUUGCUGGAAAUGUCUCGAUGAGCUAUAGGUUGUGAAUGGUCAUGGUGCAUAUAAGUCAAAGCAUUAGCCAAUCCUUUAACAACAUUUAGCCUCUUCUUCCAAUCCAAUUCCUUUGCUUGUUCAUUGUUGCUUAAGACCAUUCUCAAGCUUCCCCUUUCCAUGAACUCAUAAACCAGAAAAGAAUGCUGUGGGUGUGAACAAAAACCAUACAUCUGUACAAUGUUAUGAUGCCUUAGUUCUAAUAAAGCAAUAAUCUCGCUUUCAAAGUCUUUUAAGUUGUUAAUGAGUAUGCCGUCUUCAGACUGGUGAAGUUUCUUCACAGAAACCACUUGACCAGUUGGCAAUGCAGCUUUAUAAACACUUCCGUAUCCUCCUGAACCAAUGCAAUAGUCAGAGCUGAAAUCUUCAGUAGCUUCAAUGAUGCUGCCAUGGAGUAUUCUUCCAUUAAAUCCCAAUAUAGUGAAAAUAUCACCAUCUUGUUCCUCCAUUGGCUCGGAUUUUUUUGUUGGUGUUUUCUUGCAAAAAGUAAGGAAACUUGCAACCAAUAUAAACAACAAAAUCAAUAGACCACCAAACAGUGGAAGCACAAAUAAAAUGAUCAGUUUGGUGCUUUUUGUAUGACCAUGGUUGUCUCGAGAAGGAAGAACGCAAGGUAUUAGUCCAGUGGCGUUACCAUAUAUAUAGGCCUUUAUUGUUCCUUAAGGCAUUAAAUGAUGCCUCGUGAAAUGCCUUAAGGUCUGGAAUAGGGCCUUCUAAUUGAUUGUAAGAUAUAUUCACAAAUCUUAACCCAUGUAAAUCAUUGAAAGCUUUUGGGAUGGAACCAUUGAGCAUAUUGCGAGAAAGGUUCAAUAUUUCCAAGGACUGUAACUUUCCGAACUGUUGUGGGAUAUUUCCAAAAAUGAAUUCUGACUCAAAUCUAGACUUUGAAGAGCAUUGAUGUAUCCUAUUGAAGAUGGAAUGCUCUCUCCGAGAUUGUUCUUGCUCAAAUUCAAAUUGAUUAACUUCGAGCAAUUUCCAAGAUAAUUAGGAAUAGGCCCUCUUAAAUGAAGCCAAGUUAAGUCGUUCUAGAUUUGAUAGAAGUCCAAUCUCUGAUGGAAUUUUGCCUGAAAAUUGAUUACCACUUAGCAAAAGACGGGUCAUCAUUUUCAAUGCUCCCAGUUCCAUGGGAAUCUCAUCGACUAGAUGAUUCGAAGAAAGAUCAAGUUCUUGUAACUGGGUUGCAUGUCCCAAUUCGAAUGGAAUCUUUCCAGAAAUAUUGUUAUUGUUGGAGACACGUAGGCUUGUUAGAUUAUGACAUUGCCCCCAAUUUGGAGAAAGUUCGCCAUAAAAAUUGUUGUCGCUUAAUGAAGCAUAAUUCAAAUGUGGAUAUAUACCAAAAGCUUCUGAUAUAUUUCCUGUCUUCCAUCCAGCCUAACUCUGAUUAAGCUUUUGCAGCUUCUCAAACUUGAUGGGAUCGGACCUGACAAAUUGUUGCUGAUCACUGCAAGUCGAGUGAGUACUCCACCGAGGCAUAAAUUUUCUGGUAAUGGACCAGUGAGAUGGUUGUUUGAUAAUUGGAGAUUAGUAAGAUUACUGUAUAUUGGAGGAAUGGGGCCUGACAAACUAUUUUCACGAAGGGAAAGUACUGAUAAGCUGCUCAAGUUUCCUAUGGAAGUAGGGAUUUGUCCAGAGAAUGUGUUAUUAGACAGAUACAAUUGACUAAGAGAUUUAAGCAUCCCUACCUCUUUAGGUAUCAAUCCAAAAAACAUAUUGUCAAAAAGGCUAAGAGUAGUUAAGUUGGUCAAGUUUCCUAUGGAAGUAGGGAUUUGUCCAGAGAAUGUGUUACUGGACAGAUCCAAUUUACUGAGAGAUUUAAGCAUCCCUACCUCUUUAGGGAUGACGCCACUGAGAUUAUUAUCAUACAAAAAAAGAUGAACCAAGUUGCUUAAGUUUCCUAUCGAAGUAGGGAUUUGUCCACAGAAUGUGUUAUUGGACAGAUCCAAUUCACUAAGAGAUUUAAGCAUCCCUACCUCUUUAGGUAUCAAUCCAGAAAACAUAUUUUGAGAAAGGGUAAGAGUAGUUAAGCUGGUCAUGCUCCCUAUAUCUCGAGGUAUUGAACCAGAAAUGGCAUUUUCCUCCAGCCUAACACUGAAUAGGUCAGUCAAGUUUCCUAUGGAAGCAGGGAUGGCCCCAGUGAGAUGAUUUGUUAAAAAUUGCAGUGUGGAAAGCGAUUUAAGCAAUCCUAUCUCACUGGGGAUAGAACCAGUGAGGUAAUUAUCAUACAAAUAAAGAUAAACCAAGUUACAUAAGUUUCCUAUAGAUGUCGGUACAAGACCAGUUAAGCUAUUUCCUGAAAAGUCCAACAAAAGAAGUGACCUCAACAAUCCAACUUCUUUAGGUAUAGAACCAAUGAGUCGGUUGCGAUUAAGGUCAAGCCUGUACAAAUUAUGCAAUCUUCCUAUAGAGGCAGGGAUUGGACCACUUAGAUGGUUAAGAUAGAAAAAGAUAUUAGAAACUGUACUCAGAUUUCCAAUUUCUUGUGGAAUGGGACCACUAAUCUUAUUUCUUACUAAGGAGAUCAGUUGAAGACUUUUCUGUUGUUCCAAUAGGGUCGGAAGCGUGUAAAUUAUUGUACUAAAAAAUCACACAAAGUUCAAUUCCCAGGGAAGAGAGGUGGAUCACAUGGAUCUCUUAAAUACCAAGUCUUUCCUUAGUCAGAAUAUCCCUUCUAUAGUAAUUUAAUAGCACAAUUAAAUACUACUAUUAUACCCUCAAAUAUUGAAAGAAAAAUAGGACAAGAAAGAACACAAGAGUUUUAACGAGGUUCGGUAAAUUAUACCUACGUCCUCGGGCACUAACACCAGAUGAUAACUUUACUAUCUUCAAAAUAUUACAAACAAAUAGAAUUCCUUGAGAAUUCUCAAAUGGGAGAAGAGAGAAAACUAAGAGAGAAAGAUUGGUUGGGAUGAUUUGAAAUGAGAAAUGAGAAGGCCUAUUUAUAGUUGAGGUUUAAGGACCAAACAAUAAAUAGCCCAUUAUCUCAAGGACCAAAAAAAAUUAUCCCAUGCCACUUUUUCAAAGUCAACUUUAGGGUGCUAAACUUGCACCACUUUGUAUUGUUUGCCAUUAAUGUUGUCUCCCAUUAAUGUUAACAAUCUCCACCUUGAAGAUUUGAUUAGGAUAAUCACAUCUUCACACACUUCCUUCAACUCCCCAAAUUCGAUAAAGCUAUCUUUUGUAGUGCCUACAAAUGCACUCUCGAGCGCCAUACACCUGAAGGUGCUCAAAUUCUCAGGAUGUUAAUCAAGUUCAAACAAUGAUUAAACUUGAUUAUUGUUACCACCUUGGUCAUCAUAUCUGCGGGAUUAUCUGCUGUCGGAAUUUUCUGAAGUAGAAUUUUUCCUUUUUCAAAGACUUCCCGCACAAAGUGAUAUCUUACGUCGAUAUGCUUGGUUCUUGAAUGAUAGACUUGAUUUUUCGCUAAAUGAAUAGCGCUCUGACUGUCACAAUAUAAACUUAUGUGACUUUGAACAACUCCUAAGUCUUUCAACAAUCCAUUAAGCCAAAUAGCCUCCUUAACAGCUUCUGUAACUGCCAUAUAUUCUGCCUCUGUAGUAGACACAGCUACUGUAGACUGUAAGGUAGACUUCCAACUCACUGGGGCUUUCGCAAGAGUAAACAGAUACCCCGUAGUUGAACGACGUUUAUCUAAAUCACCAGCAAAGUCGGAAUCAACAUAUCCAACUACAAACUGACCAAGUGCUUCAUCCUGUUCAAAAAUUAAACCAACAUCUACGGUUUUUCGAAGAUACCGUAGAAUCCAUUUCACAGCUUGCCAAUGUCCUUUUCCAGGAUCAUGCAUAUACCUGCUCACAACUCCAACAGCUUGUGAAAUGUCAGGCCUCGUACACACCAUCGCAUACAUCAAACUCCCAACUGCAUUAGCAUAUGGGACUUUCGCCAUAUAUUCUCUUUCUUCUUCAGUUUUCGGAGAUAAUUGAGCACUAAGUUUCAAAUGAGAAGCAAGUGGGGUACUUACAUGUUUUGUGUUUUCAUUUACACCAAAACAUUGUAAUACCUUUUUCAGAUAUUGCUUCUGAUUUAAACAGAGCUUGCCUCUCGGUCUAUCUCUACUUAUCUCCAUGCCGAGAAUCUUCUUGGCCUCACCUAGAUCUUUCAUCUCGAACUCUUGAUUCAACUGAGCCUUCAGCUUAUCUAUCUCAUUUUGGCUCUUCGAAGCGAUUAACAUAUCAUCAACAUACAAGAGUAGAUAAAUGAAAGAUCCGUCAUGCAGCUUCUGCAAAUAUACACAAUUGUCAUAUUUGCUUCUUGUGUACUUCUGCCUUCUCAUAAAGCUAUCAAAUCGCUUGUACCACUGCCUCGGGGAUUGCUUCAAUCUAUAUAGCGAUUUGUUAAGCUUACAAACCCAAUUUCUACCACCAGCAUCUGUGUAUCCUUCUGGCUGAGUCAUAUAGAUCUCCUCUUCUAACUCACCAUGCAAGAAAGCCGUCUUAACAUCAAGUUGAGCUAGCUCCAAAUUCAACUGUGCUACCAAGGCCAACAAAAUUCUAAUGGAGGAAUGCUUCACAACAGGGGAAAAUACAUCAUUGUAGUCAAUUCCCUCCUUCUGAGCGUAGCCUUUAGCUACCAAUCUUGCCUUGUAGCGAAUAUCCUUCUUGCUAGGAGAUCCAUCUUUCUUUGCGAAUACCCACUUGCAUCCGAUUGCCUUUUUACCUUUCGGUAAUUGCGCCAACUCCCAAGUAUUGUUCUUCCGGAGAGACUGCAUUUCUUCAUCCAUGGCGCUUUUCCAUUUAUCACUUUCUAAGCUUUGCAUUGCUUCUUGAUAAGUGAUAGGAAUAUCAUCAACAACGGGAAGGGCGUAGGCCACCAUAUCAGUAAAUCGAGCAGGUUUACGAAUUUCUCUCCGUGGCCUUGCAACUGCAACUGGUUCUGGUGUACUUAGUGGUUCUUGGGUCAGAACCUCUUCAACCUCUAAUUCCUCCAUUGUGACUGGAGAAUUAGACUUAUUAACUGGGCAAAUCCCCAUCUGCUCAAACUCCACCUGUUUUGGAGUACACUCCACCUGCUAUGGAGUAUUGCUCGUCUGAAUAUCUUUAUCUGCUACCUUUUUCAAUGUGGCAGAUUCAUCAAAGGUAACAUCUCUGCUACAGAUCAUUUUCUUUGUGCUUAAACACCAAAGACGAAAUCCCUUCACUCCAGAAGUGACUCCCAUAAAGAGAGCUUUCUUUGCCCUCGGAUCUAACUUUGACUCCUUCACAUGGUAAUAUGCAGUGGAUCCAAACACAUGUAAGGAAUCAUAAUCUGUAGCCGGUUUUCCAGACCAUACCUCCAUAGGAGUUUUUCUUUCUAAUGCAGAUGAUGGCAAACGAUUAACAAGAUGGCCAGCGUAUGUCACAGCCUCAGCCCAAAAUUGCUUGCCCAACCCAGCAUUGGACAACAUACAUCGAACUUUCUCCAGCAAUGUUCGAUUCAUACGCUCUGCCAAUCCAUUCUGCUGUGGUGUAUCCCUAACUGUGAAGUGUCGAACAAUACCAUACUCUUGGCACACAUCGAAGAACGGAUCACUUUUAUAUUCCCCUCCAUUGUCCGUCCUAAGCCGCUUGAUUUUCUUGCCAGUCUGGUUUUCGAUCAUAGUUUUCCAUUUAAGAAAAACUCUAAGCACUUCAUCCUUAGUUCUCAUGGUAUACACCCAAACUCUUCUAGAAAAGUCAUCAAAAAAAGUAACAAAGUAGUGUUUUCCUCCCAAUGAAGGUGUCUUGGAAGGCCCCCACACAUCUGAGUGAACAUAUUCCAAAAUACCUUUUGUAUUAUGGAUAGCAGUACCGAAUUUCACUCUCUUUUGCUUUCCCAGAACACAAUGCUCGCAAAAUUUUAAUUUGCAAGCCUUUGCACCUUUCAACAAUCCUUUCUUUGCCAGAAUUUGCAAGGAUUUUUCGCUGGCAUGUCCCAACUUCAUAUGCCACAACUGUAUUGAGUCCAAUUCUUUGUUGCCGGAAGCUGCAGCGACUGCUCCAAUAACUGUACUACCUUGGUAGUAAUACAAGUUAUUUUUCCUGAUGCCCUUCAAUAUCACAAGUGCGCCAGAUGUCACUUUCAAAACCCCAUCUCUCAUAGUAACAACUGAACCAUUGGAUUCCAGGGCUCCCAAUGAGAUGAGAUUUUUCUUCAAACUGGGCACGUACCGAACAUCAGUCAGAACUCUAGUUGAUCCAUCUUUAUUCUUUAAUUGGAUUGAACCUAUCCCAACAGUUUUACAGGCAUUGUCAUUGCCCAUAUAAACAACUCCUCCAUUUAGUUCUACUAAAUCAGAGAACCACUCCCGGUUAGGGGACAUAUGAUAGGUAUAACCCGAAUCCAAUAUCCACUCAUCUGAAUGGAACGACGAUGAUGAUGCAACCAGUGAUAGUUCAGAGUCACUGGUAUCAUGCUUUGCAACACAAGCAUCUACAGCAGCUUUUCCCUUAUUCUUCAGCUUUGGACAAUUUUUCUUCCAGUGGCCUUUCUCAUGACAAAAAGCAUAUUCAUCUUUCCCGAGUCUGGACUUUGACUUUGAUCUCCCCUUUUGAGUUUUCUUCCGAGUGUAUGAACGACCUCGGACUACUAAAGCUUCUGUAUCUCUGAUUGAGUUUUUCUGUUUGUCCUUCUUUCUCUGUUCAUAACUGUAUAAGGCCGCACAGACUUCGCUCAGAGAUAUAUCACUCCUGCCAUGAAGUAGAGUAGUUUCUAGGAACUCAAACUCCUCAGGAAGUGACCCCAACAGCAUCAAAGCCAAAUCUUCAUCUUUGAAUGUCUUAUCCAUAUUCAGCAAAUCAGUGACUAACUGAUUAAAUUUGGUGAUGUGAUCAUUCAUUGUGGUACUUGGGACGUAUGUGAAGCGAAACAGUCUUUUCUUCAAGUGGAGCUUAUUUUGACUGUUUUUCUUCAAAAAUUUUUCUUCAAGUGCCACCCACAACUUAUUUGCAGAAGUCUCCUUUGAAAAAGCAUACCUCUGCUCUCGAGAAAGGCAUGAUCGAAUUGUGCCACAUGCCAACCGAUUGAUCGCCUUCCAAUCUUUCUCCUGUACAUCAUCUGGUUUCUCUUCAUCAAUGGCAAUGUCUAGACCCUGCUGAAAAAGAGCAUCUAGAACCUCACUUUGCCACAUACCAAAAUGGCCCGUGCCAUCAAAGAUCUCCACGGCCAGUCUUGCAUUUGCAAUUGUCGGUCUUGUCCAUAUGGACGAUGUUGAAGCUCCUACACCGACCAUUUUCUCCAUAAUCUUUCAAUAUACCUAAGGAAAUCUUUUCUGAUGUGGAAGAUCAGUUCAAACUGCAACCACAGAGCAUACUACGAUUAACCUUCGGCUCUGAUACUACUUGUAGUUCCAAUAGGGUCGGAAGCGUGUAAAUUAUUGUACUAAAAAAUCACACAAAGUUCAAUUCCCAAGGAAGAGAGGUGGAUCACAUGGAUCUCUUAAAUACCAAGUCUUUCCUUAGUCAGAAUAUCCCUUCUAUAGUAAUUUAAUAGCACAAUUAAAUACUACUAUUAUACCCUCAAAUAUUGAAAGAAAAAUAGGACAAGAAAGAACACAAGAGUUUUAACGAGGUUCGGUAAAUUAUACCUACGUCCUCGGGCACUAACACCAGAUGAUAACUUUACUAUCUUCAAAAUAUUACAAACAAAUAGAAUUCCUUGAGAAUUCUCAAAUGGGAGAAGAGAGAAAACUAAGAGAGAAAGAUUGGUUGGGAUGAUUUGAAAUGAGAAAUGAGAAGGCCUAUUUAUAGUUGAGGUUUAAGGACCAAACAAUAAAUAGCCCAUUAUCUCAAUGACCAAAAAAAAUUAUCCCAUGCCACUUUUUCAAAGUCAACUUUAGGGUACUAAACUUGCACCACUUUGUAUUGUUUGCCAUUAAUGUUGUCUCCCAUUAAUGUUAACAUUUUCAAUAAGCAAAUUUCAGAUGGGAUAUGUCCUGAGAAGUAAUUGUAUGACAAGUCAAGGAAGAUGAGUUUGGAAAGGUAUCCAAUGUGCGAAGGAAUGGGCCCAUACAGUGAGUUGUUGUGGAGGUUAAGCUCAAUCAAGUUAGGGAAGGAAUGGAAGUUGAGAUUAUGAAGUGUACCUUUCAAUCUCAAACCAUACCCUGUGAGGCUUAGAUUGGUGAUGCUUCCGACCUUAUCGCAAGUGAUUCCAACCCAAUUGCAGUGGCUACUUCCGACCCACAAAGAAGAGAGCAAAGUUUGUGUGGUGUUGUCGAGGCUAGCUUUCCAUUUUAAAAGAGUAUCAGCUUCCAUGGAAAAUAGCAAAAUAGCAAAAUAUAUAUUUAGUAUUUUUUUUCAAACACAAAAUAUUAAUUCUAAGAUCAUUUGAAUUUAUCAUUGUGAGCAAAGCUUUGAUCUUUUAGUUUAUUUAUUUGUCAUCCUACCAUCAUCAAAUCUUGAUUGUAGCUAAAAUGUCACUAUAUUUAGUAAAUUCAUUUGAAUUUAUAAUUGUGAGCAAAGCUUUGAUCUUUUAGUUUAUUUAUUUGUCAUCCUAUCAUCAUUAAAUAUUGAUUGUAGUUAAAAUGUCACUAUAUUCAGUAAAUUUAAUUUUUUUUUUGAACUAUAAGAGUAGGGCAAGCCUUAACAGCAACGCGAUUAACGCGACUCAAAUCCAAUUACACUCAGGAUGGUGAAUAUUCUAACCAUCAAACUAACACACAAAAUAUUAAUUAAUUUUAAAAGCUACGUAUGCAGCUACUCUAUAUUUACUUUCCCAAAUGAUGUUCUAUUUAAUGUUUAAAUUCAUUGUUCCAUCUCACGUCAGUUAAGAAAUAUAGAAAGGUGGUUUUUACCAUAAUAUAAAUCUAAACAAAUAUGUAUAUUUUUAUGAAGGAUACGUAAUCUAACAUUUAAAAAAAAAACGUCGCAAAAGUUGAAAAUUAAUAAAUAUUUAUUAAAUAUAACCUAAAAUGAUUGCACACAGAUAUUUAUAUUAAAAUGCAACUUAAUAGAAAAAGUAAACUAUGUGAAGUGAUAAUAUUGAAAUCUUAAAUGUAAGUCCAUUUCUAAUAGACUUAAUUAAUCUCUUAUAACCAUCAGCUGCCAUCAUUGACUAUUGAAUUUCAAAUUUUCUAGCUCUGAUUUUGUUGUUUCACUUAAAAAAGAGAAAAAAUAAUUGAUGGUUUUUUUUUUUAAGAUUUAAUUAUAAAAUUUGCCCCCAAAAUACAAUAUGGCAUGUUUUUGUUGUACAUAGUACAUGGAUAAAAUGAGAUGAAAUUAAUAAUUUAGGUGACACUUUCAAUUAAAAAUUUAAAUAUAAUUUAAAGGUUAAUUUUGUAUUCAAACCUUUGUAAUUAUUGUUACUUAAUCAAGAAAAUUAGGAAAUCCGAGGACUUCAAACACAUUGAGGAUAGGUUUUAUGGAACAUUAAGAUCACAUAAUUAAUUUUAUUUUUGUUCAGUAAGAUCACAUAAUUGAAUUUAACUGAAGUGUUACGGAAUUUGGAUUACUAACAGAUUAGAGGGCAAUUUUCUCUAAUGUUUCUUUUCAUUUUUCAAGCAGUUACUAAAAUUUUCAGUUAAUACAGUGAAAAUUUCAUUUUGUUCUCUCAAAAUAUUUAUAAUCCAAAAAAAAGACAGAAGGAGCAAAUUUCCAUUAAAACACUCAUCAGCGACCUAUAUGAAGAACUGUAUCUGUACUCGACAAGGAAUUCACGGAAAGACCCGUCCCAACUGAUGAAGAAAACGAAACUAUACAAUCUGAGGCUACGUUACUUGCUAAAGAUACGUUAAUAGCAGUGCUGUGAGGAGAUAAUGGUAUGGUUUGAAGGAUAGAAGAUGGAUUAUUUUGGUAUAUCAGGCAAACUGGCAGUGCCUUCCAGAUAGCUCACCGCUUCUUUAAUGGUGGGUCUCAAAUCUGGUUUGGGGUUGGAACAAAGCAGGCCAAGUUUCAGAACCUUCUCAAUCUCCUCCACCACGUAAUUGCCUUGUAAUCUUGGGUCGAUAACAUCAACAAUGGCAUCUCUUUUCCAGCACCUAUUGACUAAAUCAACUAGAAAAAUGUCUCGGGGUGGUGCAUUUGGUUCAAAUGGCUUCCUCCCGCAAGCAACUUCAAGAAGAAAAGCCCCGAAAGCAAACACAUCGGCAGCUUUAGUAGCCCUUCCCAUUCGGAUGAGUUCCGGAUCAAUAUAUCCUAGUGUUCCUACGAGGCGAGUCGUUUGUGGAUCGCCGUCACGGUCGUACAAUCUGGCAAGACCGAAAUCUCCGAGCCGUCCAUUUAGAUUGGAAUCUAAGAGAACGUUGCUGGCUUUGACGUCUCUAUGGAGCACAACUUGUUCCCAUUCUUCAUGGAGAUAAAGAAGAGCCGAUGCCACCCCUUUGAUGAUUUGGAACCUUUGAAACCAAGUAAGGGUGGGUUUAUCAUCGUCGAAGAGGAACUUGUCAAGGCUGCCAUUUUCCAUAAGAUCAUAUACCAAAAUGAGUUCUUUCUUACGCCUGCAAUACCCAAGAAGCCGCACCAAGUUCUUAUGCCUUAGCUUUCCCAUGCUAACAAUCUCUGAAACAAACUCCUUCAUCCCCUGAUUUGUUUCAUGGGAUACUUUCUUUACUGCAAUUUGUUCAUUGGAAUAAGGGAGUGUACCUUUAUAAACUUUCCCGAAACCUCCCGAUCCAAGAAGUUGCUUGUCUUUGAAACCUUUGGUCGCUUUGUACAGUGUCUUGUAAGAGAACCUUUGAGGUCCAUAUUCCUUUUCCCAGUCUUCAUGUACUUCCUUGUAUUUCUUCAUCCUGUAAACAUAUGCUGCUCCAAUGAUUAUUAACAGCAAAGCAACAGCUGCAAUGAUCGAAAUCAAUCGAACUAUAUUUCUUUGUCCACCAUUUUUGGGAAGCUUUGGAAGCUUGGAUAUGUCAAGGCCUUGUGCUUCUCCGCUUCUAUUGAAGCUCCAGCCCAGAAUAUAAUGGCUACUACUAGUGCUUUGAAUUGAACCAGUUGCAGCAGAGAAACUAACAUACAUGACAUCCUUUAGAAUACCCGAGAGAUCGAUUGAUGUCGACAAGAGAGGCUGGUCCGGUUUUGGGGUUUUAUCUGGCGCCAAGGUUAUGUUGAGCAGUUCUUCUUCACCAUUGUAGUCUAUCCAAACCUGUAUUGGAUGUCCAUUGUUGAGGUCCAAAUUCCUAUUCUUCCUUUCUUCAUUAGAAAAAUAUCCUGCCCGAACGGAUUUGUUUGAUUUCACGCCAUUCAGAUCAAUUCCUACAUGAUUGUCAUCUAUAUCGCCCAUGUCAAGACUGAGGAUGGUAUCAAACUCCACAGCGAAGAAAUGGUUGAAGGAAUUGCCAUUGUUUGACUCAUUAACGAGUCCCAGAAAUUCGACUGCCUCAGCAUGGCUAAAAUCCGUGGAUUCUGAUAUGACAAAGGCAAGUCCAUGGCCACUAGAUUCUUUGGAUCCAGGACCGAUGGCGAUUACGAAAUUCGUGGAGAAGGAAAGAGAUCCAACUGAACUUGAAGACGAAGAAACAUUGAAGUUUAUAGGAGAUGGGUAGAAAGCAUGGCCUUUCAGCCGUUUUAUAUUAUUGGUGAGCUGCAAUAGACCAUUGGAGCUGAUGUUGGCACUCCCAUCAAGUUGUAGUUUCGCAUCACGGAAGCCAUGGUUAUAAAUGAAUUCUUCAGCUUCUUGAGCCUCUGCCAUGGAAAUCACAGCCACCAGGCACGAAAACAGCCAAAAAUGGACUGAUGUAAAAGCAGGAGCCAUUGUUAAAAGACUGAAAAGCUUCCUGGGUGUUACUGUUUAAGAGAAGAACCUGCAUAACAUGUACUGUUUAAUAAACAAAAUUAUCGAAAUCAUGCAUGUCACACCAAAGGGAAAAUUUAGGUUAUAUUCACCUAAACAUUGGGUCAAACUAGUUUCAUUUAUGCUUUAAUUGCCCGCUACAUGCGUUUUUUUCUUUCAAAAAAUUUUAAAAAUAUAUAUUUGAAGUUUAAACUACCAAACAAUUUCUAAAGGGAAAAAAGCCCAACAAAUGGCAAAUCUUAUUGCGCAAUUUUCGAAAUUACAAAAAUAUAAAAAUAUUUAAAUUCAAAAAAUUAUUAAAAAAGUUCAUAAAAGUCUUAAAAAAUUAGCAUGAAGUUGUGGAUUGUUAUUUGAGCCAUCAUGUUUAAAAAAAAAAUAACGUUGUAAUAAAUGUUUUCGUUAAAAGAAUAACAAUUUAACUCUUUUAGAAAUAUUAAUGGUUAAAUUCAAUUUUUUUAAAGGUUAAGAGUUAAAUUUAGAUAAAAAAAUAAUGGCCAAAUUGACAAAAACAAUAAGCAUUAAGAACUAAAUUUAAUAUUAUAAUUUUUUUUUGUAAAUAAAGCUUAUUAAUUUUGAAAUUGGAGAGUUUGAAAAAAGCAAAUCCAUCUAAUAACGUUUAUUUUUUUAAUUUACACGUGAUAAAAAAACUAUAUUUUCUAAUUAAUUUUUCGUUUUUUAGAAUAUUCGUACUAUUUUAUACAUAUUUAAAUAGAAUAUAAGCAUAUUUUUAAAAUGUAUAAAAACAUAACUACACCAAUAUAAAACACCCACCAGAUUCCAUAUUGUUAUUAUUAAAGUUAUAUGUCAUGCAAUUAAUUAUAUUCUCCCCUAGGCCUCCAAUGGAUUUUUAUGUCACUGUCAAAGCAUCUUCCUAAUUCAGCCACCACAUAGUUUACAUUAGUAUAGAUAGAUGAUGUCAUCAAUUGGUCCAUUUUUUCCAAAGUAAAUCAGCAUUUAUUCAAAAUAAUUAUCUUCUAAAUCACUAAUUGAUUUUUUUUUUUCGAAAGAGAAGCAUAUGUUGAAGAGCCAAGGGCGGCUUGUCUUCACUUCUUUGGCUUCUGAGGUAUAAAUAUGGAGCAUUAGACAGUAACUAAUCCAUUUAUAUUUUCCUUUUCAAAAAUGUCUUCUUCUUUCUCAUAUAUUAUUAUCUUCUUCUUUGUCAUUAGACAGUAACUUUUAUUUUUUAUAUCAAUAAAUUUAAAUUAAUAUAAUAUAUUUUAUAUUUAACUCUGUCUUUUUUUUAGUAUAAUGUCUAAAAUUAUCCAUAGUCCCUAUCCAAUCCAUAAAUAGGAGAAUAAUGCGCUUCAGCAUACAUCUUUCUAUAUUGAUAAUAAUAGCCAUAUUAAUCGAAUUAAGACUCAAUUGACAAUAUUUUUUAAAAUUAUUAUAUAUAAUAUAAGUUAAUAACGUAUUUUUGGCAUGGAUUUAUAGAGGAGAAAUAAUAAUUAAUUUGAUGUGAAAAAAGGAAAUAGAGAAGACACAAGUGUAGGUGUUUGAUAGAGAAGGUGGUUCAGUCAUUAAAUAAUUAUUUUUGUAUUUAGGAAAUAAAAACAUUGACCUAUGUUUGAACACAAUAGCCAUCAGGAUAUUGACAAAUUCAGGCAUUCUUUACAGAUUCUCAACCACCUUAAUUAUAUUAAUAUAGGAAAUCCUCGAAUCCUUAUCUCAUUAACUUGCAACCUUCGAGAAUUUGUCAGAACAUGCAUGCCAUCAUUGCCUUGUUUACACAGCUCAACAAAUACUUGCAGGUAGAUGUUUUGCAACCUUGAUUGGGGCAUGCAAGUGGAUAUUCACAAUUUUAGCCACUUCCUUACCAUAAUAUAUUUAUAAAAUUUCUACAAAUAAUUUUCAAUCCUUAUUUAGCUAGUAACUUAUUGAGAAAUAGUCUGUUGUACAAUCUUGGUUGGUACAUGCAAAUCGGAAUGUUAACAAUUGAAUUUUAGUUUUGAAAUUUGAAAAAUAAAAAGAUUAUGUUCUUAAAAAAUAAAAAUAUAAAGAUUAAAUUUUAAAUUUGUAAAGAGUUAGGGACCAAUAAUAUAUUUGACAUUUUUUAUGUAAUACUUGAAACAACAAUCUCAAAUUUGUCAAAUUUAGCCAACAUUAUUGUUUAGCAGUUGAGAUUCUGUAAAAAGGUAGAAAAUGUUGGUCUCCUUUGAGUGAGGAAUUCUUUUUUCUUCUUAUUAUGAACAAAGUUUCAGAAAAGGAGGCCUCACCAUUAUUGAGUAAGGUAUAUUAAGUCUAUUUUUGAAGAAGGUUAAUAUCUAAUUAAUAGGUCACAACUUGAGUAUAAAAUAAUUAAUGAUAAAAUAUCUAUGGUUAAUGUUGUAUUAUAUUAAAUGACUUUGUAUCAUAAGUGGGUCACUAAGAAUACCUUCAAUUUUAUAGUCGACAAGGUUAGGAAGAAGUUGGAUAGUUAGAAUACUAGUAUGCUUUCAAUGGAUAGAUGAGUCACUUUACUCAGGCGAUUCUAUUGUCGAUACCCAAUUAUUUUAUGCAAACUGUGAAGAUUCCUCAUGGUAUUUGUGCAAAAAUUGAGAAAACUGUCAGGGGUUUUAUCUAGGGGAGUACUGAUUCUAGAAAGAAGAUGUCUUUGGUUAAUUGGGGAGAUUGCUGCCAACCCUUGUCUACUGGGGGUCUUGGAUUACGAUGUCUUAAAGAACAUAACGAUUCUUUUAUGCUUAAGCUGAGUUUCAAUCUUCUUACUAAUAAGGAAACAUUAUGGGUUAGAGUCAUUCGAGCAAAAUAUAAGAUUACUAAGUAAUUUCAAAAGACAUCUAUUAUAGUAAAUGUUCUUCCGUCUGGAGAUCGUUUUCAAAGGUCUGACCUCUGCUAUGCCAAAGUCUACUUUGGUCUGUUGGUGAUGAGAAUCUUGUGAAAUUUUGGACUAAUAAUUGGAUAGUGGAUGUGAGCCCUCUUUUCAAUUUUUGUUGGUUCCCAUCUUUUAUUGCUGCUUCUAUCACUUUGAAAGAGGUUGUUUCUACAGAUGGAAAUUGGCAUUGGGAUUAUUUACAUUACUUUUUGGAUAAUGACACUCUUUCUUAUAUUGCUGGAAUCCCGACUCUAAAUUCUCUGGUUGGUAAAGAUGCUAUUAUAUCGAAAUGGUUUCCAAAUGGUAUUUAUACAUUCAAAUCCGCUUAUAGUAUACUCUUGGAAAAUUCUCUUAACCCUUCAGAUGAAAAAUGAAAGCUUGUCUGAGCUUUUGAUGGUCCUCAUUGGGUUCGUCAUUUUCUUUGGUUGGUACUCAAAGAAUGCCUAUUGACUAACGUGGAAUAUUGUAAAUGAGGAGUCUCGACGGACCCUUCUUGUGAGAUUUGUGGGAGAGCCGAUGUAACCAUGCCAUAAACACCAACUAACCAUUAAACAUAAAUUUACCUAUACAUGCCAUUAUAACCUUGACCAAAACAUCAAAAUCUACUGAUAUAAUCGCUAGAUAGUGUGAUAGGUCUCUGACGAGCUUCCAAACUGAUCAAGCUUCUGAUAAUCUAUAAAACAUAGGAAAGAAAACUACGUAAUGCUUAGUAAGUUUGUAAAUCAUGAACAUAACUUACCAUUUCAAUGCAAAACCUUAAAAAUUAAACAUGAAUCAAUCCAACAUAAGCUUGGCACAAGCCUAAGCAUCAUCAACAACACAAGUUAGUGCUUUAAUACAUAACUUAACAAAAUCACCACAUGGUAAGGUAUAAUACAUGAAUAUAGCACAAUUGAACUCAUACUUUCCAUAAUCUUGAAUAUACAUACAUUGAUUUCUAACAUUUCAUACCUUUCUAUAAGUUCAUAAUAUAGUCGAUUGGGACACUUGUCGUUCCUUCCCUUUACAUGCAUGUUGAGCCACUUAGAAUAAUAUCGGAUACGUGAGAAGCUCACACAAAGUGUGCUAAACAUAUGGUCGAAACCAUUCCUUUCUUUUUCCUUUACAUCAUUGCUCACUCAAGCUAUAAAUAGGUCUGCUCACACAAGCUGACAGUUGGAAUGUAGCUACAUGAUGCCGCUCACACAAGCUGACGAGUAUCUGCAACAAAUGCCAGAACUCAACCACCGGUAGGACAUUUAGGACCAGCACCUGAAACAUGGUAACCCUAAUGACAUGUCAUUUGUAUCCUAUAUAUUCUUAAGGUUCAAACGGAGCUCAGUCGAAUAGUCUGAGUCUUUUCUUUUUCAGACCUCUUCGGGCAAUCUCUGAUAAAAUGUUCAUAUGAACCACAUUUAAAACAUGCCUCGUCUUUCAUCUUGCACUCACCAACGUGUCGACGUUCAUAUUGUUGACAUUCAGGUUUGUUACUUUUCACACUGCCUACGCUCGCUACAGACGUAGCCUGAGGUUUUGAAGUUGCAUAUUGUUUUCCUUGAUCUCUACCAGAGUAACCCAUUGAAGCUGACGUACGAUUAUGAUAUUCUUUUGAUUUCUUUAACAACGAUUGAUAUGAUUUUCCCGCUAAUCUCUUACCUAAAUCACAAGCCUCAUAAGCAACUUUUCUUUUAGCUUUGCUCAACUCUUCAGCUUUGUGUGCUCGGUUGACUAGAACAACAAAUUCUUUCAAUUCUAGAAUCCCGACUAACAACUUAAUAUCUUCAUUUAACUCGUCUUCAAACGGUUUACACAUAGCAAUCUCGGUCAGUACAUAUUCUCGGACAUAUUUGCUCAAUCUAACAAAUUCCCUCUCAUACUCAAAUACUGUUAUCCAUCCCUGUUUAAGCUCGAGAAAUUCUUUGCCUUUCCUGUCAAGGAACCUCUGGCUCACAUACUUCUUUUGAAAUUCAGUUUGAAAAAAUUCCCAAUUUACUCGAUCUCUUAGCACAACUAAAAUCAAGGUGUUCCACUACUGAUAGGCUGGGUCUUUCAAUAAAGAAACGACACAUUUCACACACUCUGCCGGUGUACAAGAUAACUCAUCGAAAACUCUGAUCGUAUUUUCUAACCAAAACUCAGCUCUCUCCGGAUCAUCUUCAGACGUAGCUCUAAACUCUUCUGUCCCAUAUUUAUGGAUUUUAUCAACCGGAGGCUUACUCAAUCAUACUGGAUCCAAACCCUGAGAAACUAUAGGGGCCGGUUGGGGAAUAGGUGGGGGUAGAGUUCGUUGAGCCAUCGGGUUUAUUUGUACGAACUCGGUAAACCACUCAUUAAUCAUUUAGAAUAAGGCUUAAUUAGCCUCUCUUCGCUGGCCUUCAGAUACGAGCCUACUACCACCUGACGCUGCUCCGUGAAUGAACGCUUGCGUGUUACUUUCAGCCUCAUCAAAAUCGGCUCUGUUGGAUGACAUUAUCUAUAUGAAAGCAUAAUUCAAAUCGAGUCAGGAGUUAUCAAUCUAUCACAGGUUAUAUAAUGGCAUGUAUUUGUAAACUCAUACACACUACGUUCAAUCUAAGAAUCGACUAAACCGUAGCUUAGAUACCACUAAAUGUAACACCCCUAACCCGUAUCUGUUACUAGAAUAGGGUUACGGAGCAUUACCGUAAAACCAUAACAUAAAAACAUGCAUUUCUAAACCUUUCAUUAAACAUAGCAUAAUCAAUUCAUAUUCAUGCAUAUCAUCCCUUAUUCGAGCCCUUGGGGCCUUAGAAACGCUUUAGAAAUGAUUUGGGAUUAAAUCAAAAACAUUUGAAACAUUGAGAAAAAAGUUAGAAAAAUUCAAACUGUAGGAGUCACAUGGCUGGGUUAGAAAAAUUCAAACUGUAGGAGUCACAUGGCUGGGACACACGCCCGUGUCUCAGGUCGUGUCUCAGCCUGUGUCCGUGCCUGUGUAACUCUCUGAGUUAGGUCAUAUGGCCAAGCCACACGCCCGUGUGCCAGGCCGUGUGCUAGGCCAUGUAACUACCUGACUUGCAACCAUUAAAACCUAUAAGGGACACAUGGUCGUGUUGCAUGGCUAUGUGUCAUACACAGUUGAGACACGCCCGUGUCUUAGGCCGUGUGGUUAAGAAAUUGGCCAAAAUCAAACCAUUUCUUUCACCCAUUCAAACAUGUACAUACAAGCCCUUUUACACAUAUAACCAAGACUGCCCAAAACAUACACAAAUGACCAAAUCCUUAUACCAACAAUCCAUUCAACCAAUAUGCCAUAUAGGCACCUCAAUCACAAACAAGCACAUAUACCUAAUUUUAUACAUAUUUGGCCAUAACUCAUCCAUACAUAUCUAGCUCAAUUCCAUUGCAAAUUAUACCAUAAUUUACCACAUUGAAGUUACACCAUCAAUACCAAAUUGGUCAUUCAAAACAUGCAUCAACUUAGCCAUAAUAACAACAAUCCACUAGGUACCAAAAGUACCACAAAUUCAAAACAACUUAUACAUGCCAUAAACAUCAACUAACCAUUAAACAUAAAUAUUUCACCUAUACAUGCCAUUAUAACCUUGACCAAAACAUCAAAAUCUACUGAUAUAAUUACUAGAUUGUGUGAUAGGUCUCUGAUGAGCUUCCAAACCGAUCGAGCUUCUGAUAAUCUAUAAAACAUAGGAAAGAAAACUACGUAAUGCUUAGUAAGUUCGUAAAUCAUGAACAUAACUUACCAUUUCAAUGCAAAACCUUAAAAAUUAAACAUGAAUCAAUCCAACAUAAGCUUGGCACAAGCCUAAGCAUCAUCAACAACACAAGUUAGUGCUUUAAUACAUAACUUAACAAAAUCAUCACAUGGUAAGGUAUAUAAUACAUGAAUAUAGCACAAUUGAACUCAUACUUUCCAUAAUAUUGAAUAUACAUAAAUUGAUUUCUAACAUUUUAUACAUUUCCAUAAGUUUAUAAUAUAGUCGAUCGGAACACUUAUCGUUCCUUCCCUUUACAUGCCCGUUGAACCACUUAAAAUAAUAUCGGAUACGCGAGAAGCUUACACAAAGUGUGCUAAACAUAUGGUCGAAACCAUUCCUUUCAUUUUCCUUUACAUCAUUGCUCACUUGAGCCAUAAAUGGGUCUGCUCACACAAGUUGAUGGUUGGAAUGUAGCGACACGAAGCCGAUCACACAAGCUAACAAGUAUUCGCAACAAAUACCAGAACUUAGCCAUUGGUAGGACAUUCAGGACCAGCACCCGAAACAUGGUAACUGUAAUGACAAGUCAUUUGUAAUCUAUAUAUUUUUAAGGUUCAAAUGGGGCUCGAUAGUCGUCGUACGUCAUUGGAUUUCCAUCGUUUCAUGAUAUGAUAAAUAGCGCUAUAGCAUAUAUACCAAAAUAACAUUAAAACGUUAUGUAAAUAUAUGAACUUACCUCGAUCACAAAAAUGUCAAAAUAUGAUUACUAAUUUGAGAUUUUAGCUUUUCCUCGAUCUAGAUUCGUACGAGGUUUGUUUUGAUCUAAAUAAGCAAAUUCAAUCUAUUUAAUACACAUAAUAUUCAACUUAGUCCAAAAUUUAUACUUUUGCAAAUUUACAUUCCCCCUAAUAUUUUAACUUUUUUACAAUUUAGUCCUUAAUCUCGUAAAUAGAAUUUAUGCAAUUUCAUCCACAUAUCAUGCUAGCCGAUUUACCUAAAGACUCAUAUCAACCCAAAAAAUCAUCAUUUCAUAAAUUUAUCAUGGUAUUUUAAUAUUUUUAUAAAUAAGUCCCUAGUCGAUAAAUUCAUAAAAAAUCACUUUACAAAAGUCGUUUAUUAAACAACAAGGACUCAUAAAUUUUAUUAAACUUCAAAAACCAAGCAAACAUGUUCAUGGAAAAACCCUAAUCUUUUUAAGCUAAAAUGACUUCAAAAACAUAAAAAUUAUUAAAAACGAGACAAAAACCACUUACAUGCAAGUGAAUGUAGCUUGACCGAACCCUAGCUAUGGUUUUCCUUGAAAAUUUCAGUUGAGGAUGAAGAUACGAAGGUGAUAGCUUAUUUGUUUCUUUUGUCUUUAUUAUAAUAACCUUUAAUUACUUAAUUACAUUUUUAACCUUUAAAAAUAUCCUUGAUUUCAAUAAAACCAAACCCAUAAAUGUCCACUACCACAUAAAUGGUCUAAUUACCACCUAAGUGGAUAAAGAUUACAAGUUUUUUUACAUAAUGAAAAUUUUAGCUUAUAUUAUUUAACUAUUUUGUCACUUUGACCCUAAUUUUUUGUUUCCCUUUAAUCUUUUAAAUUUGGUCAAAUUGUUGUUUCCUGGACAAAAUAAUUGACCGUUAAAAAUUUAACCAUAUUUACUAUAUAGUUCUUACUGCAGUUCAUGUGUGUUUCAUAAUUGCUGCCAUAACUACAAACACAGUAAGCUCCUACUGAAGUUAAAACUUUCCACAUUUGCUUUGGAAUCCUGGUUUUGGUUUAGCUGCUAUUGAAAUUGCCAUAAUUGUUAAAGUAAUUGGGGAUCAAAGAAAGUAAGCCAGUUGUGCUAUAUUGUAACAGUCAAGCUGCAAUUCAAAUUGCAGCAAACCCUGUUUAUCAUGAAAGAACCAAGCACAUUGAAAUCCAUUGUCACAUUGUGAGAGAAAGUAUCUAGAAAGGUUUAGUGAAAACUAAACACAUUUCAACAAAGGAACAGCUUGCAGACAUUCUCACCAAAGGACUAGUAGUAUAACAACAUCGACACUUAAUAUCUGUUGGUGUUAUGAACAAAGAACAUACAAGUUGGCUAAGACUUGAGCAUCAAGGCUCGAUUCUUGCUGAAGAAACAACAGAUUUCCAAGAUAGAAAAUUGAAAAGAAAAGCAAAGAACAAUAGAGAGUAUUACAACAAAAACUGAUUGAAUUCAUUCAAAUUAAACAAUGGCAUAAUGCCAAUACAUAAAUCAAGCACUAAGCUUGUCAAAAACAGUAAGUGGUCACCUAAUCAAUACCUACUACCACUAAUACAUUGAAACUUGAAAAGCAAAACUUGUAAGCAUAGACAAAGCUGAGUUUACAGCUCAUUCACUAUCUAAUUACAUCAAUCAUAAACCUAACUUAGUUCAAAAUAAACUAGAAUACAUUUCCUUAAACUAAAGUUACACAAUGAACAAAAAAUAGCAGCUGCACUUGCUCCAAUAGCUUCUCCAUGGCUCGGCCUGCAUGUCUUGCUUCUUUUCUGCUCUUGGUGCUACAUGCUGACCAUACUUCAACACUCCUCCUUAGUUAGCACGUUGCAAACUCCCAAACUCCUUCUUAAAUGCUUGAACUUUGUCACACUAAAAGGCUUGGUUAAAAUGUCAGCAAGUUGAUCUUCUGAAUUGCAAUGAAACUGUUUCACUUCCUGUGCUUGCUCUAUUUCUCUAACAACAUGGAGUUUAAUGCUGAAAUACUUUGUUCUUCCAUGGAAUACUAUAUUCUUUGCAAUUGCAACAACAGACUGGUUGUCAUAAAAAAUCUCUGUUGCUUCCUUUUGAUGCACACUUAAAUCAACUAUUAUUUUCCUUAGCCAAAUGGCUUGGUUUACAACACUUGCUGCUGCAACAUAUUCUGCUUCAGUAGUAGAUUGAGCAACUAUUGUUUGCUUUUUCGAGCUCUAACAAAACAUAGCUGAACCAAAAUUGAAAGCAUACCCUGAGGUGCUUUUCAUGUCAUCCAUCGAACUAGCUCAGUCAUUGUUAGUAUAACCAAUCAACUUGAAGCUUUUAGCUUUGCUAUACAUCAAGCCAUGGCUCAAUGUACCCUUGACAUACUUGAGCACCUUUUUUGCAGCUUGAAAGUGCUUCUCGUUGCUAUAAUGCAAGAACCUUGAGAGCAAACUUACAACAAACAUAAUGUUUGGCCUAGUGGCUGUCAGGUACAACAAACAACCAAUUAAGCUCCUGUAGGUUGUUUCACAAACCUUCUCAAAAUCACCAUGGCUCGAUAGCUUUUCUCUAACAACAACUAAAAUAUUAGUUGCUUUACUAUUUUGCAUUGAGAACUUGGUCAGAAUCUUAGAGGCAAAAGCUCUCUGACUUAGGAAUAUCCCAUUGUGCAUCUGUGUCACUUCCAUACCAAGAAAAUAGGUCAUUCUUCCUAGAUCAGACAUCUCAAACAUCUGGUGCAUUUUGGUUUUAAAACCGAUCAGCAUUGUUUGGUCUCCUCCUGUCACUAAUAGGUCAUCAACAUACAGAGAUACAAUGAGUUGAGUCUAUGCACCUUCUUUGUUGACAUACAAAGUUGGCUCGCUCUUGCUUCUUUCAAAUUUUAAACCGACCAGGUAGCUAUCGAUCCUGCUAUACCAGGCCCUUGGAGCCUGUUUCAAGCCAUACAAGGCUUUCUUCAGCUUAUAAACCAAGUGUUCUUUACCAGCUAUUUCAAAGCCUUGAGGUUGUUCAACAUAGAUCUCCUCUUCAAGAAAUCCAUUGAGAAAGGUAGACUUCACAUCGAGCUGGUGGAUUUUCCACUGCAUUUGUAUUGCUAAGGCAAUCAGUAACCUAAUGGUGUCGAGCCUAGCCACUGGUGCAAAGGUCUCCAAGUAAUCUAGACCAUACUUCUGGCUAAACCCCUUAACAACCAGUCUUGCUUUUAACUUAUUCAAGCUCUUAUCAGCAUUGUGCUUGGCUCGAUAGACCCAUUUUACCCCAAUAACCUUCUUGUUUACUAGUCUUUCAAUAGCUUCCAAGUCUGAUUCUUCUCAAUCAUGCUGAUUUCAUCAGCCAUUACUUGUUUCCAGCCUAAGUGUACUUUAGCCUCUUAAAGCAGCUUGGUUCUGCUAUAACUACAUGAGCUCUUUCAUAAAUCUUCAGCCAAUAGUCUACUGCCCCUAACUGGUUCAUCAUCAAUGUCUAUUUUAAGACCAUUUUGAUCUAGCUCGGUUUGAUCUACCAACAGGUCUUCAAGAACUAUCUUUGGUUCAUUCUUCUCCUAGUUCCAACAUACUUUCUCAUCGAACACCACAUCUCUGCUUACAGACACUUUAUUUAUUGAAGGAUCUAAGAUCCUAUAGCCCUUUUUUACUGAGCUGUAGCCCACCAAAAUACCAGGUUAAACUUUUUUGCCAAUUUUUUCCUCUUCACUACUGGGACAUGAGUAUAGCAUAUGCUACUAAAGACCCUCAGGUGAGCCAAUGAAAGCUUGAAGCCGAACCAGGCUUCGAAUGGAGUCUUAUGAGCCAAUGCCUUAGUUGAAAGCCUGUUCUGGAUGUACACAGCAGUGUUGACUGCCUCAGCCCACAUGGUUUUGGGCAAAUUCUUCUCAAAUAGUAGGCACCUGGACAUAUCCAUCAAGCUCCUGUUCUUCCUCUCACUUACACCAUUAUGUUGAGGAGUGUAGGUGUUGGUGAGCUGGUGUUUGAUGACUGCUUCAUCACAAAAUGCUUGGAACUGAGCUGAGGUGUACUCAGUCCCAUUAUCAGACCUUAGGGUCUUUAACUUGCAGCCAGGUUCAGCCUCUGCAGCAAUCUUGAAUUUGGAAAACAUUGAGGCCACUUCUAAUUUCUGUUUUAAGAAGUAAAUCCAACAAAACAUUGAGAAAUCAUCAAUAAACAGAAUGAAGUACCUACUUCCAUUCAGUGACUUGGUCUUCAUGGGGCCACACACAUUAGUGUGCACGAGCUGCAGGCUUUUUGAGGCUCUCUAAGCCUGAUUUGAAGGAAAUGAGAGCCUAGCUUACUUUCCUAGCUGGCAUACCUCACAAACCUCCUGUUUUUCAACUAAACCAAUGAAGUUUUCAGCCAAAUCUUCUCUAGAUAGUUGGUCCAUUAAUCUGUAGUUGGCAUGACCAAGCCUUUAAUGCCAAAGCUUGGAUUCAUCUGUUGUGGCUGUAUAGGUAGUGUCUAAGCCAUUUGUCUAGUCAACAACAAAGCUCUUCUUAGCCAUAUUAACUGCCAUGAUCUUGGAUCCGCUUGGAUCACUGAUUUGGCACUCAUUGCCUUUGAACACUAUAAAAUACCUUUUCUCUAGUAGCUGAGCUAUGCUGAACAGGUUUCUAUCAAUUUCAGGUACCAACAACACAUUUGAGAUGAACUUGUUACCUGUAGGAGUGCAUAUCAAUACAUCUCUUUUACCUUCUUCCUUCAUAAAAUGGCUAUUAGCAAUCUUAACCUUGGUUUUACAAGUUCUGUUAAUAAUUUUAAAGAUGGAAGCACAUGGUGACAUAUGGUUGGUGCAGCCACUAUCUAUGAGCCACCCUCUUGUUGUAUUUCCUUUAAAAGAUGAGCAUAAGACUGUAAAAACUUGUUCUUCAUAGUCACUGCCCUCUUCUGCUAUUCGAGCCUCAGCCUUUGGUUGUUGUGGUUGGUGCUACCUUGGUUUGCCUUUGCUUUUACAAACCUUUUCAACAUGGCCCAUCCUUUUGCAGCAUUGGCACUGCACAUCUGGUCUAUGCCAGCAGUUGGCUUUUGGAUGACCAAGUCUUUUGCAAUGCCUACAAGGUUGGUCCCUUUUUCUUGCAGGAUCUGACUUUGGCUUGUCUCUCUAAGUCUUUUUGCCUUUGUAGGCAGAGGUGUUCGAAGCAGGUUUGGUCUUUUCUUGAAAGACACCUAAGCAUAGAGAUCAUUGAUCAACUCUGUCAAUAUGAUUAUUGUCAGGUCCCUUGAGUCUUCGAGGGAUGAAAUUUUUUCCUCAUACCUCUCAAGCAAGGUUGAAAUCACCUUCUCCACUAUCCUUGCUUCACUGAACUGCUCACCAAGGAGCCUUAUGCUGUUUACCACAGCCAUUAUUCUGUCUGAGUACUGUUUGACAAUUUCUUCUUCCUUCAUUUUCAAAUUCUUGAAGUCCCUUCUGAGGUUCAACAACUAUUGCUGCCUUAUUCACUCUGUUUCUUGAAACUACUCUUUUAAUUUGUCCCAUGCCUGUUUUGGUGUCUCACAGGCCAUAAUCCUUGUAAAAAUCACAUCUUGCACUGAGUUUUGGAUGCAAAAUAUAGCCUUGUGCCUUUUGGUCCUUUCAUCAGUAUGCUGCCUGAUCUGAGCCACUAUUGGAUUGGCUCUUAGUGGCUCUGGUUCAACAUCUGAGUUGACCACCUCCCACAGAUCAAAUGCCUAUAGGUAGGUAUUCAUUUUUACCACCUAUAUGUGAAAGCGUUCUAUAUUGAAGACUGGAGGUAUAGAUGGUGAGAAGCUUGAUGAGGCCAUUAUUUUAAGUAACAGGUCCCUUAAGAUUAAGGCUCUAGAUACCAAUUUUUGGUGUUAUGAACAAAGAACAAACAAGUUGGCUGAGACUUGAGUAGCAAGGCUCGAUUCUUGCUGAAGAAAUAACAGAUUUUCAAGAUAGAAAAUUGAAAAGAAAAGAAAAGAACAAUAGAGAGUAUUACAACAAAAACUGAUUGAAUUCAUUCAAAUUGAACAAUGGCAUAAUGCCAAUACAUAAAUCAAGCACUAAGCUUGUCAAAAACAGUAAGUGGUCACCUAAUCAAUACCUACUACCACUAAUACAUUGAAACUUGAAAAGCAAAACUUGUAAGCAUAGACAAAGCUGAGUUUACAACUCAUUCACCAUCUAAUUACAUCAAUCAUAAACCUAACUUAGUUCAAAAUGAACUAGAAUACAUUUCCUUAAACUAAAGUUACAAAAUGAACAAAAAAUAGCAGCUGCACUUGCUCCAACAGCUUCUGCAUGGCUCGACCAGCAUAUCUUUUUUCUUUUCUGCUCUUGGUGCUACAUGCUAACCAUACUUCAACAAUAUCCAAGUUGGGAGUGAUAGACAUAUAUCACCCUUCAACUUGAGAGGGAGUGUUGAAGUUGGUAAUAAGUUGCUAUAGUAGCUCUUAGUGUUUAGGGAUUAGUUCUUUGUAAUUAACAAUUAAAAUACGUACUAAGUAUGCUAGUUAGUUACUACCUACCCAUUAUAUAACAAUCAAGCUGUAGCAACAAGAAUGUCAAACUUGAAGCAUUUUAUUUUCUCUCAUCUUUUCAAUCAAUAUCUUAACAGAGUCAGGCUUUAGAAUCCUAGCAGAGCCAAAAUCAGAGGCAUGAGCUUCAUAGUCCAAAUCUAAGAGAACAUUGCUACUAGAAAUAUCUCAAUGAACUAUAGGCUGUGAAUGGCCAUGAUGCAUAUAAUACAAAGCAUUAGCCAAUCCUUUAACAACAUUUAGCCUCUUCUUCUAGUCCAAUUCCUUAGCCUGUUCAUUGUUGCUUAGCACCAUUCUCAAACUUCCCCUUUCCACGAGCUCAUAAACCAAAAAAGAAUGCUUUGGAUGUGAACAAAAAUCAUACAUUUGCACAAUCUUUCGGUGCCUUAUUUCUAAUAAAGUGAUAAUCUCACUUUCAAACUCUUUCAAGUUGUUGAUGAGAAUGUUGUCUUUAGACCGUUGAAGUUUCUUCACAGCAACCACCUGACCAGUUGUUAAUGCAACUUUAUAGACACUUCCAUAUCUUCCUGAACCAAUGCAAUAAUUGGAGCUAAAAUCUUUAGUGGCUUCAAUAGUGUUGUCAUGGAGUACUCUUCCAUUAAAUCCCAAAACAGUAAAAAUAUAUCCUUGUUGUUCCUCCCUUGGCUCUGAUUCUUUAGUUUGAGUCCUUUUGCAGAAAGUAAAAAAACUUCCAACCAGUAGAAGUAGAUCGCCAAAAAGUGGAAGCAUAAUUGAAAUGAUGACUUUGGUCCUUUCUCUAUGACCAUGGUUGGCCAGAAAAGAAGGAACACAAGCCAUUAGUCCAGUGGCAUUACGGCAUACGCCUUUAUUGUUUCUAAAGGCAUCAAACGAAGUCUCAUGAAAAGCCUUAAGAUUUGGAAUAGAACCUUCAAAUUGAUUGAAAGAUAUGUUCACAAAUCUCAAACCACGCAAAUUAUUAUAAGUUUCCGGAAUGGAACUGUUGAGCAUAUUGUGAGAAAGGUUCAAUACUUCCAAGGACUAUAAUUUUCCAAAUUGUUGUGGGAUACCUCCAAUAAGUGAGUUCUAACUCAAAUCUAGGCUUUGAAGAGCAUUAAUGUAGCUUAUUGAAGAUGGAAUGCUUGAGGUUGUUCUUGCUCAAAUUCAAGUUGAGUAACUUGAGGCAAUUUCCAAGAUCAUCAGGAAUAGGCUCACUAAAAUUGUUUGAUGCCAAGUCAAGUUGUUCUAGUUUUUAAAGAAUAUAUAUGUCUUAGAAUGUCCGAAAAACCUAAAAAUCAUGUUUUUGCGCAGUUUAGGGUGCAAUCCCAUGUAAACGACACGGAUUGUCACAUGGUCGUGGGUGUUAGCCCGUGUGGAAAUGGUCAACUCGUGUGGCUCCUGUAGAUCGCUCCAAUUUUUUGAUUUUUACUCAUUUUACUCCCAAAUGCUCUCCUAAGUAUAAAAACAUGAAUUUAAAAGAUUAUAAGCAUAAAAUUCACCAUUUACAUCAAAUAAUCACCCAAAAAUAUAUUAAGAAUGAGGUUAAAACAUAUUACUUUUAACUCUUAUCAAUGUUAUUCUCAUUAUAUUGAUCGGUAAUUAUUUCCAACUCUUUGGAACUGAAGAGUUUAUAUUUAUCCAGACCACAUUUAAAAACAUCUUUUUUUUGAAACAAGAAUCCACCAUUUCUUUCGAAGAGUUUUUAUUUGAGUUUAAUAUACUUUCUUCUCUGCAGUAUGUUAUAAAGCGACCAUACCCGACAAUUAGAAACAAGAGCCCUAUACUCAAGCCAAUACCCACAUGAGAUCCAAAUAAAUACGUAACUUAAAUGAUUAACUCCUAAAAUCGUUUAUGUUACCAUUUAAACUACUAUUUUAAAAGAAAAUUUAGUUGGACAUGUCUCUUGUUAUAUGAUGUUGUGUAUCUUAUAAAAAAAUAGUCUUUAAAGAUGUUAUAAUGGUCUGUUUGAGAAUUUGGAUUUGAAAAUUUGAACUUAAAUUUGAAGUAUUAUGUAAAUGAUAAGAAUGAAAUGCAUAUUAUGGAUAAAUUAAUUCAGAUUUAAUCUAAUUUAUAUUAGAAAAGAUAUAAACAAAGAUUUAUCAAAUCCAAAUUUUUUUUAAAGAUUUCGAUGAAUUAUAUAACCUAGAGUUGUCAUAUCGAUUGCGCAAAUAAUUAUCAUCCAGGGAGAUAUUGAGAACUUUUAAAAGGGUGUUGCUUAAGAAUGCUUUGGUGGUGUUAAAGGGGUAUUACAACGAAUGAAAAAGUGGCUGCUAAUGUACCAAAAGGGUAUGGGAUGCUUAUGUUUCCGCAGUUGCUUUCACAUCCAGGUUUUGCUCGGGCUGCUACUGAAGUUGUUAUACAGCAAGCUCCUUAAACAUGCAACCAAACCCCAUCACCCCUCUCUCGGCUUAUGUAAAUCUAUAGAAUAACUUAUAGGAAUAGCAUGCAUGUACCAAGAUUCAAUGCCAUUUUAAUAGACAAGUUAUGGAAUACUAUAGCCGAUACAUGAUUCUUUAUCGCUUUGCUGACUCGUUCAUUUUCCUUUAAAAACUUUUCAUAUUUUAUUUCUUUUCGAUUUAAAAACUUUUCUUCCAUUAUCUAAAUGAAGCUUACAGCAAUUUAUAUUCACCCUUCGAUGGAUAAACAAUGCAUACUACAAUUUACUCCAGUAACUUGUUUUUCACUGCAGAUUUAAGUGGUGUACUUGACUAUGAAUAGUCAACUCAGCUCCAAGUCUUCGUCGUUUUAGUCUGAAAUUUAUUAUUUCCUUCCUUCUUCUUUUUUUUUUUAUAAUAAAUAGGGAUAAGGUUUGAUGGGUGGUGAGAAUAUUAAGUCUCGCCAUCAAUCAAUUAUUUUUUUCAAUAAAUUAUAUUAAAUAUUGAUAAAUUUAAUAUGUUAAAAAGCCUUUUAGAAAAUGCAAAAAAAAAAAAUUAAGCAAAGUACUGUAUUAAAUUUAUAUUCAAUUAAAUUCUUAUCGUUAAUUAAAAUAAUAAGUUAAAUCUUCAUUAACGGAAUCUGUAAUUAAUCAUGUUGAUUGUUAAAAUAAAUUGACGGAUCAAUCAAAGGGUACCACACGACAACAUUAAAUAUUAAAAAUCAUAAAAUAUAAAAAAUUAAAUAUUUAAAAUUAUUAAAAUGGACACAAAUUUAAAAAUUAUAAAAACUUAUACAUAUUAUAAAAAUAUAAAAACCUAACAAAUCAUAAAAGUUUUAUAAAAUUAAUAAAAAAUAUUUACAAUUUUAUGAAAAUCAUAAAAUAUUAAAAAUAUAUAAAUUAGUAAAAAAUAUAAAAACUUAUAAAUAUUAUAAAAAUAUAAAAAUUAAAAUUUUAUAAAAACAUAUAAAAAUUCAUAAAAAAUAUAAAUAAUAUAAAAAUUCUAAUAAAUUGUAAAAAAUAAAAAUUAUAAAAACUUGUCGAAAUCAUUUUUUUGAAAAACAAAAAUUUAGUUGUCGACUUUAAAACCAAAAAUUAGAGUCGCCACCGAUCCUUUAUUAAGGUGUGAUCGGCUCACCUUAAAAACGAUUUUGGUCUACGAAAUUUGAGAAAAUAGGUUCGGGAGUCAGUUACACAUGGGGAAGGGUUAGCACCCUCGUAACGCCCAAAAAUCAGUACCAAAUUAAUUAUUUAAUGUCUUAGUAACGAGGGUUAAAAAUAUUUUUUUUAAAAAAAACUCAAAUGAUGAAAUCUAAAAAGAAUAAUCAAUUGCUUAAGUCAGACGAAGAAAUCGAGACCCAAUACGUUAGGGUACAAUUUCUCAAAAUCCCCAAGCUUUGAAUAUCGCUUUUAUUUUAUAAGAAAAUCUUCAUUUCGAGAAAGUAAUAUGUCAUGCCCAAUACAUUAGGACACAACAAAUUAUGUACAUGUAUAUAAAAAUUAUGAAGAUAAAAUAAUAAUAAAAAUAUAAAUAAAAUAUGUACAUGUAUAUCUUCUACAAAAGUUUAAAACAUAUAUGCACAUAUUUAUUAUAAAAAUGUAUGAACGUACGUGGAAAUAAUAAUUAUAAUAUUAAUAAUAAUAGUAAAUAAGAAGAAGAAGAAGAAGACAAAAAAUAAAUUUUCUUUUAAAAAAAAACCAAUUGCCAAAAAGGACUGAAUAGUCAAUAAAACUAAAACAACAGGAAAUAAAUGAAAUUUUAGCAAAAUGAUGGGUCAAAUUGUGACUUGCGAAUUACACGGGGGGCCAAAUUAGAAAUAAUCCACCUCCCCAAAAUGCUGCGCAGCGACGAGGACCAAUUUGCAAUAAAAUAAAAUGUGUAGCAAAAUUUAAAAGAAAUUAGAAAUUUAAUUUAAGUGCGCUGCAAAAAUAAGGGGACCGAUUGCGCAAAUUUCCCCUCUCAGACUAAAACGCACGGAUCUAGCGCUAUUCGGGUCGGGUCAUCGGGUUCUUGCCUAUACGGUGUCGUUUUGAAGCCACUGAAGCAGGCCUUAAACGGCGUCGUUUCAUGGUCAUUAAUAAAACAAAAUUUUUUUUCUAAAAACUUCAUUUUUUCCUUUUGAUUCAAAACAGCAGAGUAACCCUCUGCUAGGGUUUUGUUCUUUUCUCUGCCACCGCCAUUCAAGCCUCCCCACGGUCUUCGUCGAUGCCCCAGUCUCCAAUCACGAUGGAGAGGGCACCAACUCAGCGAUUCCGGCGAAAAGGUAAGUUUUCCCUCUCUUUUUUUAUAUUUUAAGUUAAAAAUUAAAAGAAUAAAAAUAAAACUAAAUGAAUAAAUAAAUAAAACAAACACCCACAAAAUAAACUAAAAAAAAUCAAAAAAUAAUCACCUCCGUUAUUCAAAUAUUUUUUAAUCUAUUUUUCCUCUUUUUCUUUGUAUUUUCAGUAUUUUCUCCUAUUUUUGCAUAUCCCCUUUUUACAAAAAGAAACAGCCUUUUUAUAGCUUGAAAAACAACUUAUUUUCACUAUUUUUUUCUCUUUUGGACUCUUUUAGUCCACUUUGCAGUAACGUGGGGAUAUGGUGCAAGACGUGGCGCGCAUGGAGGAGGCCGGCUUUGAGACGUGCGGCGACUGGGGUCUGUUGGAGGCCAUAUGCCGUUAGGGUUUCCCGAUCCUUUCUCUGGUAUUGGUUUCGGGCUUGGGUUAGUUGGGUUUUAGGUUUAGGUUUAUUGGGCUGAUGUAAUUUGGGCCGUUUAGAUAAAUGUAAAUGGACUCUAUAAUUGUUUGGACUUUAUUUAUUCUUUUAUUUGGUUUAUGCAUACGGGCCCGGGCAAAUUGGGCCUAUUACAGCUGCCCCUCUUUGCUCGUUGUCGUGUAACGAGAACAGAGCAAAGACUAAGAAAGUCCAAUUUUACCCGGUCUCGCCAAAUCUUGACUUCUUUGGGCUCUUAUUUUCUUCAAGUAGUCCUCAUUCCAGUCCAUUGUGUUUUGUUGCUUCAAUCCAUUCUAUUGCACUUCAGAGAGAUUUGGCUUGUAGCUUCAAUCUUUUUCGUAGCAACUUCAUGGGGACGAGAUUGGUGGUUUUAGUCUGCUCCACUGUAACUUCAGGGAGAUAAGACUAGAUGCGAUCUGCUCUACUGCAACUUCAGAGAGAUAAGAUCUGUGGUUUUAAUCCGUUCCAUUGCAACUUCAGGGAGAUAGGAUUGGUUUCUUCAAUCUGCUCCAUUGUAACUUCAGGGAGAUAAGAUUGGUUUCUUCUGUCUACUCCACUGCAACUUCAGGGAGAUAAGACUAGAUGCGAUAUGCUUUACUGUAGCUUCAGAGGGAUAAGAUCUGUGGUUUUAAUCCACUCUACUACAACUUCAGAGAGAUAAGAUUGGUUUCUUCUGUCUACUCCACUAUAACUUUAGGGAGAUAAGACUGGAUGUGAUCUGCUCUACUCCAACUUUAGAGAGAUAAGAUCUUGUGGUUUUAAUCAGCUCCACUGCAACUUCAGUGAGAUAUGAUUUGUUUCUUCAAUAUGCUCCACUGUAACUUUAGGGAGAUAAGGUUGGUUUCUUCUGUCUACUCCACUGCAACUUCAGGGAGAUAAGACUGGAUGCGAUCUGCUCUACUGCAACUUCAGAGAGAUAAGAUCUUGUGGUUUUAAUCCGCUCCACUGUAACUUUAGGGAGAUAGGAUUGGUUUCUUCAAUCUGCUCCACUGCAACUUCAGGGAGAUAAGACUUUAUGAUUUCACCGAUCUGCUCUCUAGGGGAACAUGACCUGUAUGAUUCAUUUCAGAAAACCUAAUUAUGCUUAAUGAUUAGGAUGUCGUGGUCAAAAUGAAUCAAAUGCUCUUAGCCAGAUGUGUAUGAAUGAUAUUUGAAUGCAAUGUCAUGAAAAUGAUUCUUUAGUGUUGAAAUUGUUAUUUCUCAUUUAUUCAUUAAGGCUUCCUUUGUGACAACAAUGCUUCGACAAAACUCGAAAAAUUCUUAAUCUAGACUUUUCUUUCCUAAAUAUCUCCAACCUUUUAACUCGGUGAAUUCUAAAGAAUAGUCAUGUUUCAGGUUCCUGUAUUAUCUAGAGUAAUAUGAAAUUUCUAGAGUAAUAUGAAAAACUUCCUUUGUGAAAGUAUUAUUAGUCCAUUAAUCAUUAUUCUAAUGCAGCAUACUUGCGAAAAAAUCAUAAAUAUGGAUAAAAUAGAAUAGAUUUGAGAGCAUAGCUCGCAAUAAAUUGUCAAUGAUGGCAAGCUAAAAAGAGGAAUUGAUUGGGAACACUUAUAUUGAAAAGAAUGAAGUAUUCUAAAAACAACACAUUCAAUAUAAAUAAUAUGAAUAGGUGCCCCAGAUAUCGUAGCUUGAGCUUCUCUGAACAAAUUUCCUGAAGACCAUUCUGAGUUUGACAUGUGUUUAGAAGAUCUACAGUACUUUGUCGGUGCCCCAGAUGUCGCGUACCCUUUCUUGCUGACUCAGGCAUAGUAAGAUCACUCCAUGCCCCAAUCAAAAUUUGAGCAGCCCUUUUCGUGUUUUCAACUCAAAUCCCCUUUGGUCUCAAGGCGCUCUUUGCGGGGUUUCCCAUUGGUUCCUUCUCUAUUUUUCUCUUUUUUUUGAACUCAAAGCGCCCUUUGUGGGUUUUCACAUUCGUUCCUUCUCCUUCUUAAGUAAAGUAUUUCUUGACUGAAUCUGAGUUUACUGGAUUAGGCAAGUUUUUCCCAUCCAUCUCAGUCAGAAUCAAUACUCCCCCAGAAAAGGCCUUUUUUACAACAUAAGGCCCUUCCCAACUUGGCAUCCACUUCCCUCUAAAAUCCUUUUGUAGAAGAAGAAUUUUUCUCAACAUCAGGUCCCCAUCGUGAAAUUCUCUGGGACGGACCUUUUUGUUGUAGGCUCGCAUCAUUCUUUUUUGGUACAUUUGACCAUGCUGAAUAGCCUUUAGCCUUUUUCACUCUAUUAAGUUCAACUGAUCAUAUCGAGAUUGAACCAUUCUGCUUCAUCCAACUUUAGCUCAACCAACAUUUAGAGAGAAGGGAUUUCAACUUCAAUGGGUAAACCUGCCUCCAUACCGUAAACCAAGGAGAAAGGCGUUGCCCCGGUAGAAGUCCUGAUUGAGGCUCGAUAAGCAAGGAGGGCAAAUGGUAAUUUCUCAUGCUAGUCCUUAUAAGUCUCAGUCAUUUUCCCCAUAAUUUUCUUAAUAUUUUUAUUGGCUGCCUCCACUACACCAUUCAUUUUUGGGCGAUACUGUGACGAAUUGUGAUGUCUGAUCAUGAAUUGACUGCAGACCUCCGCUAUUGAGCUGUUGUUCAAAUUUAAUGCAUUGUCUGAUAUGAUUCUUUCAGGCAUUCCAUAUCGACAUAUGAUCUCUCCUUUCAAGAACUUGCUGAUUGCUGACUUUGUGACAUUAGCAUACGAAGCAGCUUCUACCCAUUUAGAAAAGUAGUCAAUGACUACAAAGAUGAAGCGAUGCCCGUUAGAAGCCUUCGGCGAUAUUGUCCCGAUGACAUCUAUCCCCUACAUGGAGAAAGGCCAUGGAGAAGUCAUAACGUGAAGAGGCAAAUGAGGUGCAUGCAUUUUAUCACCAUAAAUUUGACAUUUAUGGCAUUUCUUGGCAUAAUUGAUGCAAUUCCCCUCUAUGGUGGACCAAUAGUACCCGCAUCUCAUAAUCUGUCUAGCCAUUGUGAACCCACUAGUAUGCAUUCCACAAAUAGCCUCAUGGACCUCCCCCAAGAUUUUUUUAGCUUCCACGGCGUCCACACAUCUUAAUAGAAUCUGAUCAUUUCCUCUCUUAUAUAAGAUCUCCCUAUCUAAAACGUAAUCAAUGGCUAGUCUUCUUAGAGUCCUCUUAUCAUUCUCAGUUGCCUGAUUAGGAUACUCUCGAUUCUUUACAUAUGUAAUAUAUCUUGAUACCAGGGACUAUCAUCCAUUUCUCCUUCUUCGAUAUUAUAGCAAUGAGCCGAGCCUUCAUAGAUGCUCAUCUGGAUAGGCUUUAUGUCCUCUUGUCUGUUCACUUUGAUCAUUGAGGCUAGAGUAGCUAAUGCGUCAGCUAUACGAUUCUCAUCUCAUGGGAGAUAGUAGAAAGUAAUGUCUUCAAACUCUUUAAUCAAUUCAAGGACCAACUUUCGAUAACUGAUUAAUUUGGGAUCUCUCGUUUCCCAUUCUCUCUUGAGUUGGUAUAUCACCAAUGCCGAAUCUCUGUAGACCUCCAGCACUUUGAUUUCACACUCUAUAGCUGCACGAAUGCCCAUGAUGCACGCUUCGUAUUCUGCCAUGUUAUUUGUACAAUCAAAAUCCAAUUUGCAAGUAAAAGGAUAGUGAUCUCCGUUUGGGGACACUAAGACUGCCCAAAUUCCAUUGCCCAUAGCGUUUGAAGCUCCAUCAAAAUUUAGCUUCCAAUUGUGACCCUCCUGGGAAUUUUCUUCAGCAGCUGCUACAUACAUCAGGUCCUCAUUUGGGAAAUCAAAACUCAAUGGCUCGUAAUCCUCCAAAGCCUUGCUAGCCAGAAAGUCAGCUAUUGCACUCCCUUUCAUGGCCUUUUGACUCACAUAGACUAUAUCGAAUUCAGAAAGUAAGAUCUGCCAUCUGGCCAUCCUCCCAUUCAAAGCAGUCAACUUCAUCAUAUGUUUUAAGGGGUCUAAUUUUGAAAUUAGCCAAGUCGUAUGGUAGAACAUGUACUGCCUCAAUCUUCGGGUUGUCCAAAUCAGGGCACAACACAACUUUUCAACAGGCGACUAUCUCAUUUCACAGUCAGUAAAUUUCUUACUGAGAUAAUAUAUCGCCCUUUCUUUCCUCCCCGUUCCAUCAUGUUGACCGAGCACACACCCCAUGGAAUUAUCAAACACUGUUAGAUACAAUAUCAGCGGCCUAUCUGGGCUAGGUGGUGACAGCACUGGAGUAUUAGACAAGUAUUGUUUUAUCCUGUUAAAGGCUUCCUCGCAUUCUUCAUCCCAUGUACCAGGAUUAUGUUUCUUCAGAAGACGAAAUAUGGGGUCACAUUUCUCGGUUAAUUGUGAAAUGAACCUAGCAAUAUAAUUCAGUCUUCCUAAGAAACCUCAAACUUCUUUCUGCGUGUGAGGUGGAGGUAAAUCUCGUAUUGCCUUGACUUUGUCUGGGUCAAUUUUGAUUCCCUUUUCACUGACUAUGAAGCCUAGCAACUUUCCUGACCUGGCCCCAAAAGUGCAUUUCGCUGGAUUGAGCUUAAGCAGGAACUUUCUUAAUUUUAAGAACAAUUUUCUUAGGACCUGUACAUGUUCCUCCUCCGUUCUAGAUUUUGUGAUCAUAUUAUCAACAUAAACCUCGAUUUCCUUGUGCAUCAUGUCAUGGAACAAGGCUACCAUAGCUCUUUGGUAUGUCACUCUCACAUUCUUUAACCCGAACGGCAUUACUUUAUAGCAAAAUGUUCCUCAUAACGUGAUGAACGCAGUCUUUCUCAUGUCUUCGGGAUGCAUUUUAAUCUGAUUGUAUCUAGAAAAACCAUCCAUGAAAGAGAACAAUGAAUAGCCUACCGUAUUAUCUACCAAUGUGUCAAUGUGAGGCAAUGGGAAAUUGUCUUUUGGACUAGCCUUAUUUAGAUCCCUAUAAUCUACACACAUUCGUACUUUCCCAUCUUUUUUAGGAAUUGGUACGAUGUUAGCCACCCAUUCAAAAUAUUUGACCUCUUGUAGAAAAUCGGCAUCAAACUGCUUUUUGACCUCCUCUUUUUUUUUUAACAUGACAUCAGGCCUCAUCCUCCUGAGCUUCUGCGGCACUGGCUUGCAAUCCUCUCUUAUAGGAAUGCGAUGUACUACAAUGUCAGUACUUAACCCGGGCAUAUCUUGAUAUGACCAUGCAAAGACAUUUUUGAAUUCUUGGAGUAAUCCAAUGAGGUCUUGUCUUGUCUUUGCAGAGAUAUUAGAUCCGAUCUUCACCUCUUUUCCUUCCUCCAAGCUCACAAUUUCUAUUGUUUCCUUGUGAGGUAAGAUUUACUUCUUCGUCUGUUCUACCAUCUUCAACAAGUCAGGGGAUAAACCACAGUCUUCGUCAUCUUCGGAAUCAUGCAAUCCCUCUAAACACAUGUCUCGUUCAAAAGAAGAUUCUGAACUUUUAAGAGCGACACUCAUAUAAUAUGAAAAACAAUAUGGAUUCAGGAAUAUUGUGCAAUAUGGUCAUGAAUGAGAUGCAAGAAUAAUUUGAAAGAAAAUUCAAACUAACUGCUCAUAUGGAAAGAAAGAAAGAAAAUUUGCUCGAAAAUGAUUGCAAAGAUGUACUUUAUUAAAAUAACGAUGUUUGGACAUGAGCCUAUUUCACAAAGGAAUUCUUAUCGCUUAUAGGCUAAAAGCAAUAAGGGUGUUCUGAACAUUACUCUGAGGAAGUCCUAAAAACUAUAGGUAUCUCUUCUGCAGUCCAAUUGUUUAGCACACUUCUUGAUUCAGAGGGGUGGAUAUCGAACAAAGUUCCUCCCUCAGUCGCUUUUUCACAAAUGGCAUGAAUACUUCCCAACUCCUCAUUAAUACUUCCCCCUCUUGGAACUUCUUAAUAAAUAAAUCCUCCCGAUACAAAAGUUUUGGAUAGGUGAGGAAAGGUCAUAGGUUCCCACUUAACUUCAUCUCCUGUCAAACGAGCCCUUCUUCUUUCUUGCUUCUUUUCUUGCUCCAUCUUCAUUUGUUCAAUAUCUAGCUUGUAACCUAAGCCAAAACGGUCAUGCUUGUCCUUCAACACUGGGGCUUCAACUCUACCCUGAAGAUGCCUCCCUAAUCCUUUUCUUGGCAAGGCUCCAUUUCCAACUGUCAAUUGUAGACCCAUCUUUGUGGUUUUUGAUAUCCUCGGCAUCGAAUCUUGCUUCCCUCGGUAAUAAAUAUGGCGUUCAUGAAAUCUAAAGACUGGAAAGAACAUUCAACUGCAUCAUCACUCGUCUCCACAUACGGUGUAUCAUGGGCUACAGCUGCAAUAAUAUCUUCUUCAGUGCUUAACAUCACUAGCCGACCCUCUGACACUAGCUUCAACUUUUGAUGUAAUGAUGACGGUACCACCCCUGCUGAAUGUAUCCAUGGCCUUCCUAAUAAGCAAUUAUAGGAAGGCUUGAUAUCCAUUACUAGGAAGUCCACCUCAUAAGUAAUUGGGCCGAUCAAAAAAGGUAUCUCGAUUCUCCCCAUGACUCUCCUUUGUGUGCCAUCAAAUGCCCUUACUAUAUUUUGGCAUACCUUCAUGUGUGAACUAUCUACAGGUAGCCUAUUAAGUGUAGAUAGGGGUAAUACAUUCAAUGCUAAUCCAUUAUCUAUCAGAACUCCUGACAAUGUGUACCCUUUGCAUCUGGUAGUAAUGUGCAAAGCUCUAGUAGACCCCAUACCCCCAAGUGGUAUUUCGUCAUCGUUGAGAAAGAUGAAGUUAUCAGUACUUAUAUUGCCGACCAGUCGAUCUAAUUUGUUGACAGAGAUAUCGUUGGCCACAUAUAUUUCAUUUAGUACUUUCAACAGUACAUUUCGAUACCCCUCUGAGCUCAACAGUAAAGCUAGCACAGAUAUGCAAGCUAGUUGUUUAUGUAAUUGUUCUACAACACUGUACUCGCUAUGCUUCAAAAAUUUUAGGAAUUCCCUAGCUUCCUCUUCUUUUAUUAGCUCAUUGACCAACAGUUCAGGUUCGGCUGCGUUUUCCUUCUUUUCGGUCAAAGCUUCUCAUUUUGCUGGCUCUAUUCGGGCAUUUACCAGACUGUAACACUUUCUACUACAAGUAUAGGAACCCAGCUCUCAAUUCUCUUUUAAAAUACUGGUUACAUCCUCCUUCCCUGAAAUUGUCACAUUGCAAUCAUAAUUCCAAGGAACUUUCUUGUUAUUCUUAUAAGCAAAAAUGGACGGUUUUUAAAUGAUGACCUUUGGUGUUAUCCUUACUCCAGCCUCACUAUUCUUAGGUCACGAAAUGAUGACCAUAGGGUAGUUAGCUUUUGGAACUUCAAAUGUUGACUCUUAUGCGCAUAUAUGUCCCUCCUACUUAAUUUCUUCACAGAAUUCUAUCUCUUUAUUAUCCAUCAUACAUUGAACCAUGGUUCUGAACUCCGCACACUCUUGGACUUCAUGCCCCAUUUCAUGAUGGAACUCACAGUAGUUCCCUCUCCUCUCGUAACUUCCUUCCGAAAUAACUAAUCCCCUUUUCACUAUCUCCUUCCAAACCCAACUCAAAGGAGUUUUUACGUCUGCAAUGUCUGCCUUAAUCCUUCUAUUUUCUCUCAUCAUAUUUACCCCACUAUUAGUAUGAUUUGGUAAUGGAUUUUCUACACUGGUCGAGCCAUCAAACUUGACAAUGCCUAUAUUGAUGAGCCUUUCGACCAACUUCUUAAAGGCAGUAUAGUUCUCUAUAGAAUGCCCUGUAAUUCCCACAUGAUAGUCGCAUUGUGCAUUCGUAUCGUACCAUUUAGGGUACGGGGGUUGUAAGGGUUUUAAAUAGUAAGGGGAAACAACGUGUGCAUCAAACAAACUUUGAUAUAGCUCCCUAUACGACAUCGGAAUUGGCAUGAAUUGGGGCCUCUCAGUGUUCUGUCUCGUACCAGCUUUCUAUUUUUAUGAACCUUGCUGGUUAGUAGCCACCUUUCCUGGCUGGUUCACUGUUACUGACUUCGAGUAACCCUUAUUAUGUAUACUCUCAUUUUUCACCUCGUUUUCUUUCUUCUUCGAAGCCGAUCUUCUGUUGCUCUCUCUUACAUCGAUCUUCCCACUCUUUAUGGCAUUUUCGAUCAUCUCACCAUUCAUGACUAUGUCAGGAAAGUUUUUUAUGGCACUCCCUAACAUAUGUGUAAUGAACGGUGCCUUCAGUUGUUAAUGAACAACAUGGUCACUUCUUUUUCUAAAAGCGGUGGCUGAACUUGGACUGUGACUUCCCUCCACCUUUGUGCAUACUGCCUAAAACUUUCGUUCAGCUUCUUUUCCAUAUUUUGAAGGGUGAUUCUAUCAGGAGCCAUGUCUGUUACAUAACUAUACUGUUUUAUGAAUGCUCGUGCCAAAUCUCUCCAUGAACCAAUCAUGGUACGGCUUAAUUGAUUGUACCAUUUAGAUGCUGCCCUUGUAAGGCUAUCUUGGAAACAAUGUAUCAAUAGCUGGUCAUUGUCAACAUAUUCAGCCAUUCACCUAUAGAAUACGGUGAUAUGAGCUUCUGGGCAACUUGUCCCAUCAUACUUUUCGAAUUCUGGCAUCUUAAACUUAUGAGGGAGUACCAAAUCUGGGACUAAACUCAACUCUUUAGCAUCAAUCCCACGAUAUUUUUUAGUAAUUUCCAUCGCUUUAAACUUCUUUUCAAGCCGUUUGUACCUUUCUUCUAACUAUUUUGGCAAUUCUUCCUUCAUUAUUUCUUUUUCAGCCACUUCAUCAAAGUCAGGAAUGACAGAGUUAGUAGGGUUGUUUCUAGGGUUAGAGCCCGAUCCAGCCUGGAAGUUUGAAUCACCAACUUGAAACUGCUGAGGCCUGAUUGUGACAGAAGAUUUGUGCGGGUAUGCUUCAGCUUGGGUUCGCACAUGUGGAGGAGUAAAUCCUGGAGGAUAGAGAGGUUCAUCAUUGUUACCCUCUUCGAUAUUAACCGUAGGGCUCUUUCCCUUAUCUUUUCCCUCAGCCAAUAGUCGCAUUAACUGAGUCAUCAUGCUCCCUUGGUAUUCUAUUAUUUUGUCCAUCAUAUUCUGGUGGAUCCUUUCGAACUGCUCUUGCACUUGCUGCUGAAGUUGAUCUUGCACUUCUUUUUGGAAUUGUUCGAGCUUUUCCAAUCUCUGAUAUAUGUUUUUAGUCUUCGCUUGAGUGUCGUAACGGUGUUUGGUUGGCUGGUUGGUUUUCAAGUUAACUGAGCAAUGAUUUUAAUUAAUUAGGAUCUUUUAAUAAUCUUUGAUGCAUAUGAUGCAAUGCAUGAAAUGGAUGCAAGAAAGACAUUAAUUCUGAUUCAAUCCCACUUAGAAAACUUUACUAGAGAAAAAGAAAUUUCUUUACAUAAGUUGGCUACAAAUAAGGCUUUGCCCUAAGACUUAGAACUCUAAUCUCCCUAAGUAACGAGGCUAACUCUUGCCUCCUAUCUGAUUCCAAUUCAUAUUUCACACUCAGUAUAUCGGCUUGUAUUGUCAAAGUCUGCAAGUGCUCAGCUACCUCUCGAAUCUAAACCACAGCUUCUCCCAUAAUGUGAUCACUUUUUGUAACCUGAUCUUGGAAAUAGUGAGGCUGUUCAUUUUAAUGAUCUUCAUUUGCUCCCAAAUACUCGAUCUUGGCUUCACAACUUUGUAAUGCCCUUUCUAAUUCUUCUACCAUUCCUUUCAUUUGCUCGAUCCUGCCUAAGCUUGCUUUCAGCUCCACCACAGAAUUGCAAUCUCGAUAUUGAUGAACAGUUUUCUCAAGUUCAGCCACUCUAGCUUUUAGUUCAUCCAUUUCAUUUUGGCUUUUUGACAAAGUCUUCUCAAGGGACCUAUUUUGCAUCUGGGCCUCCCAAAAUUUCUUUUCCCAUCUACCAGCCUUGAUCUUUUCUUCCUGAAUUUCCUGACUCCACUGCUUUGAAGUUUUCCCCAACCCAGCAGUUCUCACUGACAGACGUAGUUUCUUAUAAUCUAUCUUCAAGCUAUCUAGAUAUUCCUCAGCUUUGCAUUUUCCUUUUCUUAGUUCUUCGGUUUCCAACUUCUGAACAUCCAUGUCUAAUCUCAGAUUCAUCUUCUCUUCUUCCACUUGUUCUAUCUUCUUUUCGAGCUCUGAAUUUCUUCAUUCAAAAUUUUGCCAUAUAAUUUCUAGCUCAGAGAGGACAACUUGUACAUGCUUUCCUACUGGUUGAUUGUCUCCCUGACUUGGCACAGGUAUAUUAUCAUUAAUCCUCCUGCUCCUCCACUCGAUAUAUUCAGGAGUCGUCAGCGGACCUACUUCCAAUCUCUUCAUUCGUUGAGUCUGGCGCUAGGAAAUAGUCAUUUCUCGAAUCUUCUUCUUGUAACCAUCGCCUCUAUACGAGAAUUCACAUUGAGCUAAUCCUUGGGUUGCAGGUACGAACUGCCUUGACCUAUACUGUCUUAGUACCAGUAACGGUGCAUAGCCAAUGGCUCCCCAAAUCCCAAGUAAAGGGACCCAGUCGAAAUCUCCACACCUAUACAAGAUCUCAUCUGGCAGCAUCUAAGGAGCUCUCCAUUCGAUAUCUUCCUCCUGAAGAUUUUGAAGAAUUGUCAUCCAUUUUUCCUCUGAAAUAUCAUUUUGCCUUGCUAUGGCCACUACUUCUUUCAAGGGCGAAUAAUUCUCAGAAAAAACCCGAUAGGAAACCUUAUCAACUUUCCAAAAGUGACUGUGAAACCAUGCUAAGAGGAGCUGCGCACAUCCAAUGAAUCUAUCCUCACCCUCUCUUCGGCAUUCAUUCAGUGAUCUAAAAGUUUCUGCUAAAAUUGUCGGGAUUGGUGUAACCCUCUUAUCAAGUCAGCCGAAAAGAUCAGUAACUGAUUCAUCAACAUGUCCCAAGGCUUUGGGAAAGACAACUAAGCCGUAGAUACUCAAGGCAAAGAUAUCAACUUUCUUCUUCGUAUCUGGGUGUACUAGAAUUAGAUCUUUCAAGUUCUUCCAAAGAAUGCAUUUGCUAUCCCCCUUCUGCUUAAUUCGUGCUGCAACCUAUUGUUCGCUCAUCCCAGUAAUACUAACCAAUCUCUUCAAAAGGGUUAGAACAUUGGCAGCUCUCGAGUAAGCUUUAUCUACUUAAAUUUUCGAGCAAUGAAGUAAGGCCAUAUAUUCCUCCACUGUAGGCACUAAGUCAACUCAUCCAAAGGUGAAACAACUAUAAGCGGGAUUCCAAAACUGGCGAGGGCACGAAAUCUUCAUAGUUAGAAUAAAAGAGCUGCUUGACCUCAUCAUUCCACUGGUCCCAGAUUUCCUUCAAUUCUUGUAGACUAUUCUGAGUUACACUAAUAUGAGUAAAGUCCCAUAACUGACAUAUAUCCUUCGGCCAAGCUAUCACCCUUCUCUUACUGUGUUGCCUCAGACCAGGUUUGGAUAGCUGCAUUAUUCUCCACCUUAUGAAGAAAUCCCUUUCCAUGAUAAGCUUUCUAUCUAGUAACUGAAUAUGAACUAAUGCCUUUAGGAUGAAAUGCCAUGCAGUUAUAAUGCCAUGUAAUCUAAGCAAAAUCAACCCAAGUUAGUAUCACGCAUAAAGAAAUAAUUCAAUACGAACAUGAAAUAAUAAAAGCACAUAUUUAGGAGUCCACUAGGGUUUGGUAUAGUUCUACCUAAAGCAAGUUCCUAAAGCUCACUAUAUGAGGUUUAGUUUCUAGAGCAAAAGUACCCGAACUAAGAGAUUCCUCGAUCCUCACCCAUUAUAGGCUCAUAUGGAUCGAGUUCAAUUCAGGGGAAUACAUUUCCCUAUGGCUGCACAGAGAUGAAAAUCUCACGAAGACAUAGGUACGGAUGUAUCCCGAAAAUGGUCCACUACCCUGCACGGAGGUGAAAACCUCACGAAGGAUUAGCUUCUCGCUCCCACUUAAAGGGGGGAAAAUUGACCAACUUAUGAAAUGCAAAAUGCAAAUAAACUAAUAGAUUAGCCAAGCAUAUGAUGAUGAAGACAGAUGAAUGCAAAAGGGGAAAUCAUGAAUUUUAAAACGAAAUUAAAGUUUUUGACCAAAAGACAAAAAUUAAUCAAUUUACGGCUCCAAAAGACAAAAAUUAAUCAAUUUAUGGCUCGGCUCUCUAACAAUCCCCAGCGGAGUCGCCAAGCUGUCGAAACCAUUUUUUUGAAAAACAAAAAUUUAGUUGUCGACUUUAAAACCAAAAAUUGGAGUCACCACCGAUUCUUUAUUAAGGUGUGAUCGGCUCACCUUAAAAAUGAUUUUGGUCUACGAAAUUUGAGAAAACAGGUUCGGGAGUCAGUUACGCACGAGGAAGGGUUAGCACCCUCGUAACGCCCAAAAAUCGAUACCAAAUUGAUUAUUUAAUGUCUUAGUAACGAGGGUUAAAAAGAUUUUUUUUAAAAAACUCAAAUGAUGAAAUCUAAAAAGGAUAAUCAAUUACUUAAGUCAGACGAAGAAAUCGAUACCCAAUACGUUAGGGUACAAUUUCUCAAAAUCCCCAAGCUUUGAAUAUCGCUUUUAUUUUAUAAGAAAAUCUUCAUUUCGAGAAAGUAAUAUGUCAUGCCCAAUACAUUAGGACACAACAAAUUGAAUUCCCGAAAAUGAUUUUUAUACUUAUGCAUUUUGAAUAAAGAGCAUUUUCGAUUAUUUAGGAUUAACAAAGAAAAUCAAAACCCAAUACGUUAGGGCUCAAUUUCCUCGAAAAUCUCAAAUAUCGAAUAUUACAUUAUUUUAAAAGCCUUUGAAUAAAAAAAGGAUUUUAAUAUUUCGAAGAACCCAAAAUAUAUUUUUCUAAAAAGGUAUGCUAAAAAGUUAAUGUACAAUAUGAAACAAAUAAUUUAAUUUUAAUUAUACAUGUAUAUGUAUUUACAAAAUGUGUAUAUAUGUGAGUAUGAUACAUAGAUAAAUUUUGAAAAUAUGUAUAUGCAUAUAUUAAAACAUAUAUAUAUAAGUAUGCAUAUAAAAGGGGGGGAAUGAAAUAUAUAAAACAACAAAAAUAAUUUCUAAGAAAAUAUGUAUGUAUGUACAUGUAUGUGAAAAUUAUGAAAAUAAGAUAAGAAAUAUAAAAGUACGUAUAUGUGUAUAUAUUUACGAAGUAAAAAAAUGUAUAAGUAUAUAUAAAUAUAUUGGUAAAUCAUGAAAAUAUGUAUACGUAUAUAUUUAAAUACUUAUGUAUGUACAACAUGUAUAUAAAAUAAUGAAACAUAUAAAAUAAUAAAGAAAAUAUUUAUAAUUAUUUAAAAAUAUAAAAAAGUGUACGUAUAUAUUAUAGAAAAUGCAUGUAUAUUUUGAAUCAUAAGAUAUGGGAAAUAAAUAUGUUACAAAAUGUAUAUGUAUACAAAAUAUAAAUGUAUAUGCAUAUACAUGUAUAUAAAAAUUAUGAAGAUAAAAUAAUAAUAAAAAUAUAAAUAAAAUAUGUACAUGUAUAUCUUCUACAAAAGUUUAAAACAUAUAUGCACAUAUAUAUUAUAAAAAUGUAUGAACGUACGUGGAAAUAAUAAUUAUAAUACUAAUAAUAAUAGUAAAUAAUAAUAAUAAUAAUAAAUUUUCUUUAAAAAAAACCAAUUGCCAAAAAGGACUGAAUAGUCAAUAAAACUAAAACAAUAGGAAAUAAAUGAAAUUUUAGCAAAAUGGUGAGUCAAAUUGUGACAUGCGGAUUACACGGGGGGAAAAAUCAGAAAUAAUCCACCUCCCCAAAACGCUGCGCAGCGACGGGGACCAAUUUGCAAUAAAAUAAAAUGUGUAGCAAAAUUUAAAAGAAAUCAGAAAUUUAAUUUAAGUGCGCUGCAAAAAUAACGGGAUCAAUUGCACAAAUUUCCCCUCCCAGACUAAAACCCGUGGAUCUAGCGCUAUUCGGGUCGGGUCAUUGGGUUCUGGCCUAUACGGCGUCGUUUUGAGGCCACUGAAGCAGGCCUCAAACGGCGUCGUUUCAUGGUCAAUAAUAAAACAAAUUUUUUUUUCUAAAAACUUCAUUUUUUCCUUUUGAUUCAAAACAGCAGAGUAACCCUCUGCUAGGGUUUUAUUCUUUUCUCUGCCAUCACCGUUCAAGCCUCCCCACGGUCUUCGUUGAUGCCCCAAUCUCCAAUCACGACGGAGAGGGCACCAACUCGGCGAUUCCGGCGAAAAGGUAAGUUUUCCCUCUCCCUUUUUAUAUUUUAAGUUAAAAAUUAAAAGAAUAAAAAUAAAACUAAAUGAAUAAAUAAAUAAAACAAACACCCACAAAAUAAACUAAAAAAAUAAAAAAAAUAAUCACCUCCGUUAUUCAAAUAUUUUUGAAUCUGUUUUUCCUCUUUUUCUUUGUAUUUUCAGUAUUUUCUCCUAUUUUUGUAUAUCCCCUUUUUACAAAAAGAAACAGCCUUUUUAUAGCCCGAAAAACAACCUAUUUUCACUAUUUUUUCUCUUUUGGACUCUUUUAGUCCACUUUGCAGGUGAACGUGGGGAUACAACGCAAGGCGUGGCGCGCGUGGAGGAGGCCGGCUCUGAGACGUGCAGCGACUGGGGUCUGCUGGAGGCCAUAUGCUGUUAGGGUUUCCCGUUCCUUUCUUUGCUAUUGGUUUUGGGCUUGGGUUAGUUGGGUUUUAGGUUUAGGUUUAUUGGCCUGAUGUAAUUUGGGCCGUUUAGAUAAAUGUAAAUGGACUCUAUAAUUGUUUGGACUUUAUUUAUUCUUUUAUUUGGUUUAUGCAUAUGGGCCCGGGCAAAUUGGGCCUAUUACAAAACUCAUUUAAAUCUCUAAAACCAUAAUUAAAAUUAUUAAAAUGGAUACAAAUUUAAAAAUUAUAAAAACUUAUAAAUAUUACAAAAAUAUAAAAAAUCAUAAAAUCAUAAAAUUUUUAUAAAAUUAAUAAAAAAUAUUUACAAUUUUAUGAAAAUCAUAAAAUAUUAAAAAUAUAAAUUAGUAAAAAAUAUAAAAACUUAUAAAUAUUAUAAAAAUAUAAUAAUUAAAAUUUUAUAAAAACAUAUAAAAAUUCAUAAAAAAAAUUAUAAAUAAUAUAAAAUUUCUAAUAAAUUAUAAAAAAAAUAAAAAUUAUAAAAACUCAUUUAAAUCUCUAAAACCAUAAUUACACAUUACACCACAGCAAACCAACUGUUGGACAAUAGGAAUAAUCAUAAGAUCAUUGGAGUUAUUUUCAUGUUGAAUAAAAUGUUCUUAUAAUAUUCUAUAAAUAAAAUGAUAAUUGUUGGACCCUCUCCUUUUCAUUGAUAAAUUAAUUAUUAUUUUUAAAAUUUUUAUCUCCAAUAUUUGUUCAGUGCAAUACAAUAGCUUGAACAUUAAAAAGUUAAAAAAAUUAUUUGUUAAAUAUCAUAUGAUAAAAAGUAUUUUUGGUACAAUUAGAUACUAUCAAAUCAAUAUUUCAUUAUCCAACUAUUAACAUAUGUUGGUAUGCAAUAUUAUGAACAAAAGUUUUUAGAACUGAACCAAUGAUCGAACCGGUCAAGCCACUAGUUCAUCAGUUCGACCAGUUUAAUUAAAGAAAACAUUAAAAAACAAAUAAUUAAAUAAACUAAAAAAAUUAGUUCAACUGCCCAAUUCUUUGGUCAACUAGUUUAACAGCUUUCUUCGAACCAAUAUCUUUGCCAAUUUUGAUCUAACCAAUCUGAUCAACCAAUCUGGUCCAAUUUAAUUUUUUAACGAUUUUUUUUAUAAUUUUAUAUGUUUAUAUUAAUUUUAAUAUUUUUGAAUAUGUUUAUGAUUUUUUUAUAAGUUUAUAAGAAAUUUUUAUGUUUUUAUAAAAUUUUAAAUAUUUUAAAUAUGUUUUAGUUAUUUUAUAUUUUUUAUAAUUUAUUAGAGUUUAUUAAGUUCUUAUUUUAUAAUAUUUAUAAUUUUUUAUCUUAUAUAAAUUUAUUUAUAUUUAUAUUUAAUAAUUUUUAUAAUUUGUAUAGUCUUUUCUGAUUAUUUUUUUAAAUAUUUUGUAUGAGAAAAUAUUAAAUUAAACAAAAAGUUAUCACGUAUCACCAUCUAAUUGGCAUACCAAUUUAUUUUAACGAUCAACAUGGUCAAUCAUGAGUUCCGUUAACGGUGGUGAUUAAUUAAUUAUUUUUAAUUAAUGGUAAAAACUCAAUUGGGUGCGAAUUUAAUAGAAGGAUUAAUUAAUUUGUUUACAUUUUGUUAAGGGUUUUUUACUUAUAAACUUUUAUUUGAUUAUAAUUAAAAUUAAUUAAAUUUUUUAUUUUCUCAAUUUCUUCAUGUAUAUCAAUAAAACAAAAAUUUUCUAAAAUUGAUUUUAAAAUUAUAUUUUUUUUCCAAAUUUAUUAACUUUCAGUCAUCAAAUAUUAUCCCAUAAACAAUCACUUUAUACCUCGAAUGUUUAAAUAUUACAUAAAAUUGCUGAGCAAAUAAAAAAGUAGUAGUUUCAUGAUUAGUUAUUAAUCUAUAAUUUUCAACUUCACUAUGAGAUGAACUUUUCCCUUAUAAAUUCCAAAUUAAAGUAUAUGAAAACAUAGUCUUUAUUCCCACUUCCAUUUUGGGAACCUCUCAACAUACAUGGAAAAAUAAGAGUGUGAAUGGUAUUAAGAGAGAAGCCAUCUUUGUUGUCUUAUAUACAAAACAAGCCAUGGUUUUGAUUCUCUUUUGAUGUUGAUUGUAAUAAAAUUAAAAAACAUUGAAUCUUUUAAGUCAUUAUGUUACUCCGAAGCUUCCACAUAAUGUGGAAUAAAAUGCAACUGGUUUUAUACUUUUCCACGCUGUCGAAACCAUUAUUCUUCACGGCAUGAGGGUACGUUAUUAGAGAGUAUCCGUCCUUAUGUCUCCUUUCCCCAGCAAACACGCCUUUCAUUCUACUACUAUUUUUUAUUAUUUAUAUUUUAGUAAAAGUAUUAUAGAGACUCUUUAGAAGGCGGCAAGUUGUAUUUUGACUCCUCUAUUAUUAUAUAUUAGAUUAAUUUUAUAUGUUUAUAUGUUUAACUCUCAGUCAUCAAAUAUUAUCCCAUAAACAAUCACUUUAUACCUCGAAUGUUUAAAUAUUACAUAAAAUUGCUGAGGGAAUAAAAAAGUAGGAGUUUCAUGAUUAGUUAUUAAUAUAUAAUUUUCAACUUCACUAUGAGAUGAACUUUUUCCUUAUAAAUUCCAAAUUAAAGUAUAUGAAAACAUAGUCUUUAUUCCCACUCCCAUUUUGGGAACCUCUCAACAUACAUGGAAAAAUAAGAGUGUGAAAGGUAUUAAGAGAGAAGCCAUCUUUGUUGUCUUAUAUACAAAACAAGCCAUGGUUUUGAUUCUCUUUUGAUGUUGAUUGUAAUAAAAUUUAAAAACAUUGAAUCUUUUAAGUCAUUAUGUUACUCCGAAGCUUCCACAUAAUGUGGAAUAAAACUUUUCCACGCCAUUAUGAAUCCACCAUUCUUCACGGCAUGAGGGUUAUUAGACAGUACCCAUCCUUACGUCUCCUUUCCCCAACAAACACGCCUUUCAUUCUACUACCAAUUUUUAUUACUUAUAUUUUGGUAGACUCUUUAUAAGGAGGAAAGUUGUAUUUUGACUCCUCUAUUCUUAUAUAUUAGAUUAAAUAGUAAAUUGAUCUUUUCUGUUUAAAAUUUCAUUCAUUUGCACUGUUAAAAGUUGGUGUGGUUGAUGAAAUAACUAAAUAAUGGCAUGUGACGUGCCAUGUGUAUAUCAUGUUGAUGUACAUGGACCAAUUUUUAAUAGCAAAAAUAGAUGAAAUUUUCAACAAAUACUCUAAUUUGCUCUUUGAUUUAAUUUAUAGGGAUUAAUUUGUCCAUUAUUUAAAUAAAGAAACUCCUAGUAUAAAAACCUCUAUGAUACUUUUACCAUCAUUUUUUAAUGGAAUAUAUGAAUAAUUAUUAAAUUCUAUUUAUUUUUAUUUUAAGAAAUAGUAAUUCUCUUCAUCACAAAAGUUUAGUGGAGGAGAGAUAUAUCAAGACCACUAAAUUAGUAGUAUCAAAUAAUCACCAAAGAUGCACCUAAUCAACCACUAAAAAGAAACAGCUAAGAAAUACUCAAAAUUAAAAUUACUAAACACUACCAAUCGUUUAAGAUAAAACAAAGUGAACAAUCGUCACCGCCACCAUUAUUGGAGAACUGCAAAUAGCAUUUAUUUAUAGACAUAUUUUCGCCAAUAACACCUAGUAGAUCUUAUUUGCCAAAAAAUCAUUGCGGAAGUAGGUUACAAAAACCAACGGAAACAGAAAAACCAAAAGAAGAUGUCACAAUGAAAAUGGGUAGAACUAAUGAAUAGUAAUUUAUAAAUUUACACAUGUGAUGUCACGUAAUUCAUUGCACGCCACUUUUUAUAUGCAAUUAUACAAGAAUGUAUAUAAUUAUCAUCUUUUAUUAGUGAUAUAUAAUUAUAUAAAAAUGUAUAUUACAAUUAUUCAUAAUUGAUCAUCAGAGGUGGUGUGUGGUGUGUGAGACAGUGCAGUUGUCAGUAACAGUGGCGUUUCUUGAACCUUCAAUUUUAUGGACAAAUUAAGGUCAGAGCCAUCACUAGGACAGAAACAGAAUAGAAACUUAGAGAUCUUGUACAAAACUGGAUUCCAACAUAAGUGGAUGAACAUCUGAUUCUGAUGUAGAUGUCAUGCUGCAAUUCGGAUAAUGUUCUGUUGAGAAUGAAGUGAAAUCCCAACUCUCAGCCGAUUUUCUUACAACGACCUCAACUUGUUUAAGCUGAUCAUCAAUGGGGAUGCAGUCACCUUGUCGAGUUCUAAGUCUCUCGAGUUCCAUGGCCACUUCUUUCAUUGUUGGUCUAUAUCUCCCAUCUAAGUUCAAGCAUCUUUUCGCAAGUUGAGCAACUGCUACUACUUCAUCCUUUUGACCAUCCUUCCAAAUUUGAGCAUCAACAAUAUCCAGCAGAUGGUUUUCUUCCAUCGACAACAUAAAAUACGAGACUAAGCCUCUCCUUUCUUGCAAUCCAAACGUUGAGAUUGCCAUUUUUCCCGUUAAGAGCUCAACAAUAACCACUCCAAAACUAUAAACAUCACUCUUUUCAGUAAAUUGACUUGACUGGAAAUAUUCGGGAUCUAAGUACCCAAAAGUCCCAAGCACUUGAGUCGUCAAGUGAGUUUGAUCAAUACUGAUUGAUCUAGAUGUUCCGAAGUCUGAUACUUUCGCUCGAAACUUUUCAUCUAGUAGUAUGUUACUAGACUUGAUAUCUCGGUGAUAAAUGGGGAUGGAUGCAGAUGAGUGUAAGUAAGAAAUCGCACUUGCAAUUUCCGUUGCAAUGCGUAAUCGUAUAUCCCACGAUCUCGGGUACUCUUCAUUUUGGUCAUGAAUGAGAUGGGAAAGGGUUCCAUUAGGGAUGAACUCAUAAACAAGGAGGGGCACUUCGGUCUCCAAGCAACAGCCUAAUAGCUUGACAAUGUUUCUGUGAUCAAUUUGAGAAAGAAUAAAGAUCUCAUUGAUAAAUUGUUCAAGAUACCCUUCGUUUAUAGUCUUGGACUUCUUUACUGCAACAAUUCUCCCAUCAGACAACAUUCCUUUGUAAACCAUGCCUUGGCCACCACAACCCAAGAUUCUAUUCCCAUUAAAUUGAUCAGUAGCUAUUUCCAAUUCUUUGGAACUGAAGAGUUUAGCUUUAUCCAGACCACCUUGAUUUGAAGACAUCUUUUUUUGAAACAAUAACCCACCAUUUCUUUCAAAGAGCUUUUGUUUGAGUUUAAUAUACUUUCUUCUCUGCAGUCUCUUAUAAAACCACCAUAACCCAGCAACUAGAAACAGCAACCCUAUACUUAAGCCAAUACCUACAUGAAAUCCAAACAAAUUGUAACUUAAAUGUUAGCUCUUAAAAUUGUUAAUCUUACCAUUUAAGCUACGAUUUUGAAAUAAAAUUUAGCUGGACAUAUCUCUUGCUAUCUGAUAAAAUUUGGAUUUAAAUUUUAAUUAUUAUGUAAAUGGUAAGAAUGAAAUGCUUAUUAUAUAGAAUAAUUAGUUGAGAUGUAAUCUAAUUUAUAUUAGAAAAAUAAAAGAAUAUAUAAUUUAUUGUAUUGAUAAAAUAAAUUGAUUUUUGUUUUAAGAUUUAAACUUUUAUUUUUUUAAGUUAUAACCGAUCUAAUACAAUCAAUCAUUUUAAGCAUGAAACUGAAUAAUUAAUUUAAAUCUGAGUAAUUAAUUUGUUAAUUGAGUCCUUUGUAACAACUUUUGAGGUCAAAGUCUAUCAAACCUCCCUACACUACCUUAUAAAAUUUAUUUUAGUCCCUCUAUUAAAAGUUACUCCAUACCAAUCUUUACUCAAAUAAUGACUCCAUUAUAAUUUCUCAUUAAAUUACCGACAAAACCUAACCAUCUCAAAAAAAAAAUUCAUGUAGUAAAAUAACUCACGCUAAAUAUAGUAUAAUAAAUUUGACUCUGGAUUGAAAAGAAAAAGGCUCUUGUCUAAAAUAUAAAGAAAGUAAUUGGCAUGUACAAACCUAGUGUAACGACAAGAAUGGGAAAACUCUCACGGUCCUGCGGCUUGAAUAUAGGACGGCAACCUGUUCCAUUUUUCCGGCCAUCACCCUCGAACCAUUCAGGGCAUGAACAAUUGUAGCUUCCAGGUGUAUUAUGACAUGUGGCAAAUUCAUAGCAAGGCUUCUGUGUCUCACAUUCAUCAAUAUCUACAAUUUUCAAACAUUUUAAACUAAAAUAAUAUAUGUAUAUAAUUUGGCACAAAGUUGAAGUACGGAUAGAUAAUUUUAUCGAAAUGAAUCUACAAUGGAGAAGAAGUUGAAACCUUUACCUCGGCAGCCGUAUGAGAGGUAAGGAUUACCCUGAAAACCAGGAUUACACUUGCACAAAUAUCCAGGCCCAUUUUCUGGAUCUAUACAAUCACUAUUUUGCUUGCAAGCAUAAUUUUUUGGAUCCAUUUUAGCUUGUUCACAGGUUUGAUUCCCGAUUGUCCAAUCAAGAAUAACCGGAUAAUUAUUUUUGCCGAAAUUUUUGUCCCAAAGAUCUGAUGCGUGGAACUUAUAGGCUCCAUCUUCAACAAGAAAUCCAUAGCUGCAAGGAUUGAAGCUCAACACGUGGGAGUGAUUCCGAGGGCUACUGAAAUUGAAGUGAAACACCUUCAAUCCUUGAGGAAUAGCCGUCUGGCAGCAUCCAAUGCCGGAGCAAGACCCAUUUAUCACAUCGCCCGCGUCACCACAAAAUGUUAAACAUCCGGUUGAAAAGUUUUUUUUUGAAAUUCUGUGUGAAGAGUCAGGUUCGAAGAAAGCCUCGAUGUAGGCGAUAGUGUCACAACCGAUGGCCGUGAACUUGUUUCUGGUAUGAGAUAUGGUAAAUUUCGAAAACAAGAACAAAAGUUCGGGAUAUAAACUACGCCCUGAUGAAUUAUAACAGUCAUGACCCAUUAAGUAAUUAUAACUAAAGCGCAAAGAGCCAUCCAGAGAGAUGUCAAGAACUUCUAUAUCACUGUGGCCUAAGAAUGCUUUUGGGGGAUUUAAAGUGGUAUUACAGCGAAUGAAAAAGUGGCUGCUAAUGUUGCAACCAUUGGCUGUACCAAAUGGGUAUGGGAUGCUUAUGUUUCCGCAGUUGCUUUGACAUCCAGGUUUUGCUUGGGCUGCUACUGAAGUUGCCAUAAUUGUUACCAACACUGCAAACACAGCAAGCUCCCUAAACAUACAACCAAACCCCAUCACCGCUCCUGGCUUUCCCCCCCACUCUCUCGGCAUAUGUAAAUCUAGAAUAAAUAGGGAUAAUGUUUCAUGGGUGGUGAGAGUAUUAAGUCUCGCCAUCAAUCAAUAAUUAUUAUUAUUUUAAUAAAUUAUAUUAAAUAUUGAUAAAUUUAUUUUAAUUUUAUAUGUUAAAAAAACCUUUUAAAACAUGUAGAAAAAAAAUAUUAUAUUAAAUUCACAUUCAAUUGAAUCUUUGUCGUUAAUUAAAAUAAAAAGUUAAACCUCUCCAUUAACAAAAUUUAUAGUUGAUCACGUUGAUCGUUAAAAUAAAUUAACGAAUCAAUCAAAGGGUAACACACGACAACUUUCAGUCUAAUCUAAUAAUUUUUAUAAACAAUAUUGAUUAAAAAUCAUAAAAUAUAAAAAAAUCAAAUAUUUAAAAUUAUUAAAAUUGACACAAAUUUAAAAAUUAUAAAAUCUUAUAAAUAGUAUAAAAAUUCUAAUAAAUUAUAAAAAAAAUUAUAAAAAGUGAUUUAAACCUCUAAAACCAUAAUAUACACAUUACAUCACACUAACAGUUGGAUAAUAGGAAUAGUUAUUAGAUUGUUGGGGUCAUUUUCAUAUUAAAUAAAAUGUUCUCAAUAUUUCACAAAUAAAAUGAUAAUUGUUAGAUCCUCUCCUUUUUAUUGAUAAAUUAAUGUUUUUAUUUUUAAAAUUUAUCUCCAAUAAUUUUUAAAUACAAUACAAUAGUUUGAACAUUGAAAAGUUGAAAUUUAUUUGCUAAGGAUUGUAUGAUCAAAAGUAUUUUUGGUAUAGUUAGAUACUAUCAAACCAAAAUUUCAUUAUUCAACUAUUAUUAUAUGUUGGUAUGACAUAUGAUAACCAAAAUUUUCAAAACCAAACCAGUGGUCGAAUCGAUCAAGCCACCAGUUCAUCAGUUUGACUAAUUUAAUUAAAGAAAACAUUAAAAUAUCAAAUAACUAAACAAACUAAAAAAAUUAGUUCAACUGCCCAAUUCCUUGGUCAACCGGUCUAAUAGCUUUGUCUGAACUGAUAUCCUUGCCGAUUUUAGUCUAACCAAUCUGAUUGUCUGAUCUGGUUCAGUUAAUUUUUUUAAUGAUUUUUUUUAUAAUCUUAUAUCAAUUUUAAUAUUUUUGAAUAAUUUUUAUAAGUUUGUACGUUUGUAUAAAAUUUUAAAUAUUUCAAAAUAUGUUUUAGUUAUUUUAUAUUUUUUUAUAAUUUAUUAGAAUUCAUACAAAUAUUAUUUUAUAAUAUUUAUAAGUUUUACAAUUUUUUAUCUUAUAUAAGUUUAUGUAAAUUUUAAUAUAUAUUUUUUUAUAAUUUGUAUAGCAUUUUCUGAUUAUUUUAUAAUUUUUAACAAUUUUUUUGAGUUUUUAUUAUUUAUAUUUUUAAAUAUUUUGUGUGAAAAAAUAUUAAAUUAAAUCAGAAGUUGUCAUGUUGCACUAUCUUACUGACAUGCCAAUUUAUUUUAACAAUCAACAUGAUCAACUAAGGGUUCCGUUAACGAUGGGGCUUAAAUUCAAUUGGAUGCAAUUUUAAUACAAGAAUUAAUUAUUUUUCUACACUUCCUUAAGGUUUUCUUGACACAAACUUUUAUUUGAUUAUAAUUAAAAUUAAUUUUUUUUAGUUUUAAGUUGUUUAGAUUUUUCUUAAGAGAAGUAUUGUAUAUGAAAACCUACAUUGAAACUUUCAAAUAUUUAUUCUCACUUCCAUUUUGGCAACCUCUCAACAUGGAAAAAUAUGAGUUUGAAUGGUAUUAAGAAAGAAGCCAUGAUUUUGAUUGUUGAAAUUAAUAACUAAGUUACUCUGAACCUUCCAGGUUAUGUGGAAUAAAAUGCAACUCGCUUUAUACUUUUCCUGGAGAUUCUUUUGAAACACCGAAUGUUUAUUGAGUAAUGUUUGAAAGAAAUAAUAUUUCUAUGGUCAUAUUAACAGUUUAGUGAAAGAGAGUACUAGAAAAUUAUUAAAAAUGCAACACCCUGAUGAAUCAUUAUACCACUACCCAAAACUAAAACUACUAAUACUACCGGCCAUUUCGGAUAAAACACCACUGCUGCUAUUGGAGAAAGAAAACAGACUUUAUUUAUACAUACACUACACCAAAUUUGGUUUUUAGCGGCGGGUUGUAGCGGCGUUAUACAAAAAACGCCGGUAAAAAUCGAGCAUUAGCGGCGCUUAAAGAAAAUCGCCGCUAAAGACAGAGCAUUAGUGGCGUUUUAUAAAAAAGGCCGCCAAAAAUAAGCAUUAGCGACAUUUCCAGGAAAAACGCCGCAAAAAAAUAAAAUACAACGGCAUCGUUUAGUGGCCUUCGGUGGCCUUAGUGGCGUUUUUGGUCUAGCGCCGCUAAUGGUCUGUGUUUUUAGCAAAAUACAAUGGCGUCGUUUAGGGGCCCUCGGUGGCCUUAGUGGCGUUUUUUGUCUAGCGCCGCUAAUGGUCUGUGUUUUUAGCAAAAUACAACGGCAUCGUUUAGUGGCCUUCAGUGGCCUUAGUGGCGUUUUUUGUCAAGCGGCGCUAAUGGUCUGUGUUUUUAGCGGUGUUUUCAAAAAAAAUGCCGCAAAAAAUAAAAUACAACAGCGUCGUUUAGUGGCCUUCAGUGGCCUUAGUGGCGUUUUUGGUCUAGCGCCGCUAAUGGUCUGUGUUUUUAGCAAAAUACAACGGCGUCGUUUAGUGGCCUUCGGUGGCCUUAGUGGCGUUUUUUGUCUUGCGCCGCUAAUGGACUGUGUUUUUAGCGGCGUUUUCAGGAUAAACGCCGCAAAAAAUAAAUUACAACGGCGCCGUUUAGUGGCCUUCAGUGGCCCUAGUGGCGUUUUUGGUAUAGCACCGCUAAUGGUCUUUUUUUAGCGGCGUUUUCUGGAAAAACGCCGCAAAAAAUAAAAUACAACGGCUUCGUUUAGUGGCCUUCGAUGGCCUUUUACCUUCAUUGGGUUAUUAUUUAUAAUAAUUAUUUAAAAUUGAACUUAUUUCUAAUUGAUUAUUUAAAGUUCUUCCAAAAAAAUAACACGUACAAAUAAUUUGAAAUAAAACACUUGGAAAAAUGAAAAGACUAUUAUUUAAAAUAAUUUUAAAAUUAUUUGGGUACAUGAUUAGUAAGUGUUUUUUAAUUUAUAUUUAAAAAAUUUAUUAUAUAAUCGUAAAAGAGAUAUUCUUAAUUUUAAAAUGUUGAAUUAAUUAUCACUAUAGUUUAGGGUUUUCAGUUUAGGGUAUAUGAGUUAGGGGUUAUAUAUGAGUUAGGGAUUUAGGGCCGGGUUUACGAAUUCAGGGGUCGGGUUAGGGUAGUUUUGGGUUUAGAUUAUUAAUUUUUAUUUAUAUUUUAAAUAUGUUAUUAUGUAGUUGUAAAAGAUAAUAAUAAAAUUGUUUACAGUUUUUAAUUACUUUAUGAUAUAUGAGAAAUUUAAGAAUUAAGGCCGGUUUAGGAGUUCAUAUAAUUUUAAAGUUUAGGGAGUACUAUAUAUAUAUGGAUUUAUAUAUGGAUUAUAGAUUAGGGUUUUUGCUUAAUUAAGGGUUGGCCGGGAUUUAAGGUUUAGGGGUUAGGGGUUAGAUGUUAGUGGUUAAGACUUAGGGAUUUUGUGUUUAGGGUUUCAGGGGUCAGGUUACGAUUUUGGUUUAGAUUAAUUUUUUUAUUUAUAUUUUAAAUAUGUUCUUAUGUAAUUGUAAAAGAUGUAUAAAUUAGGGUUUAAUUAAUUAUGCCUUGAGAGAUAUAUAUAUAAUAGAUAGAGAACGGAAAAUCUUCAGAAGGUACAGGAUCGAGCCGCUUUGACUUUAUGCAACAUGGAGAAAAUCUUCCCACCUUCCUUCUUCACCAUUAUGGUUCACUUGAUAAUCCAUCUCCCGCACGAAGCAAUUCUUGGUGGACCUGUUUUCUAUCGAUGGAUGUAUCCCAUAGAAAGGUGUUAAUUAAAAUUUUUAAAAUUUUCCUUCAUUCACCUCUAUGCCCUUUAGUUACAACUUUUGAUAAUGUUGUAUAACGUGUUUAGGUUCCUAUCCAAAUUAAAGUCUUACUGCCGCAACAAGCGAUAUCCAGAAGGAUCGAUUGCUGAAGGCUACUUGGCAGAAGAAUGUAUGACCUUCUGUUCAAGAUAUUUGGAAGAUGUUGAAACAAGGUUGAACAGACCAAAUAGGAAUGCUGGACUCACGGACCAUAAUUUAGCCGAUACUUAUUUGUUCCAAAGUUUUGGAGAACCAAUCGGCAAAGUUGAAAUUACAGAAUUAGAUCAUUUAUCGUGGGUACAAGCACAUCGAUAUGUUCUGUUUCACCACGAAUCAAUGGAACCUUUACGGAAGUAAGUUCUACAAAUUUGAUAAAUAUUUAUCAAACUAAAAAUUGUUUAUCUUCUAACAAAGUGAACAUUUUUUUAACAUAGUAAGUACAAACAAAUAUUGAGAUCUCGUUCGCGCUCCCGAAGAACACAACAUCGAGAUAUCAAUAAGUUGUUUACAGAAUCUUUUUAUGAAUGGUUAAGCCAAACGGUAUGCAGUUGGAGCUUCCGCUUACAAAUAAUAAUGUUUUCUUAUAACAUUUUUAAUUACUCAGUUUACUUUCCAUUCAAUAGGUUUGGAGUGGGAAGAACGUAAACGACGAAGUUAAAUGGCUCUCCCAAGGUCCAAAUCGAGUGGUUAAAAGAUAUAGUGCGUUCAUCAUCAACGGAUUUAGAUUUCAUACAAAAUAUCGCGAGAGGUUGAGGAGAACGCAAAAUUAUGGAAUAGUUGUUAAUUCUGCAAUUACAAGUUAUGCUAGUACUAGGGACAAUAAUCCUGUCGAGGGAAAUGUGGAAUAUUUCAGACAUCUUACUGACAUAAUUGAGUUGGAUUACUACGGCAAAUGGAAAGUUGUCAUAUUUCGAGGUGAUUGGGCCGAUGUUAAUACAGCUCGUGGAAUUAACCAAGAUCAAUUUGGUUUUACAAUGGUGAACUUUAACCGAUUGAUUCACACAGGACAACAACUGAUAGAUGAGCCGUAUGUAUUCUCAUCUCAAGUCAAACAAGUUUUUUACUCAAAAGAUCCAACUGAUGAGGGUUGGUACGUUGUACUCCGUAACAUCCCUAGAGACUUGUUUGACAUGGGCAGUGGAAGUAGAGAUAACAUCGACGACAGAUCAAAAACUUUGUCCUUUCCAGAACAAAACUUAAACGAUAAUAUCCCUAGUACUAGUGCACAAUUUCAAUGGGUUCGUCAGGAUACGGCUGAAGAUAUUUAUGAAUAAUGAUGUAGUAAGAUUUUACGAUUGUUUAAUUAUAUGUAAUAUCAUAAUUUAAAUCUUGGUCUUAUUUAUAUAUUUCACCUAUUUUAUAUGUGCUAUUAUUGUUGUAAUUAGUUAUUAAGUUUUCAACUAUUUUAUGUGUAUUGCAGAUAAAAUGCCUAGAAGAAAAAUUCUAAGGGGAAGAAUUGUUCAAAAUGAUCCAAACUCGACAGAAACAAAUAGUAAUGAACAACAGACAUCAAUUGGAUCUUCAAAUGUUCUGAUUACAUCUGACGAGCCUACAGAAGUUCAAAGUAAUUUUACAUUUAAUUUACAUGCGUGUUGACUUAUAAUUGAUUUAUUUUUCAAAUUAUUAUAUUAUAAUAUGUCAUUUGUAGCUGAAAAUGGUGGGACGCGUAGAGGUCGAGGACGUACGCUACUUAGAGAGUUAUACGAGUUAGAUCCAGUCGAGCGUGUCAAAGUUGGACGAAACAGUUUUGGUCAGCCUGUUGGAUCAGAAGCUCGACUUUUAGUAGGAUACAUGGGCAUUUUAGCACGAAAUGCGAAUAUGUUGCCUAUCAACUACAAGUCAUGGCAUCAAAUGCCCGAUAGCAACAAAAACCAAGCCCUCGAUAAUAUUAAGGUAACAAAAUGUUAAUUUCAUCUGUAAUGCUCGGGAAAUAGUUUCAUUUAUAUUUACUUUAUUAACUUGUGUUUUUUGUCGGCGAGGUUUGCUUUAGAGGUCUCGGAUGCUUAUGUAAAGAAGGCAUUGGGAAAAAGAUGGAGAGACCAUAAAAGUACUUUGAAGAAAUAUUAUUAUAAGACAAAACCAACCCUCGAUGAGAAAUUGCAAAAUGUCCCGCCCGGUAUGCUGAGGUACCAAUGGAAAGAUGCGGUUAGAUUUUGGCAUUCGAAGAAAGGCAAGGUACGACGUACUUCCAAACUAUUGUAAUUAUUUUGGUUUAUAGUAUUUACUAUUUACGUACUAAAAAUUUUAUAACGUAGGAUCGUGAACGAGUUGGAAUAAGCAGCAGGUAGAAACAAAAAUUCACUCACACAGCCGGGUCGAGAAGUUUUGCAUGUGUAGCUGAGGCGGAGGUAUUUUUAAUUUUUUAAUAUUCUCAAAUAUGUAUAACUUUCCAUUAAAUAAUAUUUUUACUAUUAUAUUGUAGGAACAAUCGUCCGGUCAAAAAGUUGGACGCCUUCAACUUUUUGAAAUUACACAUAAGAAGAAAGAUGGAUCUGCUAUGACUCCAGAAGCUGGUGAAAUUAUGGUACGUUUACUUAAUACGAUUUGACUUGUUUUAGUUAUUUAUAGUGUUUAUUUUCUAAUGGUUUAAUUCAUUGCUUAUAAUGCGACUAUUGUUAUGUUGCAUUUGUUUUUUUAAUAUAUAUUGAGUAAGAAACUAUGUGAUUUAUUUAUUAGGAAAAACUAAAGGAUAAAAAGGCGGAGUACGAAGCGAUUGCUUCUGGUGAUAGUUCUGUUCAUCUUGAAGACAUUGAUAACCAGAUUAUUACUGAAGUUUUGGGUCCUGAAAGGUAUGGUCGGGUUUGAUUUCAAGGAUCUUUUAUCAGCCCAACCCAAUAUUUUGGAUCCAGCUCGCACCAAUACAUGGCUUCGGGGAGUCAGUCUCAAGCUGAAGUUCAGAGGUUAAAAGACCAGAUGGCUCAGAUGCAAGCGACCACAUUUGAGGUUCAAAGAAAAUAUGAAGAAAUUCAGCAACAACUUAAAGCAGAGGCGGCAGCGAGGAAAGCAGAGGCUGCAGCGAGAGAAGCAGAGGUUCAAAAGAAAUAUGAAGAACUCCAGCUACGACUUCAAGUAGAUGCGGCAUCGAGAGAAGCAGAGCAAAGCAAAAAGUACGACGAACUUCAAUAGCAGCUUCAUAUUAUGAUGAAGAUGUUUCAGCAGUCGCAACUUUCGCCGUCAUAGUGUAUAUUGCAUAAAUAUUUUUUAUCAUUUUAACUUUUAACGUUUUUGUAAUGAAAAUUAUGGAUUCACUUUUAUUUAUUGAUAUUAAUAUUAUUUUAUUCGUUUAAUUUGAAAUAUUAUAUAAAUUUAUUAUUUUUGGCUAGUUUAGAUCUGGUUGCUUUUUAUUUGUUGUUGUAAGAGGGCUGAAAAAAUAGAAAAUUUUAUUUUAAAAAAAUCCCAAAAUUAGUGGCUUUUUUUAAAAAAGCGCCGCUAAAAGUCAUAUCAUAUAGUGGCGUUUGUGAAGUAAGCGCCGCGAAAGAACACUACUUUUAACGGUGUUUUUUUCCUAAGCGCCGCUAAAGAACAUUACUUUUAGCGGCCUUUUUUUCCUAAGCGCCGCUAAAGAACAUGAUCUUUAGCGGCGUUUUUUCCCAAGCGCCGCUAAAGAACAUGAUCAUUAGCGGCGUUUUUUUCCUAAGCGCCGCUAAAGAUCAUAUCCCUUAGCGGCAUUUUUUCCCAAGCGCCGCUAAAGAACAUGAUCAUUAGCGGCGUUUUUUUCCUAAGCGCCACUAAAGAUCAUGUCCUUUAACGGCGUUUUUUCCCAAGUGCCGCUAAAGAACAUGAUCAUUAGCGGCGUUUUUUUCCUAAGCGCUGCUAAAGGACAUGAGCUUUAGCGGCGUUUCUUUCUGUAAACGCUGCAAAAGUUAGCGACGUUAUCGUUAGCGGUAUUUUUUGCGGCGCUUCCUCAACCGCCGCAAAUGCCUUUAGUGGCGUUAAAAAGCGCCGCUAAAGGCCUAAAAAACGCUGCUAAAAACCUAUUCUGGUGUAGUGAUAUGCGUUCAGAGUGAAUUAAAAAAAUAUGCUGAUUUAUUUUUCUUUUUCUUUUUAAUUUAAGUAUUUAGGCUGUUUAUAUAUAUAUAUAUAUAUAUCCACAGAUUUUGAAGAGAGAAAUGAAAACGCGUCCUAUAUAUAAAACGUAUUUUUAGGAGAUAAAAAUGAAAAUGCGCCUUGUAGGGCGCGUUUUUAGGGCAACUAUAACUUUUCCAACUAUCACAAUUCCAACGACUAUACCCCAACAGCCAUAUUUUUUCUUUUAUAAACCUCUCCAAACUUCGUUCUUUUCAAUUCAAACUCCAUUAUUAAUUCUCAAUUCUCUCAAUAAUUUCAUUUUUAAUAUUUCUCUGAAUCCUAUUCUCUUCAAUUUUAUUUUAUUCCUUAUCAUUUGUAAAAUGACAAAUUAGCUUAUUUGUUUGGAUGACAAGCACAUCUCCGGCGUUCAAUUACAAAUCGUAAGAAAAUAUUAUGAAAUUAUUUAAUUUUAAUUAAUUAAUUACAAUGUUGUUAACAUUAUUAAAUUUUUUUAUGUUUAUAUACUCAAGUCGAAGAUCAAAUUUUGGAGCCGUAUAUACACAAUUUAAGUAGGAGUGCAUCGUUUUCCAUUCAUGGACACUUGUGAGAUGCAGGAUUCUUAUACGUGGCUCACGUGCUUUGGUGGAAAGAUGGAGACCCGAGGCACACACAUUCUAUCUUCCCUGCGGUGAGUGUACAAUUACACUCAAGGACAUUAGUUAACAACUUGGUCUACUAGUUGGUGGGGAAGUCGUUACGGGGCCAGUGGCCAGAGGUGAGUGUCAAUUGGAGUGCAACAUGCGAGCAACUACUAGGGAAGGUGUCAAACAAGUUUAAGGGUACCAAAUCGAGAUGGGAUGGUUGGAGGGCAACUUCAAACGAAUUGAGGGCUUUACGAGCGAAGUUGAAAAAGAACAAUUUGCACAUGCAUUCAUAUUGAGGUUGGUUGAAGGUUUGCUUAUACCAAAUAAAUUUCAAAAUAUGGUACAUUUAAGGUAUCUACUACUACCAGCUGACUUGAAAGAAGCAAGACGACUUAGUUGAGGAUCAGUGAUGCUGGCAACAUUGUACUGAAAAAUGUGUUGAGCGAUAAACCAAAAUAAGUUAAAAUUGAUGAUUGCAUUCUCCUCUUCAAUUAUGGGCAUGGUAUCGACAACCUGAUAAGUGCUAAAAGUAACAUGUUUUGAUUCCCGAUUGUCCAAUCAAGAAUAACUAGGUAAAUAUUUUUGCCAAAAUUUACGUCCCAAAGUUCUGAUGCGUGGAACUUAUAGGCUCCAUCUUCAACAAGAAAUCCAUAGCUGCAAGGAUUGAAGCUCAACACGCGGGAGUGAUUCCGAGGGCUACUGAAAUUGAAGUAAAACACCUUCAAUCCUUGAGGAAUAGCCGUCUGGCAGCAUCUAAUGCCGGAGCAAGACCCAUUUAUCACAUUGCCCGCGUCACCACAAAAUGUUAAACAUCCGGUUGAAAAGUUUUUUUUUUGAAAUUCUGUGUGAAGAGUCAGGUUCGAAGAAAGCCUCGAUGUAGGCGAUAGUGUCACAACCGAUGGCCGUGAACUUGUUUCUGGUAUGAGAUAUGGCUAAUUUCGUAACCGACUAAAGUAUCUGGAUAUAAACUACUCCCUGAUGAAUUAUAACAAUCAUGACCUAUGAAGUAAUUAUAAGUAACGCGCAAAUGACCAUCCAGAGAGAUGUCGAGAACUUCUAUAUCACCAUCCCAUAAGAAUGCUUUUGGGGGGUUAAAAGGUGUUACAAUUAAUAAAGAAGUCGCUGCUGAUGUUGCAACCUUUGCUUGUACCAAAAGGGUAGGGGAUGCUUAUAUUUUCGCAUUUGCUUUGGCAUCCAGGUUUUGGUAGAGCUGCUACUGAAGUUGCCAUAAUUGUUACCACAACUAAAAACACAGCAAGCUCCUUAAACAUUCAACCAAACCCCAUCACCCCUCUUGGCUUUUUUUCCCCCCACUCUCUCGGCUCAUGUAAAUCUAGAAUAACUUAUAGG